rnacentral:lncRNA from 1 species
GAACUCCGCCAUCGGUAAAUAGUCGUGCCAUCCGCCUUUGUAAUCAAGUACACACGCUCGAAGCAUGUCCUUGAGGAUUUGUAUCGUCCUCUCUGAUUGGCCAUCACUCUGAGGAUGAAAUAUCGUGCUAAAAUCGAGCCGUGUGCCUAGAGCGUCCUGUAAGCUCUUCCAAAAAUGAGAAGUGAACCUGGGAUCUCGAUCUGAUACUAUGGAAGUAGGUACCCCGUGUAAUCGCACAAUCUCAUCCAAAUAAACCUGUGCGAGUCUCUCACCAGUCCAAGUAGUGUGGAUAGGUAUGAAAUGUGCCGAUUUCGUCAACCUAUCCACAAUCACCCAAAUUGCGUCAUGCCCGGCUUGAGAUCAAGGCAAACCGGUCACAAAAUCCAUUGCGACAUCUUUCCACUUCCAAACGAGUAUAGACAAGCUUUGCAACUUUUCCGCCGAAAAUCGACGUUCCGCUUUCACUUAUUGGCACAUUAAACAUUGCGCCACAAACUCUCUAAUAUCCCUCUUCAUCCCCGGCCACCAAUAAUGCACUUUUAAGUCUUUGUACAUCUUAGUGCCGCCCGGGUGUAUGCUAUAGGGAGAUUGAUGCGCUUCUACUAUGAUCGCCUUCCGAAUAUCCUCAUUUUUGGGUACACACCAACGAUUUCGGAAUCGAAGUGCGCCAUCGGUUCCAAUGCCGAAACCACCGACACGUCCACUUUCAACUUCACCCUGCACCUUUUGGAGAUAAGGAUCGGAAGCUUGCUGCUCUUUAAUUCUCUCCAACAAGGUCGGUUGAACUACCAACACGGCAAAAAUAGCCGGCACCUCAGGAGCUACUACCUCAAGACCAAACCGUUGCAUCUCUUUUUGUAAUGACGGUUGGGGUGCAAUUGUCGUAGCCAAAUUUUCCACCGACUUUCUACUUAGUGCAUCGGCCACAACAUUGGCUUUUUUCGGGUAGUAUAAAAUAGUGACAUCAUAGUCCUUUAGCAACUCUAACCACCGCCGCUGUCGCAUAUUCAAUUCCUUUUGGGUGAACAAGUAUUUGAGACUCUUAUAAUCUAUGUAAAUCUCACAAUGCUCACCGUACAGAUAAUGCCUCCAUAAUUUCAGCGCGAAUAUCACCGCAGCUAGCUCAAGGUCAUGUAUCGGAUAGUUCUUCUCAUAACUGUUCAACUGAUGAGAAGCAUGAGCAAUCACUCGCCCAUUCUGCAUCAAAACACACCUGAGACCACUAUACGAAGCAUCACUGUACACCACGAAGCUUUACCCCGGAGUCGGUAAAGCAAGUACCGGGGUCGAAGUUAACCUUUCUUUCAACUCAUUGAAGCUUCGAUCACAAUCGUCGCUCCACACAUACGUUACUCCUUUGUGCGUAAGGCGCAUCAAUAGAAUAGUUAUCUUAGCAAACCCCUCCACGAACCGCCGAUAGUACCCCGCAAAACCAAGAAAACUGCGGAUCUCCGUAACACUCGUCGGGCGAGGCCAAUCCCUAAUUGCCUCAACUUUCUUCGGAUCCACCGAGACACCGCUCCCGGAUAUCACGUGGCCUAAUAAGGUAACCUUCGAAAGCCAAAAGUCGCACUUUUUCAGCUUGGCAUAAAGCUUCUCUUUUCGAAGUAUUUGCAUCACUGUUCUCAAGUGCUCCUCGUGCUCCUCUUCACUCCGCGAAUAAACCAACACGUCGUCAAUGAACACCACGACGCAUUAGUCCAACAACGGCCUGAAGACUCGAUUCAUCAGGUCCAUAUAUGCUGUAGGGGCAUUAGUAAGUCCGAAUGGCAUCACCGUGAACUCAUAGUGGCAAUAUAGCGUACGAUACACCGUCUUGUGCACAUCCUUCGGCCUGAUCUUCAGCUAGUGAUACCCUGACUGGAGAUCAAUUUUCGAAUAUACCCGCGACCUUUGCAACUGAUCGAACAAAUCAUCAAUUCUAGGCAAUGGGUAUUUAUUCUUGAUUGUCACCUUGUUCAACUCGCGAUAGUCCACACAGAGUCGAAGUGUUCCAUCCUUCUUCUUCACGAAUAGCACCUGAGCUCCCCACGGUGACAUACUCGGCUUCACAAAGCCUUUAUCGAGUAAGUCUUGCAAUUGAGCUUUCAACUCUACUAACUCUGCCGGUGCCAUUCGAUACGAAGCCUUCGAAAUUGGCGCCGCUCCGAGAAUAAAGUCAAUGACGCACUCGAUCUCCCGGUUAGGUGGCAAUCCCGAUAACUCCGCCGAAAACACAUCCAGAAACUCACAUGCCACAUGAAUAUCUACAAGCAUCGGGGGCUCCUUUUGGGUCUCCACCAUUGUCGCCAAAUAGGUCACACAUCCACCUUUAAUCAUCUUCCUCGCCCUCGACGCCGAUACAGUCGCCGCAAAGUGCGAGCUUUUACACGCACGAUACACCACCUCCUCUCGGUUAGGCUCAUGAAAAGUGAUCACCUUGCUCUCGCAGUCAAUAACGGCAUAAUACUUCGAGAGUGAAUCAAUUCCAAGGAAAACAUUGUAGCCCUACAUCUGGUUCAACACAAGAAAAUCCGCCGGCAUAAUCCAAUCGCCAAUCUGCACUGGACAAGCCGCGCAUUCUUCCUUGACACUAAAAGUAUGCUCUGGUGCAUAAACCCACCAAUAAUCUAGACUAUCCAACACUUCUAUACCAUGAGUUCUAGCGAACAAUGCGCCAAUGAAUGAAUGGGAUGCAUGAGUAUCAAACAAUGCUCUAGCUCUAGUGCCAUUAAUUAAAAUAAUACCUGCCACGACAUCAUCUAGUACAGCAGGCUCCUCCACCUGAGCGGUAAAAACCCGGCCACUCGGUGCUGCUCGCGAUCCCUCCGGUUGACGCGGCACAGAUGAGCAUCUAGUCGACAUAGCGGGUUGCAGUCCCGCGGACUGUCUCGGGGUAGACAGGACUGAUGCAGCCGUUGGGGCAGACGAUGUCCAACUCGGGCACUCCCGGAUGACAUGUCCAACUUGACCGCACUUGAAACACUUUCCAUCACGUUGUGGGCAAGCCGGCGGUCGAUGAUCACCGCCGUAGAUAACACACCGGGUAGGCCUCCAGUUCUUUGACUGCUGCCGUGGGUACCGAGGAGGCUUCUUAGCAUUCGGCCGACCCCGGCACCACCCGCAGCUCGCUUCUUACCCUUGUCCCUGUCCUUGUCCAUAGACUCGCGCUCCCCGCGCGCAUAGGCACUACCGUACUCCGCCCACAAUGCCCGAUCCAAAACCUCCACAAAGGUUGUAAGCUUAAAGAUCUGCACCUUCUCAUAAAUCCUUGGUUGAAGUUCUCGCAAGAACCAAUCGGCACGAUCCUUGUCAUCCCGAACAAUAUCUGGGACACAGUCGAUAAUGUGGGAGAACUCUCGCUCGUACUCUCCCACCGAGCGAUCACCCUGUCUUAGCUUUCGGAACUUAUCCUGUAACUUCCGCUUCUCACUAUCGGGGCAGUAAUUUGCAAACAUCAACCCUCGAAACUCCUCCCAAACCAUAAACAGAAGGUCGGAAGAUCGAUCACGCUUCACCCGUUUCCACCAUACUUUCGCCGCCUUCUCUAAACAAUGAGUGGCGAGGUGCACUUUAUCCUUCUCCAAGAUAUAAAUAUCCUCGAAGAGUGUCUCCAUCGAGUCGAUCCCCGACCCAACCAUCCAUGGCUCCACUUUCUCCCCGUCAAACACUGGCGGGUUGAACUUCUUGAACAUUGCGAGAGCCACCAACGCACGCUCCCGCUCCCCCUCUAUAGCCGCACCAUCGGGAUUUGAGGUUCCCGAACUGGCCGCCACCGCCGUGACUAGUAUAGCUACCGCAGCCACUCGCUCAGCCGCACUUGGUAUCACGAAAGGAGGCGCAGGUUGCUCGACACCCACAUGAGCUGUCGCCGCCUGCUGCUGCGCUAAGGCCUCUUGGGGCCUUUGAAUUUGCUCCCCUUGGCGUUGCACCGAUUCCACUUGCCGCUGCACCACUCCUAUGAGAACGGACACCUGCUCCCGGAGCUCCCCGUCGCCGCUCGCUCCGGAUUGCUCGAGAGCCGAACUCGGUUCCUUGGGCAUCGACCUUGUUCGAGGUCUACCACGAGCCAUCGCUUCCUGAAACGUAGCAAUUCACACUAGCUACUCGACCAACAUACUCAAACAAACCAAAUCCAGCGAAAGCAAACAAGUGUAGCCAUUCUUAUUCCAAGGCAUUAUGUCGUCGGCCGCCCAAGACAACACUUGGAGUAGAGAACAAAUAUCAACUUGGAUUAACCCCUAAUAAUAUUAGAGACAUACUAACAUCACCCAAUCCAUAAGGUUUUCGCAACAAAUUGAUUCCACGUCACUCACGUCCCUAAGAGCUCCUAAGGUUUCCAUCCUAAGGUGUAGCACACUGGACCUUUGCAAAUUGCAAGGUUCAAGUGUUUGAUAUAUGAUCUGAGUUUUUUCAGAUAUUCUGGAGGGUCGUUGACAGUGUUUCGACCUAUGGCUCGUAUCCCGAGAAUUGUGGUAUUUAUAGUAGUGCUUAGGUCGCCGAAGUGGAGGACUUAGGUUGCUCUCGGGUUGCCUCAGUAGGGCUGUGUACCGAUACAACAUUGAAGUUGUACCAGAACAAGUGGUUGUGCCGGUACAGCAUCGGAAGUGUACCGAUACACUUGGCUGUUUUCUGCGAACCCGAGCCUCGGGUUUGCGCGUACAGGGUUUUGUACCGGUACACUUUUCCGUGUACCGGUACCAAUGCAGUCCGCAGACUGCUUGUUCUGGGAGGGUGUUUUUGCAAUUGUUGCUUAUCUAUAAAGCACCCCACGCCCCUUUGGAGUUCCCUGAGCUUGAGACCAGACGAGGAGAAGGUAGGGAGGCCAUCUAAACCCUCUCUUUGAUUUUUCUUCUUGCCAUCUAAACCCUCUCUUUGAUUUUUCUUCUUUUGUUGGGACUUUUGAUGAUUUAUUCCCUCUUUUUUCUUCUUGGUGUGAAUUUCACCAUGGAAGGAGCUUGGAGCUUGGUUUUGGAGCUAGUUGGAGGAGAGGUGUCACGCCCCGGGACCCAGCGGAAGCCCGCCCGGUGCGUGCCCAGACCCGCCAUAUGUCUACAACAUAUAAGGCGUCUAAAAACAACAAUAAUAAAAGCAAUAAUACAAGACAUCUAGAAGUAUCAGAGCAUAGUAAAUGUCUAAUUGCUACAACAAGGGAUAAAGUUAAAACUGUAAUUCCACUAAAUAAAACAUAAAGUAAGUACAAUAGGGAUCCCAUAACGAGUGCUAAAAGUAGGUACACAGGUGGUCUUUCUAUACAUGGAAACCAAAAGCCUCACGCUCUCNAAUCCACAAGGUAUACGAGUGAAAUAAAGAGAGUACUUUACUAACUAUUAUAAUAGUUGCAUUCUUUACAUUUGAUCUUCAAAAUACAUAGCUCUCCAACCUCGCCUACAUGAGUCUCUCUCAAUACAUACGGGUGCUAAUGCAAAAAGGAAAGCUACUAUACUACCACAGCCUCACUGAUCGGGCGCGAUGCCUUUGCCGCGGUCCUCCCUCGACAAUCCUGAACCUACCACUGGAAAUAGAGUGGGGUGAGAACUAUCUUCCAUAGUUCCCAGUGGGCUCGGCCGCCGACUCUACCGAUCUCCCCACUAGGUCCAAGUGGGCACAAGUAACAACAGAUAGAUAGAUAGAUAUGUAUCUGAAAGCUGUAAAUGCAGUAGUAGGAAAAACUAUGCUACUAUGCCCAUAAUCAUGAAUAUGAAUGCAUGCAUCAUAUAAAUAAGGUUUGCUACCAUGCUAACAAAUUCGAUCCAUGUUCGAAUAGUAAUGUUCAAUGACAUUAAUAAACCUUUCCAUUUACUCAAUCUGUAGCGAGGCCCUAGGGCUCGCCUAUGACUCACCAUUUAAUACCAAAGUGGGGAGGGAGCUCCAAGUGCACCCAGGCCCGGGACCGUCUGCGGACCUCUAUGUGGUCCGGACCUCCAAGUGGUCCUAGUCGCGCGACACUCCGGAGUACUCGAUGACAAUCCCCUCCAUGUGGGGAUUGGAUGGUUAUACCAUCCCAAACGCAGACUGUGAACUAGAUCUAUCCUCUCCAAGUGAGGAUACCCUACAACUAGGGUCAACAACCCAAUCCAAUCCUCUCCAAGUGAGGAUGCCCUCCAACUAGGGUCAACAACCCAAUCCAAUCCUCUCCAAGUGAGGAUGCCCUGCAACUAGGGUCAACGACUAUCGCGGAAUCAUCAGUUCCCGACAUUCAUGCAAUGCUAUUUAGCUUUCUAAAUUCAUUGUUCACAAGGCAUUUUCUAAGGGAUCCACCUAUCCCUAGGUCCAUCGACCUCUAGUGUUAUUUACACUACAUUAAUGCCACUCAUUAUCAUUCAAUAUUUGGAUGCCACUCGUUUGUUCUUUAACAAUAACACUACUCUCUAUGUCAUCAAUUCCCCCAUCGUGUUCAUCUCUUUUCUUUCGUACCAUAGGAUUCACGUCUCGACCCAAUCCUCACCUAUCUAAAUUACCAAGCGUUCCAAGUACACUAGGUUAUCAAUUAGAAAGCAUAAGGAAUGGAACUACUAUGGAAUCCUACAAUGCACAUGAAGAGAUGAGAUUAAAUGCAAUCUAAGACAUAGAAAGGAGUUCGAAAGUUUCGGAUGACACCCCACACCUUUAAUCGAUGUAGAGGCUUGGAAAAUCCUUCUCGGCGAGCUCUAUGAAAAGGCUUUAGCCUUCCUCGCCCGAAUCGACACUAGCUCGGCCCGAUUUUGCCGAGAACUUCACGUCGGUUCGCCGAAUGCCAAAAGCGACUUCGCCCCCGCAUUUUGGGACCUAUCAAUAGGGUUUCCAAGGCUUCAAAUGAGAUAAAUCUCAUACUUUUACAAAAACCCCAUUUUGGAGCCCUAGGUUUGCACCUAUAGCAAACCACCCAAUAAAUCCCUAGAUUCUUGGGAUUGAUCUAUUUAGAAGCUUGCAUAGGAUCCAUUUGACCCAUUCCAAGGCAUAAAAUCCAAAAACCCUAAGUUUACAAAGCUACGGUUUAGUAGCUUACCUCUAGAGCUACACCAAUGGGAAGAGGAGAGGGAGAUGGGGGUGCUCAAAGCCUUCCUCUUGAUCUCCUUCUUCUUCUCCUUCCUUAUCUUCCUCUUCUUUUCCUUCCUCUCCUUCUUGUUCUUCUUCUCCUUCUUUCCUUUCUAGAGAGAGAGAGAGCAAGAAAGAAAUGAGAGUGAGAGAGAGUGAAAUGAGAGAGUGUGAGGGAGAGAGAGGGCUCAGCCCACUCAAAUAAAGGCCAUUUUGCAUAAAAGCCCCUCAACUUUCACCCUGCUGCACUGCCCUCACUGCAGUUUAUCGCGCGAAGUCGGACGGUCUCCCUGACCUGAGACCGAUCCCCGAGAGCUUCGCCUCGGGCACACGGUGUUCAGGGAACCGAGUCUCUCCCCGUGGAGACUGCGUCCUCGGGAGACGGUCUUCGACCUGAGAGACCGGUUCCCCGAGAGCUCGAUUUUUCAGGAUUAUCAAUUUUUGGCAUUCUGCGCUGGACCCGUUCGAACGGGUCCCUCCCUGCAGGGACCGGUUGGCCAUCAGCAACCCCGCGUCACCCGCUAGUGCGGGAACCCGGUCUCUACCUCACGAGACCGGUCCCCGAGAGUAAUUCUUAGACGCAAUAGAGGCAGUUUGUCUUUGCUCGCGACCUCAACUCCAAAGCCACUUUUGUGUUUGGGAUCAUUCUCAACUCCCACAGAGGUAUACGUUUCGACAUUAGUCAAGUCUGCGAUGAAGUACAAUCCUCGUAUUUCGAGGAAUUCUACUUCCCUUUAAUUUGACCUAUGGCUCGUAUCCGGAGAAUUUCGGUAUUGUAGGUAGUGCUAAGGUCGCGUAAGUGGAGCACUUAGGUUGCUCUCGGUUGCUCAGCAGCGGCUAGUACCGAUACAACAUUGAAGUUAUCCGGAACAAGUGGUUACCGAUACAGAUCGGAAGUGUCCGAUGACCUUGGAUGUUUUCUGCGAACCGAGCUCGGGUUUGCCCGUUUAAGGGUUUGCACGGUACACUUUUCCGAUUACGGUUACCAAUGCAGUCACGGACUGCUUUGUUCUGGAGGGUUGUUUUGCAAUUGUUGCUUUAUCUAUAAAGCACCCAACGCCCCUUUGGAGUUCCCUGAGCUAGAGACAGGGAGGAGAAGGUAGGGAGGCUCUAAACCCCUCUUUGUUUUACCUUUUUUGUUGGAAUUUUUUAUGAUUUAUUCCCUCUUUUAUGCUUCGGGGUGUGGAUUUCACCAUGGAAGGAGCUUAGAGCUUGCCGUUUUGGAGCUAAGUCUGGAGGAGAGGUCUUCAACCCUAGCUCAUCCCAAGCCUUGUUUGGAGUUUCUCUUGAGGUUAGUUGCUUGUUUCCCCUCUCUAGAUCAUAAUUUUCAUGAUUUUUGUAUAGAAACCCUAGAAAUGGAAAACUUAGGGUUUAUUUCGGGGUUUUGGAUUUAAGGCUUUUGAAGCUUGAUUUCUUGUAUUAGAGCCUUCCUCUAGGUGGGAUUGGAAGGGUUCUAGCUCCCAUUUGGAGCUUGUGAGGGGAUUUCUACUCUAUAGGUGAGUUUUGGCCCUUUCGUUAAGUUGGUUAAUGUUUAACCUAUUCGUUAUUCGUAACGUUCGUGUAACACUCCUAGUUUAACCUUUAGGGAGCUAGGAGGCUUGUGGGCACCUUCGUCGCCGCAAACGAAGGGUUGCGAGGAGACUUGUUGGGUUUGGCCUCACCAAAACGGGAUAAAUCAUCGCUAUAAUGGUUUUUACUUAUCGUAAAAUGAAGAUACAUGCAUAUUCAUGCAAGAUAGAUUAUUUGUGAACUUUAGAAUGCUUAAAAUGCACAUGUUAUGUAUAAUGUAUUUUUGGACCUCUAUGUAGUAGAAGUUUGCAUGUUGGGCUUGAGCCUAUGGAUAGCGCUCCUAUGUGUGAAUUUGGAUCAUGUUUCAUAUAGUGAAAAUGACAAGUGCAUUGCAUUCUUGGACUUAGACUCAUGCUUUAUAUUGUAAGCUAAUGUCAUAAAGAGACAUUGGGCUUGGAGUUGGUAUAGUAAGCUAAUAUCAUAAAGGGGCAUUAGGCUUGAACUAGAUAUGGACUUAGCAAGCUAAUGUCAUAAAGGGGUAUUAGACUUGGAAUAUGUGUGGACUUAGUAAACCUAAUGUCAUAAAGUGGCAUUAGCGUUGGCACAAGAUUUUGGCAUAGUGUGAUAUAAUGCCAUAAAGGGGCAUUGGACAUAAUGAAUGGUUAAACCUUCACUUGAGACAUUGGACUAGACCUAUGAGUUGCUAGCGAUCAUUUCCAUGGUAGAGUCAUGAUGACCGGAUCGUUGAGACGAUGACUUUGCUUGCUUGCCAUUUGUGCUCAUUCGCACAUGCUUUUGAGGGUCGCUCCCUACAAGCCGGCACUUCGGAGUUGGCCUUUUUGCGACGUAGUUCGCGCGUGCGGGAUUGAGACGCCUGUAGGGUCGCGUGGGACAGCUUUAUUCAAGCUUGGGAUGAUGUGCUACCACGGGCAGCUAAGCGGCGAGGCGCCUGUAGGGUCGUGUGGGACAGUCCCAUUCCUCAAGGGGGAAUGUUGGUACUACCACUGGCAGCUAGGCUGCACAAGCUGAACUAUCUUGGGUAGGUCCUUAAUUGGAAAUGAAAAUCGACACGGAGUCGUUUAUGUAAUAAUCACUACUUGAUAGUAAAUCGUAGUUGGAUUCAAUGGACAUUGGGACAUAUAGUAUAUUUGGUCGCUAUGAUAGUGCAUACUACAUAUGUAUUGGACACUUGGACAUGUAGUAUACUUAAUAGUAUUGCUUAUUGCAUUUUAAUAUACUUGGGUGCCGUGAUAGAGCAUACUAGACAUGUUUUGGUAUAUUGGAUCAUGAUAGAGUAGAUGUACUCCAUGUUCAUAUCAUGUAUAUUUGUGGCAUAGUAGUGUAGCAUUUAUUAUAUGCUUUCUUUUCCGCUGUUAUUAUUAUCCAUAUCUGCUUAUGUUUUGGGCCUAGUGGUGCAUUUUGCUCAGGUCAGUAAUUGCCCACUGGGAACUAUAAAUUAUAGUUCUCACGCCCCCUGUUUUAUGAUUUCUUUCAGAGCCUUCCACUUCGGGAGAGGCUCUGGAUCGCGGGAAAGGUAUCGCCUCAAAUUAGCUUGCGAGGGGUUCAGCGAUAGGUGGUCCACCUUUCUUUUGAGUUUUGUUUUGUAGAGGUUGAGAGAGACUUGUACCAUUUUGUAGAGACCACCCCAUACUUGUAUCUUGAGAUUUGUGUUGUAUUAAGUUUACUUCUUACUGUAGUGGUUUUGUUUCUGUUGACUAUAUUUGUUGGUAGAACCUAGCUGUAUACUGCCUAAUAUCUCUAGAUACUCUCGGUUUUUUAUUCAUUUAUUCGCUAUUGUUGUAGACGCCUUAUAUGUGCAGGCAUAUAGCGGGUCUGGGCACGCACUGGGCGGGCUUAUGCCGGGUCCCGGGGCGUGACAUAAGGGUUCCUAGGUCCAUCCUAAACUUUCAUUUUUCAAGCUCUAAUACCAUUAUAUCUGUCACGCCUCGAGCCCGCCUAUUUGGUCAAUUCGGGUACGUCAACAGACGCCGAACAGACAACACCUCUCCUGUCCGCCCAAGGCUCAACAAGACAACAACAUGUAUAUAAAUUUUACAUAGCGGUAGCAUACAUAUACAUGGCUUGCACGAGGGCAAGCAACAACCAAAAGUGAAAGUUCUAUAACUAUUACAUCUAUACAAGUACUAUAAUUACCUUUAAUCACAUACAUGCAUAUGAACAUUUACAUUCUUUCAUUAUUUUCUUUAUACAUCACAUGAUCCUCCAAAAUAUAAGCCUUUUACAUUUAUACAUCAUUUAUACAACUUUCAUCAUCAAAUACAAAAGAUGAUAAUAACAGGUAUGAAACUAUACUCAGGUGAAGAAUAAAGCAGAUAGAUAGGUAACCAAGCUAAAUAAAUACAGCUAAUAUGCUUGAACAAGAUACGAUCAAUAAAGGAUGCUCAUGAUGCAUGCCAAAUAUAUUUUUAAUACCCAAUCCUCUUGGCUAACCCGUAGGUUUCGCCCAAAACUCACUAACUCAAAUUCCUACUAUCGGGGAGAAACUCCUACAACCCAACGGGACCGUCCUCUGGGAAAACUCCAACCCAGUGAUGACUACUAUAAGAAUGUUAUGCUCAAUCUAAUCCUUAACUAAAAGGAUGCUAUGCUCUCACUAAUCCACAACUACGAGGAUGUCACAUUCACCAUGCCACAACACACUAUGUGUUCAAUGCUCCAGCAUUCAUUAUGCCAACUAAUGCCACACACCAAGCAUCUCAUUCUCUAACAUUCUUUAUGCUCAUUAAUGCCACAAGGCUACUUUAUUCAUGUGUCAUAAUGUCACUAUAUUCUUUACCUCAACUAGGUUCAUGUCACAAGGUUGCUUUACUCAUGUGUCAUAACACUACAACAAAACUAUAUUUUAGCGGCGAUUAUUUUUUAAAUUAGCGGCAAUUACAAUUGCCGCUAAAAUGUUUUGUGGCAAUUUUAACAAUUGCCGCUAUUGGCAGGGUCGCUAAAAGUUUUAGCGGUAUUUAUUCUGGCGGUUGGUAAAAAUCCAAAUAAAUGCCGCUAAAUAUUAUACAAUAACGACUAUUAUAAAUGCCGCUAAAUAGUAUGCAAUAACAACUAUUAUAAAUGCCGCUAAAUAAUAUACAAUAACAACUAUUAUAAAUGCUGCUACAAUUAAUUAUAAUUGUCGCAAAAAACAUACUAAAUGAUUGAUUAAUAAAGCUUAUAGCGGCAAUUAAAUUAAUAUUAAAAUACUUGAUUAACAACUAAAUACUACAAUGAAUUGAAAUAUUAAAAAAUAUUAGUAACCAAAAAGCAUUAAUAAUUUGUAUAACAAAUAGUCUCAACUCUCAAAUUACAAUCUCAGAAUUCAAAUUAAAUUUCAAACAUAAGUUCUAACAAAAAAUACUUGUUCAAAAUGUAGCAAAAAAAUAACAAACACCGCAUGUCUUGCUUCCAGCUUCAAUUUCCGCAGCUCCAGCUGAUCUGGAUCAACCAAAAAGAAGUCAUAAAAUUAGUAUCUGAAAUUACCAAAUAAAAAUCAUCAUAUCAAAUUUCUGAAAAAUAUAGAAAUUAGGUUGUACUGUUCAUCAACAAAUAAGAAGACAAUAGUUAACAAUAUAUAAAUACCAUAAAGCAUAUCCGCAAAAUAAUUAAUAAUGUAAAAGACCAAGUUCUGAUUGAUGGUUAAUCCUAUUUGUGCUUGGUUGAGGAAUAAAGAUUGUUCCGCUAUAGGGGAUAGUAAACAACAUGUUUUGAUUGGGUUUACUCAUAACUUGCUUGGCUAGGGAUAUGAGGUAAUCCAUAAUUAGGGUAGUAGCUCUAUUGGCAGAAGGUGGUAGGUCAUUUUCGCCAUAAGUCAAUAAUAUAGCUUUUGGAUCAUCUUGGAACUGAGAGCAAACCGAAGGCAACUUUUCUUCAGGAGAGGCAUGGGAAUGCUCUUCCAUUGCCCUCGUCAGGCAGCACAAGAUAUCAACAAGAAGGUGAAAAGCAAUCUAUUUUAGAAGUAUUUAAACACUCUUCAAAUAAGUGUAUCAAAUGGAGAAACUUGUAAAAACAGUAUAUCUUGUAUGGAAACGACUUUUUUGGCCUUUCACCGAUUUCAUCGAUAGCUUGUAUGUAUGGAAACGACUUACCAGAGAUGUCCUACGAAGUUCUGGGUUUAUGAACUCCAGUAUGCGAGCAAUGAUAUAAACAAAGUUCAGAUCUGCAACCAGUAUAUCUUCUAUACCAGGUUUCAAUACUUAUAUAACCACAUCUUCCCCAGAAUUUUCAGCCUUGCAGCAUGAACCUGGAAGGAAGUUACAGAAAUCUUCAAAAGUGCAACCUCAUAUGAAACAAAGUAAAAACAAAAAGGGUCUUUCACAUACAUAAACCCUAACAAUUCAUCUACUUACAAAUAUAUCCAUCUAACAUCUGAAUUUCCAUAUAUAUCCCCCAAAACUACAAAAUACACUUAUCUUAAGUUGGGUGUCACCCAAUUUAUGAGGGAAAUUGGUUUUAUAUUAAGAGAAACUAUAAAUAAGGUAUUUUCGUAAAUAUAAGGAUAGCAUUUCUUGAAGGGUAAAUAUAUCAAAUCAAGAUUGAAGAGACAAAUCCAUUAAUAGAUAUAUUUGCAGGAUUAAACAAUAAAUAUUUUAAUUAGGGAGGUCAACAUACAAACCUGAGCAAUUGAGGCUGAGGCAAUGGGAACUGGAUCAAUAUACUCAUAGACACUAUCUAAUGGCCUCUGCAAUUCUUCACGCAAGAUAGCCUCAAUCUGAUUGAAAGCACUUCUGAAAUUCCUCUACAUAUUCUGUAGGAAACAAUGUUAGGUGCAGAUGCUAUGAACUGCACCUCUGAGUAAUCAGUUGAAAUUCUGGUUGAUGAAUUAUGAGAAAUUAUAACCACCAAGAUUUGUCAGUAAACUGGGUGCCACCUUUUCAGCACAUAAAUAUGACCACAAGAAAACAUAGCUAUAAAUUUGAGAAAACAUCAGAGGAGAAAUAUAUUCUCUUUCCAGCAGUGGAAGAUUAGUAAGCUUAUCGAUUUAAGAGAAUACGAAAUAUACCAGAAAAGAGAAUACAUUGCUAAAGUCUUCAAGCUACAAAAGGGGAAUUAAAAGUUAACAUAUAACAUGCAUCUCUUUACCUGGCCUAACUUGAUGUAAGUUGCUCCCAUGCGUUCAAAUAAUUUCCGCACAUAAAUUGGGGACAGCAAUCCAAGCUGCAUGUCGGUUGGUAGCCUCAAAGAAGUGCUUGUGCUUGUUGCCUGCAUGAAAUCGAAGAUAAAAGCUUUUACUACUACUGAAGUUCCUCUCUAUAAUUUGAACACCACAGAAGCAGCAUCUAGAGAUAAGUUUAUAAUACGUAUCAUGGUUCAUGGAGGGUUAAAUGACUCCUCUGUACUAAGAACUAUAUAUCCUGUUUGCCUAAGUAUAUUAGUUAUACGGAAAAUUGUCUAGCUUGCAUAGCUUAUUUGCUUUAUUUGAGAGGUUUUUAGUCCAACUCAUCAUUGGGCAAGUCCGGACAAACUGUACAGCCUUUUCAGAGAAAGGACCUUAACAUAAAAGAUAAGAUCUAGACAUAUUCGUUGCACCUCCCUCGAAAUACUUUCUUGGAGAGACAAUAAGGUACAAAAAAAUUUAAAUGAAAAAAAUUUAUUCUUUAGGAUUAGUGAAAAGUGCACACACUUCUCAGCUCAAUAAUCAAUUAUAAUUGUUUAUAUUGGGUAUUGACAUUUGCACAAAGCAUCUAGAUGAUUCAAUUCACCAAAUCAGAUAAGCAUUCCCAGAAAAGCUCUUAACUAAUGCAAAGAAAGCAAAAUUUUUACAUUGAUAAUGUUUCAUCUAUUGCUGGGAACUUUAUUUUGUAGAGGAUGUAUAUCUCUGUACCUUUGACACAUCAUUUAGCCACUCUGAACCAACCUCAAUAACAGCUUGGAUGACUUGGGCCAUCCUCAGUGCACCCCGAGGUCCUAUACUGAGUGAUGUUUGGAGAAUGUCUUCCACUAGCUUCGGCAACUCAUUUAUCUUGUCUGGAUCAAAAUAAAGCAUUAUACACAACUGUGCCUGAAAAUUAGGAUGUGCGGUAUAGUUAUACUAAAUCAACAAGACCAAGAUGAAAUGAUGAGGCAAUUUGACACUCUAAAUUUGAAAAUGUUGGCUUAUAGAUACUGUACUAUUUGCCCAACAUACAACUAUGUAAGGUUGUUAGGGAUUGAUUCUACAACAGUCACCCCUUAACUUUGGACUCAGGUUGAGGCCAGGCUAAUGUUGAAGUUUGCGCAACACCUCACCAUAUCCAAUGUGAAACAAUUGAUUACUCUAAAAGCUUAAGCUACUAAGGAAUGGUAUUCAUACAAUUUUAUAUUUAACACUUUCCCUCGUAUCUGGGCUCAAGGCUUAGGUCCAAAACCAUGAUAUAAAACUAAGUAAAUUUUAUUUAAACGCCAUUAAUUAUUAAUUAAUUAAAAAAUCACAAGGUAAUAUUUAUAGGACCAAAGUUAAUUUUACAGCUAGUGAGAUAGAACAGAAUCUAAAAUCCUGUUAAGAGUAGAGUGAUACUUUUCAAAACUCAUACUUUUCUUUUAUGAAAGUCAGUCAGAUAACAUCAUAUCUGAAAAAACAUCUUGAGUAUAUCAAACUGAAUAUGAGGCAAAAUUCUAGUUACUUGCGGAUAAAAAGAUAUUCACAAUCAAACAUUUUAUGAAUAAAAAGUCAAACAUUGAUCACGAUUUUGGAGGUCUAAAUAAUCUCAAGCGUCCCGAAAUUCGUACUGAACUUCCAACUUAGUAGGUACUAUUAAGUUCGAUUGUCAGGCCUCAUCUAGUUCUUCUGUCUGUAUAUUUUAACUAGUUCUUCUCGAUCCGUACAAAUAAAAUUAAGAAUCGUCUCGAUCUGAAUUAAUAUUAGAAGAUACAUCUUUGAACUUCGAUUCAAUCUGAAUCAAACUUAACCACCUAAAUUUUCUGUAUCAGGAUGUUCUCAUGUUAGUCACAACACUUUUUAAGAUGACCCUCAACUAAUUAAGAGUGCAAAUUAAGUUUGUCCUGUAGAAUGCGAAAUGCAUAAGAUACAUAAAACUGAUAUGUGAGAUGAGAUCUUAGGAUUUGGCUCCUAUAAGAAAUGAUCCAGAAUUGUAUGUACCAAACGAAGGUUAGAUAAACAGCGCCAGCAGAGUUUAGUAUAAACUUGAAAUAUAAAAUCGAAAGUAAUAAUGCUUCCUAAUUAAUCAACUUGGAUGAAGGCUUAUACAGACAUUCUUUAGAUUAGAUGUAUUAAGAGUAAAUUAAAUAGGUUUUCAUUACUCGUUCACUUACAUAAAGUAAUAACAUAUAAUUUCCUUGAAAUUUUGAAGCAAUUCAAAAUACAUCAUUAGACAAUGUUAUUAGAUCUCAGCCAAGAGAUAAGAAGUAGCUAACUCAAAAAUUUACUGUUAAUUAAAAAAAAUUCUAAAAGCAAUCAGAGUAUGAAACUAAGUGUUGGAGGAGGCAAAAUUUAGAUAAAAAAAUUAAUUAAAUUAGAUGGGGGUAAGAGGGGAAAGGAGGGAUGCGAACUUGAUGCGAUGGAUCUCCUCAAAGAACUGGAGAUCGUAGACCUUGUCGGUGACGGCGAAGUGGACGACGCCGGCGAUGUGGUGGCGCUCGAUCGAGGUGGUCGACGGCGACGUUGCGCCGGCGCACACGAGGCCUAGAAGAUCGAGGGCCGAAAAGAUCAGGGCGAAUACGAGGGCGAUUUGGGACUGGGAUCGGAGCUUGGAGAGGACGCGGAAGAAGAGGGAGGAGGGGAUGAGCAGAGGUGGAGAGAGCGAGAGCUCGAGCUCGCGCGAAGGGGGAGAGCUCGAGCUCGCAGAGAAAGGGGUGAGGGAGCAAAGGGAUCGACGCAGGGGAGGGGUGCGGCAGAGUGGGAUCGGGUUGGGUUCGGAUGAGGAUGAGGGUUAGUGUUAGGGUUAGGGUUGUAUGAGUGCUCAAAGUAAAUAUAUUUAAUGAUAUUAGUCGGUAAAGAUACGUAGUUUAAAAUAAUUGUCGCUAAAGUACAAAUAGAUAAUAAGUAAUAGUGGCUGUUCAAUAAUCGCCACUAUUAAAUUGCCGCUAAAAGGUAAUUUUGUUGUAGUGUAAUGUCACUAUAUUUUUAUCUUUAUACUAAAAGCAUGCAAAUAACAUAUAUCCACACAUUCUCAACUUAACUCUACAAUGCAUGAAACCUAUAUACACAUACAUGCUUAAGUGACAUUUAGACAUAAAAGGAGAUUCGAUGAAUUCAGGAAGCACUACCCAUCUCGUAGGGUUACUAGGGUGCUAGAAUCCAUGUUCCGGAAUUUAUAGUCGCCAAUCGCCCACGACCCUCGGUAAAUGAAGCCAAAACGGGGUUUUUCCUCAAUUUCUUUGCGUAGACUUGUCGGAUCCUCGAACCGAGUCUCCCAACGCGUCGGUUUUCUCACCAAGUAGGGCUACAAGAGAUCAAACCUUAGUUAGAUCUCAAUCCUAGCAAAACCCUAAUUUGACCCCUAGGGUUUCCAUUAUUGCCAAAUAUUCACAUAAAUCUCAUAAUACAUGGAGAUUUAUACACUAAUCUACCAUAAUAGCUUCUACAUAUCAUAACUAGAAGAGAUUAGCAUAAACCCUAGCUAAACAUCACAAGAACUCACCUUGAGUUCUAGCUUCUUCCUCCACUUGUUGCACAAGUGCUAACUCUACCCUCCAAUAGGCUUUCUUCUCCACCAAGGCCCCCCUCUUGCAGCAAUCCUAGUGAGAGAAGGAGAGGAAAGGAGGGAGAGAGAGUAAGAGGGGCUCUAGAGAGAGAAAGAGAAAGCUUGUCUCUUUGGGUCUCAAAUGGGGAAAUGAGAGCUAGGGCAGCCAACUCUCCUAUAUGGUCCCAAAAAUGACAUUUACACUCAGGCCCUUCAACAAUACACCCAACUGAACGAACCCACGCAUUUUGCGAGUACGUGGUCCGGACCUUGCAUAGGGUCCGGACCCCGAGAGCAACAUUUCACAAUUUUCGCAGCGAGGGUCCGGACAGUGCUACAGGGUCCGGACCCCGAGAUCAAAACAUAUUCAAAACACUCUAAAUUUUUCCAGAGUUGCUCUCCAAGGUCUUAACACCAUAUAUAACCAUUUCGACGCACUCGAAACCUCAUUUCGGUCAAUUUGACUGAAGUUCAGUACAACCUACCGAAGUUUCGGUAUAUUACAUAGAUAGUGGGGUCACCGAGUGUAGGUCACCUUAUGUAUGAUAAAAGAAUGUAAAUGUUUAUUGGAGAUGUAAUUUGGAAUGUAAAUGUAUUAGAGAGCAAAGGUUGUAUAUUGAGGAAAGAAUCAUGUAUUAUGUAAAGUGUAUUAUGUAAAGUGGAAAAAGCAUGUAAAUUGUGAAUGUCCAAUGUUGUAAUAGUUAGAAUUUACUUUCACUUGCUCCUGCUGCUUGUCCUCGUGCAAGCCAUAUAUAUUGAAAUUUUCCUGGGCAAUUAUUUCUUUAUACAUGCUUAUGUUGUUGUGAUUGAGCCUUGGACGGACAGGGGAGGCUCUGUCCGUUGGGCGUCUGUGCACGUGCCCAAACACCAAAGUGGCGGUCCCGAGGCGUUACAUCCAGACACGCACCGGGCGGGGUUCCGCUGGGUCCCGGGGCAUGACAGACUGCCAGCUGCAAGGAUGACGAGAAGUGCAAGCAUAUCAUUGCCGAAUUGCUGUUGCAACCCAUACCACACUUGCAGUACACCUACGCCCAAGACUUGUUACGAUACAAGGGAAGGAUUUACGUGGGGGACCAAGGUGACAUUAAGGAGAGAAUAUUAAGCCAGUUGCACUCAUCGGCCCUGGGAGGCCACUUGGGGGUGCGACACACCUACAGGAGACUAAACCAAUACUUUUACUGGUCGAGUCUCAAACAAGUUGUACAAAACUACACCAAGAACUGCAUGGUUCGUAUACAGAAUAAGGUGGACGGUCAACUUUAUGCUGGCUUACUUCAACUGUCACGCCCCGGGACCGGCGAAGGCCCUCCCGGUAGCGCGCCCAGACCCGCCAUAUGUCUACACAUAUAAGGCGUCUACAAUACAAGCGGAAGUAAAGCAAGAGAUAGAAUAAAUAGAAUGAACAGCAACUAAUGAUAUCAGAGCGAGUAAAGUUCUAUCAUUUAAACCAGAGUAAAAGAAACAUAGUUAAACCAUAAAAGAAAAUAUAAGUAGUACAACAUCGAUGUCUAGUACAAAAAUGGUGGUCUCUAGUACACGGGUAAACUCUCAACCUCUCACAAAAAGAAAUACAUCGAGAGGAAGACCACCUAAACUCGUCUCUCACUGAAGGGCUAACUCGAAGCAACGCCCUUCCCACGGUCCCUAGCCUCUCCCGGCGUGGAAGGCUCUGAAAGAAAACAUAAAACAGAGGGCGUGAGAACUAUAAUUUAUAGUUCCCAGUGGGCAAUUACUGACCUCAGCUCAAUGCACCACUAGGCCCCAAAAGGAAAGGGUAAGUCGAAAGCAAUAGUAAUAACGAGUAAUUUGCAUUUAUGAAAGCAUAAUGGAAAUGCUAAACUACUACUUGCAAUUAAACAUGGCAUUUAUGCAAUGCACAAUUAUCUUGUCAUGAAGGAUAUGUCUCUACUUAGGCAUAGAUAAUGUCAUGGUUUGCUUAAUGAAAUUAUGAGGAUUAUCCUUUAUCAUAGCAACAUUGUUUAUAUGAAUACAAUUAAGCAAUGCCUCCUAGCAUACUACAUGUAUGUAUAUAUACCCAAGUCCAAAUCUAUGCUAGAAGCAAGUACGAGUAAUCCAACUACUACUCUUUAUUUGGUAGUGAUUAUAACAAACUCAUCCCGUGUCGAUUUCCAUUUCCAAUUAAGGACCUACCAAAGGUAGUCCAGCUUGUGCCGCCUAAGUGCCUGUGGUAGCCCAACAUCCCUACUCUUGGAAUGUGUCUGUCCCACUCGACCCCGUAGGCUUCUCAAUACCGCACGAGCGAAACAUAAGUCGCGUAGGCUAACUCCGGAGUGCCGGCUUGUAGGGAGCGACCCUCAUAAGCAUGUGCGAGUGAGCACAAAUGGCAAGCAAGCAUAGUCAACGCCUUAAAUACCCAAUCAUCAUGUCUUUAACAUGGCAAUAUUCGCUAGCAUCUCGAAGAUCUAGUUCUAGGUCACAAUGUGAAAUUCUAAUAUUCACUAAGUCUAGUGCCCCUUUAUGACACUUAGACAUUUCGAUGAACAAGCACACUCCAACUCACUCAAUGGCACUAUCCACUAAAUUCACACAUAACCUGAGCUCAAUGCCCCUUUAUGACAUUAGCCCAAUUGUACACAAGUAGUGCAAAUCCCCGAGCCCCUUUAUGGCUCACAAGAAACCUUUAAAUCUCAAAUAGAAAUAACUUUAAAUGCAUGCAUGAGAUGCUCAUUUUCACCAUAGGAAUUAUGAUUCCAAGUCUCAAUAGGAUGCUAAACCUGUUCACGUUCCAUAUGCUAGCUCUCUACUACAUAGAGGUCCGAAAUUUUCACCACAUGUAACGUAGGGAAUUUAAGCCUUCUAAAAAUCAUAAUAAAUAUAUCAAACAUGAAAAUGCAUGAAUAAACAUUUAAUAGUACUCAAAUAAACACAAAUAAGAUUUUCUCAUUGUGUGGCUAGGUUAAACCCACCGAACCGUCGCGUGCUCCUUCGAUUCGCCGAACAGAGUUGUCCACAAGUCUCAAAAUACCCUAAAAGUAUUGAGCGAAGAGAUACACGGGCAUUACGAUCAACUAUAGGAUCAAACAUUAACCAUCUCGAAAAUAGGGUCAAAACUCACCUCUAGUGCAAAAUCUCUUCCUAAGCUCCAAAAGAGAGCUAAAUCCCUUCCAAUCCAACCCAAAGGAAGGCUCUAAUCCAAGUGAUCAAGCUCCAAAAGCCCUAGAUCAAAAAUCCCCAAAAUCAACCCUAAAAUCUCAUUCUAGGGUUCCAACACAUGAAAACCUCAAAUCCAAAGUCUAGAUGGAGAGAAAGGGCUACCAACCUCUAAGAAGCUUCAAUCCAAGCUCAAAGGGUGAAGAUCUUCUCUCUUGCAAGCUCCAAGUCCAAGCACCAAGCACCAAGGAAGAAGAUAGGGUGAGGAAGAUGCUCCAAGUCCACUAGUAGCUCUCAAACUUCUUCUUCUUCCCUCCUUCUUCCCCUUCUCCUUCUUCUUCUUCUUCUCUAUCAAGGGUGUAGAGAGAGUUGAGAGAAGAGAAAUGAGGAGAAGAGAGAGUGGAUGGGUCAUAUAGACCCUCUAUUGUAACAAAAUCCAACUAGGUCCCUCAAAAAUCCAAUAUUGCAACAGCCCGGUCUGGGCAGUUUUCGCCCAGAGGGACCGGUCUCUCCCCAGCAGGGACCGGUCUCUCGCUGCGAACCCGAGAAACCAACGUUCGGGAACCGGUCUCUCCCUGCGCGGGACCGGUCUCUCACUGCGUAGACGCGCUCGGGGACCGGUCUCGCCCGCCAGGGACCGGUUGCCUCAGGACUGCCGCAACACUGCUCACUGGGGGACCGGUCUCUCCUUUCAGGGACCGGUCCCCGAGAGUGAAAACUCUCAGGACUGGUCCAGAAUUCAGGUUUUCGAACUUUUUAGGUUGGAAAACAUUCUACGACCCUCCACCAAGUGUGGAAAAGCUCGAAACACAUCCAGUCACUCGAACCUCGCAAUUUGCAAAGGUCCAGUGUGCUACAUCAACCCCUGUCGAUUCCCACAAGGGAAUGACAAGAAAUUACUAUGGAUUUUAUUGAAGCCCUACCAAAAUCCGAAGGCAAAGACAGUGUUAGUGGUGAUAGACCGACUCACCAAGUAUGCCAAUUUCCUCUCCUUGACCCACCCCUUCACAGCCUCAAGCAUCGCGAGAGCCUUCCUCGACACAGUCUAUAAACUGCACGGGUUGCCUAAAACAAUACUGACGGACCGAGACAAGGUGUUCACAAGCAAGAUGUGGUAAGAAAUAUUUAAACUGUUGGGAGUUAAAUUGCUAAUGAGCACAGCCUACCACCCGCAAACCGACGGCCAAUCCGAGAGGCUAAACCCGUGCCUCGAGACUUACCUUCGUUGCAUGUGCUCUCAUCAGCCACACACAUGGCAUAAAUAGCUGAGUAUGGCGGAAUGGUGGUAUAACACCACAGCUCGCUGGGAACGACACCCUACCAGGCUCUCUACGGACAUCCGCCGCCCAAUGGUUUAGUCGUGAAUUUAGGAGUAGAAACCUCACCUACGAUACAAGAGUGGGGAAGGGAACAAGAAGGGAUGACACGACUGCUAAAGGAAAGACAGCUAUAAGCCCAAAACCGCAUGAAGCAGAAUGCCAACAAAAGAAAGGUACAUAAAGAAUAUCAAGUAGGAGAUUAUGUAUACCUGAAGCUGCAACCUUAUAGCUAAGUGAGUGUCGCAGUUAGGUGAAACCUGAAGCUCUCAGCGCGAUACUACGAGCCUUUUAAAAUCAUGGAGAAGAUUGGACAAGUGGCAUAUUAACUACAGCUGCCGGAAGGAUCGAAGAUCCACUCGGUGUUCCGUGUAUUAUUGUUGAAAAGGAGCCCCCAAACGAACUCACCGGUAAACCCAAUAGUGCCCUUGGUCGGGGAAGAUGGUCAGCUGCUCGCACGGCCGGAGCGAAUAUUGGAGAGGCGCAUGGUGAAGUAAGGAAACUGAGCAGCUAGCCAAGUGCUCGUGAAGUGGGAAAGCCUGGACGAAGGAGCAGCUACCUGGGAGGAUUAUUGGUUUCUUAAGUCCCAGUUCCCGAACUUUGAUCCGGAGCCCGAUCCGUGAGGCCACGGAUCUUCUAAAGUGGGGAGGAGUUGUAAGACCUAUAGAAUAAAUAGUAGAAAUAAUUAGUAAACAGGGAGAGAAAGGUAGCAACUUUACUUAGUAGAGUAACCGGUAGUCGCAAGAAAGAAAAUGGUGAGCUCGGGGAGAUGAUCAGGCUGAAGAUGCUUCGAGAGAGCUCUAGCCAGUCGUCGGAGGAAGAGGAGGCAUGAGGAAGCUAGGGCAUCCUCCAAACAGGGAAGGAGGAGAAGAUCAGAGUAGAGAAAUAGAUACACAAAAUCUGGAGUCUGGGCGAAGUAGUAAUACUUCAGAGACUGGCGGGUCAGAGGACCAAAACUCUGGAUCGGGGGGAAAUGGCGGACCCAAAACCCCCUAUUUGGAGGGUUGAAGAAAGAGGGCGCCCGCUAACCCACGUUCGACUACUAGGAUGCUUUGGACUGGCCGAGCCCAACUAAGGCCCAAGCCCCUACUGAAUUGAAGCCAAAUCGGUCCGAACCUCUUUUUAUCACUUUUGCGAUAUAACCUUCAUAGAAUGGCUAUUUUCAUUUCAGUAUGAAUCACUAGGCAUUAUAAGUGCCAAAUUAUGCUGUAAACAAAAACAUAUGGAAUAUAGUAAAGCUUUUUCUUCCCAAAUUCUCUUCCUCCUUCCCGUCUCUCAUCUUCUUCUCCUACCUUCAUCUCUCUUUUCCCUCUUUAACCCUCUCUUCCCUUCUCGCUCUCAACUCAGCCGACUAGCAUUAUCGGAGGUAAUUCUGCUGUUGUAACGCCAUCAUCCUCCCUGCCAUCCUUGUCUCGGCAAAAUCUCGUCAUCGACGGGUUGCGAGUUGUCUGGGGUGUUAUAUCCGGUCUGAAUCUACAAAAUAGAAAAUACAGAUCUAGUUUUGUAAAAACUCAAACUUGUAAAUUUUUUAUGCAAACUGGCAUAUUUUUUAUGCAAAUAGAUUAAAAAAAAGGGGCCAAUUUGCAUAAAAAAUCCACUAAUUUUAGCUUUUGCAAAAGUGGGCCAUCUUUUUCGUUUUUGCAGAUUCGGACCGAAUUUUCAGCAAACUGACCAAAAUAUCAGUUAUUACUUUUUCUCUCUCCUUUUUCUCUCUCCUUUUUUUUUUUUUCUCUUGUUCAUUUUUUUUUCUCUCGCUGAAGAGGCAGCGGAGGCAGAGGCGGAAGCGGAAACCGCUCGCCUCACCUCUCACCCUCAUGCUCUCGCCCUCGCCCUCGCCCUCGCCCUCGCCCGUGCACUCCCCAGCUUCCUCGCCUCCGACCCCGCCAAGGCUGCGCCGCAACUCUUUUUUUUUUCCUCUCUGACUCUCCUCCACCAUCUCCGACGACGACGACUCUCUCAUCCUUCCCCGCCAUUCUUGUCCUCUCCCUCUCCUUCCUCCUCUACCGCCUUCGCCGACGACGCAUCUUCGCCGAUGCCGGCACCGUGGAGAUCGCUGAGGCGCUGCAGCCUCGGAGCGUAGGGUUCUUAGCGGUGCUGUCGCCGGCGCUUGCAGAGACGGGUGACAAAAAAAUAUAUAGAAAAAACAAGAAAAAAAUAAAGAUAAAAAAUUAUAAAAAAAAGAUGAAGAUGAAAUUGCACUGUUAAAAAAAAAUUUACUGUUUUAAAAGAACGUUGCACUAUUAAGAUGUAAACUGCAGCUUUAAGAUAAAAAUUACACUCUUUAAACAAAAUUACACUCUUUAGGAGAUAUUUACACUGUUUCUCCUCUUAUUGCACUCUUUCAGAUGUAAAAUGCAUCCAUUAAGAUGAAAGUUACACUAUUUAAACGAAAGUUGAACUCUUUGAGAGAUAUUUAUAUUGUUUCUCCUCUUGUUGCACUUUUUAAGAUGUAAACUGCACCCCUUUAAGAGAUAUUUAUACUGUUUCUUCUUUUGUUGCACUAUUUCUCCUCUUGUUACACUAUUUCUUCUCUUAAAGGGUGCAGUUUAAGAGAAAAAAUAGUGUAACAAAAGAAAAAAUAUUGCAACAAGAGAAAAAACAGUGCAACAAAAAAGAAAUAGUAUAAAUAUUUCUUAAAGGGGUGUAAUUUACAUCUCAAAGAGAGCAACAAGAGAAGAAACAGUAUAAAUAUCUCUCAAAGAGUGCAACUUUCAUUUAAAGAGUGUAACUUUCAUCUUAAUGGAUGCAGUUUACAUCUGAAAGAGUGCAAUAAGAGGAGAAACAGUAUAAAUAUCUCCCAAAUGGUGCAAUUUUCAUUUAAAAAGUGUAAUUUUUAUCUUAAAGCUACAGUUUACAUCUUAAAGAGUACAACUUAUGUCUAUAAUAGUGCAAUGUUCUUUUAAAAUAGUACAAUUUUAUUUUAACGGUACAAUUUCAUCUUCAUCUUUCUUUUUCUCUAAUUUUUUAUCUUUAUUUUUUUUCUUACUUCUUUUAUAAUUUUUUUUGGUCACCCUCUCUGCCAACGGCCACGGCGCCGACGACGACGUCGCUAAUUAAGGAUCCCUCGCUCCGAGGCUGCAGCGCCGCAGCGACCUCCACGGUGUCGACAUCGGCGAAGAUGUAUUGUCAUCGAAGGCGACAGAGGAGAAGGGAGAGCUAGAGGACAAGAAAGGCGGGGAAAGACGAGAGAAGCGUCGUUGUCAGAGACGGUAGAGGAGAGUCAGAGAGGAAAAAAAAAAAGAGUCGAGGCGCGGCCUCGGUGAGGUCGGAGGCGAGGAAGGUCGGGGGUGUGCGGGCGAGGGCAAGGGCGAGGGCGAGAGUAUGAGGGUGAGAGGCGAGGCGGACUGUUUCUGCCUCCGCUGCUUUCUUCGGCGAGAAAAAAAAAAAAACAAGAGAAAAGAAGCGGAAAGAGAAAAAAGAGAGAAAAAGUAAUAAGGUUAAUAAGGGUAUUUUGAUUAGUUUGUUGAAAAUUCGGACCGAAUUUAUAAAAACGAAAAAAGUAGCCCACUUUUAUAAAAAUCUAAAAUUAGUAAAUUUUUUAUGUAAAUUGGGCCAAAAAAAAAGAACAAAAAUUGUGCACUAGCUGCACGGAAAAUUGCCCACUGCUCUCAAAUCAGGGAGCAGCGAGCACCUGCAUUUGAUGCCACGCGGCGUCCAUCGGGAGUGGCCCCAGAGAAACUUGCUUGGGGCUACUUCCCCACAAAAUUUGGGCCGUGUCUCUUCCUCUUCUCCUUUGCUUCCGAGACUCAAGAACCCUUGCUUCUGUCCCGUCUCUGUCUUGCCUCUAGGGUUCCAAAACAAUCAGCUUCCUCCUCUCCGACAAAGCUAGCGUUCAUGGCGGGGAUGCGGGUUCCGCCGCAGGAGGACUCGGAGCUCCCCAUGUCCCGGCCGCCGCCUCCCCCGGCUGCCGGCGAUCUGGUGUCGGACGACGACCGAUCGGUGGCGGCCGACUCCUGGUCCAUCAAGAGCGAGUACGGAAGCACCCUCGACGACGACCAGCGCCACGCCGACGCCGCCGACGCCCUCGCCGCCGCCAACUUCCCUGCUGCCAUCUCCGACUACAGGUUUGCCCCACCCCCUUCUUGAUCAUCCUUAUCUCUUCUACUCCUUAUAUGUUAUUAGAGCAGUGCGUUUAGGAGAAGUACUUUGCUGAAAUCCCUCCCCUCCAGCAGCUUCUCUGUGUGAGCUUCUGCUUUUGGAACGCAGAAUCGCUUUUCUGCUUCCCUCCGCACCAGAAGCUCCGCGCUUUUGUGUUUUCUUGCGAAACCCUUUUGUUGGCGACUGGUUUCUUGCUGCUGAAAGACAGAAAGAGUAAUGAUUUUAGGAGAAGCAUUGUAUUGAAAUUCCUCCGGUAGCAUCUCUCUGCACCAGAAUCAAAAGUUCGCAAUUUGGGCUCCAGCUUUUGGGCCUCAGAUCUCACUUCUGCCUGCAUAGGCUCCGUACUUUUCCUAUUGCCAAACACUCUACUAGAACUGCUAAAAGCAGAAAUCUAUAUGCUUCUGAGUUCUUUCUGUCUGUUUGAUUGUGUGAUUAAACUAUUGACAUUUUGAUCAAAUCUGAACUUCUUGAUUUGGAGUGAUGCCUGUGAUAAUACAACAGUGCUCGUGGAACAACUUAAACUGUGCUUCAUGCAAGUUGUCGUUCUUAGCAAAGAGGGAAUGAUUACUUGCUGGACAUCACUCAUGAUAUUUCGGUCCUCAUUUCGAGUAAUUGUUCUGUUGAUAGGUUCCAUGAAGUUGGAAAAGUUGCCUUGAAGAACCAAGACUAGGUUUACCAUGAGUAUUUUGUUCUUCUGCUUUUGCUUGUGCUUAGAUGGCCCUGUUUUCACGUGUGCAUGUAUUACGCGCCUGCAUGUGAGGAGCGCAUGCAUGUGAUUGUCGUUGCACCUAAUUCUUUUUGUGUAUGUGUUUAAUGGGAUAUGACUGGUAAAUUGCAGAACUAGACUUUCCUCUGGAUUGACUAGUGAGGGAUAUGUUGCAUGCAGUCUACUUUUAUGGUGCAACUGGUUGUUUUUGCUUCUCGAUAUCGAGGAAUAUCCACAAUCAUCUUGUGUUGAGCUUUCCAUGUUUUGUCUUCUUAUGAGCCUUCUGGAUAUCGUUGAAUAGACGUUUUUGUCUAAAUGAAUUUGUUGCAUUACCAUGAAAAUUUCCAUUUUUUUGCUUCUUAAGUUAUCGGGUGCAUAUAGAUCAUAGUAAACUGAAAUGAUACCAAUAUAUAUAGGGCCUAUCAAUUAGGCUUCAAUUUUAUUAGCAUUCUUUGAUAUUAAUUAGUGGUAUGCCAAUUGAAUGGAAUUCAUUUUGCAAUACCAUAUAAAUGAAACUGGAACCUCGCUUAUUAUCUACUUCUUGUGCAUCUAUGUUGUGCCCUUCUUUGUACUUAAAGUUAGUUGAUUAUGGUGGUACAGGGCUAAAAAGUAAUAAAAAAGUCUAACAUAGGGCUACAAGGAUAGGUUGCAAAUUUAAUAUUGUCACGCCCCGAUUCCACAGCGGAAGUCCACGGGGAUGUCAACAGACCUGCCGAACAGGCAGAGUUUUUCCUGUCUAGACGUGUUAACAUAACAUAACAGUAGCAAAGCAAUUCUAGAGAUCACAAACUAAAAGUUUUCCAAAUCACAAGAGCAAUAAUAAAGUCACUAAAAAACGAACUAUAUGUAUCAGAGCAUUAUAAACAAAACUACUAUACAUCACUGUAUAACAUUAUGUAGUCCUACUAACCAGAAAGAUAGACGUACAAAUAAAAGGCCAUGGCCAUCGCUGGUCCUGAUAUAUAGCAUAAACUGAAACAUCUAGCUGGUGGUCCUCUAUCGCUCAAGUACACUGGUAGGAGGUACUAUCUAAGAAUAAUUCCUUACCUCGAUCAAUAGAAGGUGUAGCCGUCUCUGAAAAAAAAUCACAAGAGGGCGUGAGAACUACUAAACAGCAGUUCUCAGUGAGUACAAUUGACGACAACCACGACCUUCCCACUAGGUCUACUAGAGGCAAGAAUAAUGAAAGAACAGUGAAGUAUACUACAGAAUGAGUAACUGAGCAUAAUAUGAACAGAUAUAUAAUUACUGAAUUAUCAUGCCUCUAUUCAUGUAGUGAAAAGGAAGGAAAGGAGGUAACUAAAGCAUGCCUCAAUGCUAAUCUAAUAAACAAAUGCUGUAAUAGUACCUAAUCGCAACGACCGACUUAUAGGUUUGGUAAGCCUGUGCCAGCCUAGUGCGCGGACACACUCCCGCAGGUGUAACGGCAACACCUAGGAUACUGUCUCUGCUAUCGUUGGCCAGCAUCCAGAGCAGCACUCGAGGGGAGCGACCCUUACCGAGUAUCAUAGCACGUAUCACUGUCAAUCUGAAUACGGUUUUGUAGGCUAUGGUCUAUGCAAUGCUACGCUUUAGCACGUAUCACUAUCAAUCUGAAUAUGGUUUGCAGGCUAUGGUCUAUGCAAUAUUGUAAUGAUAAAAAAGAUCAGUAAUAUUGAUCCAUGUGCCCUCGGCACGAUCAUAGAGCCUAUCAAUUCACUAAUCACAAUGGCAUACUCAUAUACCUCCUAAUAUCUCAAAAAUAGUGCCUGCUAUUGCUGCACUCUUCCACGGCCUUUAUCACAAGUAUUUUAGGAUAUAUAAUGCAAUAAUCAAUACAUGUCAAUGUCUAGUGAACCCUUUUGGCAUAACCUCAUAUAUGUAGUAUAUCAACAAAAGAAACUUGAUAAUCUCAAGAAACUAAACUGGUCAUUUCCAUAUGUUACACAUCAUGAAUCAUGUAUCAAACAUAAUGCAUGUAAUGUCAAUGGCCUCUUUCAGCUUAGACUAGUAUAUGUACCUUAUUACAUGAGGAGGAAUUCAUUGUGAAAAGCAAUUUGACCUAUUGUUCAUACAGUCUAGUUUAAGUUAGUACCCUCAAGAAUACAUCAUAUUAUCUUUUCCUUCUACUCAAUUCUAUGCCAUUACCACACUCUACCAACAUAUAUAAUCAUAUGCAUAUACAUAUGUAUAUAGAUAGACAUAGAAGGAAAUUUGCCGUUUUCGGCGACACGGAAUCCACCUCAGAUUGCUAAUCCACUAGCGGCAAGCAAUCAACCUCCAAUGCGCCUUUCCUCAGCUCAAAUCUAGUAGGGAAAACACUAAGAAAACACCAAAAUCAGCGAGGGUGCUGUCAAGGCAAUUACAAGAACGAAAUUCUAUAAUUUCGGCAAUUCGAUUAAUAAAUGCUUGAUUUUAGUUACCUCAACAUCCAGUAGGAAGAACUUUAAAACAACCAAAAGUGGUAGAGGAAUUCGGUGAAGAUCACAUAAUGCUCGGCUGGAAGAAAUGGACGACGAAAUCAAUACAAUUCUCACAAUCGCUCAAAAUCAGUUCAAUUUCAAUUAAAUUCAAAAUCGUCUUUCGGUUCAACUUACUAACUUGAAAUUUAGUUGUAAGGACAAGUCUACAAGUUCCCCUUCCCUAGUAGAACAUCAACACGAAUUCAGUUUGAUGCCUACAACUCAAAUACGAGAAAAGGAUGGAGAAGUUAGUAAAAAUCCAUCAAAAUCCAAAUUUCGGUUCGCUUCGAUCAAUAACUUAAUUUCAUUCCAGUUCACUUUAAUUCAAUCGGAAUAAGGUGCGACUAGAAGAUUAUCACCAUUCUCACCUUGGAAUCAAUUUCAAUUUCGAACUUAGAGGCGAAAUUGGACUAGAUUGGAGCCUCCAAAAGCACGGUGUUGCGGCUGCGAACCGACUACCUUUACUAUUGCCGCGCCCGUUACUGCGUCUGCUGCUGUGCUUCCUGCUGCUACUAUUUGCAGCCGCAGCCGCAGCCACAGCAGCAGCCCCUGUUGCUGCUGGCUGUAGUGGUAGCAGCCCCUGCUGCUGCUGCUUGUGGCGUCGACAAACAUUCCAACAGUGCCUGAAAGUUCACGGCGAAAAGCAUGUGAAAAACGGUUCCAAUUCGCAUGAAAUUCGACUUCAAUUUAACUUCAACUCACAACGAAAUCCAAUAAGACCUCCCAUCCUAGAUUCUACCAUCAAGAAUCAACAAAAACUAUAAACGAGAAAAUAACAAUUAUUAGAAUACUAACCUGAGCGUCGAAACACCAAAAAUCAUGCGCGCGGUUUCGAUCGGCUCAUCAAACGGCACCAAAACCAAAUCCUUCUCUCCUCCUCCUCUUUCCUCUCUCUCUAUGCGUGCUGGUUGGAGAUGGAGAGGAACUUCAAGAGAAUUCUCAGGUGCUUUAGUGGAAUUCCGCUAAAUGUAACAAUAUGCUAAUAAGUCCACAAGUGACCAAUACUCUCAAUUUAGUCCAAUUUCCACCUGAUACACUCAAUUGGAGCCCUUCUGUAGGUUGGUUUAUGCUCAAAUUUGAUGGGCAAUUUCAAGUAACAUUCAUUGGUAGUAAUUCACCUUAACCUUUUAGUUUGGACAAUUUUCAAUCACUGAAAAUCACUAAAAUUUCUAAAGGAUUGCUGUUAAGCUCCGUUUUCAUUGCUCGAGUAACCGAAUAAUACAAAACUUUAAAUCCGGUCUUAGAAAGUUAGUAUAGACAACUUUGCAAAGUUUCAUAAUUUUUUUGCCACUGUAAAUUUUCUGCUAAAAUGCAAGUUCUGUUCCUUGUAGAAAAUUUCAAAUCUCCUUUUUUUCAUUUGAUUUCACUACAAAUCAUUUCAAAUUAUCUUUUACUUCUUUAAGUCCAAUAAUAAUAGUAUCUCCCACAGUUUUUAUUUGCACUUGCUUAUAUAAUAAAAAUCCAAAGUACUACAAAUAUGGUAAGAGUUGCUCAAGUCAACCACCAGAGGAAAUCGUUAUAGGAAUUAAUUUCUACUAAUCCACUGUUUAAAAAAGCGCGCCUAGGCGCAGCGCCUAGGCGCCUAGGCUCUAGGCGCACAAGCCAGCGCCUAGAGCAGCUCUAGGCGGGCGCCAUGACUCAGGCUAGCGCCUAGGCAGCCUAGGCGCGCGCCUGGGCCUAGGCGUAAGGCGCCCUCAAGGCGCGCCUAGGUAAUAUUUAUAGUAACGGGUUUGGAUCCAGAUUUUAUUGGUCUAACGGGUUGAAAUAUCUAAAAUAAACCCAAUACCCUAAACUAAACCCUAAAUAAUCAUCAAUUAUUUCCCUAUUCCCCUCUCCCUGUCCGCUCUUCCCUCUCCCUCUCCGCUCAGCCCCUCUCCCUCUCCGCUCGCCCGCUCGGCCAUCUCUCUCUCUCCGGCGCUCCCUCUCCGGUUGUCCUUGCUUCCGGCACCUCCUCCUUGCUUCUUCAACUCGCUCGCCUCUUCUUCUAUGGUUUUUUGUCUCUCCCUUGGCCUCUCUCUAGUUUCUCUUUUAGUUUUUUGUGUAUAUUUCUAUUUUUUUUUUUAAAGCAGUGCUUUCUAUGCUUUUUUUUUAAGUAGAAAUUUUCUGUUUUAUUUUUUAAAAAAACAGCAUUUUACUUGAAAAUAAAACAGCAUUUUAACAUUUUAAAAAACAGCAUUUUACUUGAAAAAACAGCAUUUUACUUGAUAACCUUUAUGCAUAUUACUUUUUUAUGAUCUUGUGCUUAUGAUUAUAUGCUUUUCACAUCUAACUUUUCUAUAUGUUUGUGAAUUAAUACUUACAUUUAUGCUGUCCUUUAUUUUGAGAUAAAAAGAUAAUUUGUUCUUUACUUUUAUCUAUAUUAUUUAGAUAACUAUAGAAUAUUUAUUGUGGUAAUAUGAUUUUAUAGAGUAUAUUUAAUGCUGCUUAACAAUUAGUAGAAAGAAUGGUAAGAAACUUCUUGAUUAUUUACUUAUUUCAAAAUUUUAUGAAAGUGUGCGCCUGACCUCUCUCGGGCGCGCGCCUGCGCCUUUCGCCUUGCGCCUAGGCUCCAACAGGCCUUUGCGCCUAGAUGCGCCUUGGGCUUUUUUAAACACUGUACUAAUCUAAUUUAAAUAUAGAUCGAAAGUUAUUUCCCUUCAUUGCAUAUCUGCAAGGUUUUGAUGAUCUAGCAUAAAAAGGGAUAGCUAGUGUUAGAAAGGAGAUAAAUGAGGUAAAGGAGGAAAAAGAGGAUAGGGAAAAUGCUCCAAUGUGGCGUAGAAAUUCAUUCGUGGAUAGAAUCUACUAUAAUUUAAUGAAAAUCGGCUGAAUAUGUAUAGUCCCAUAUUCAAUGUGUCUUCACACUGCUUCUCCAUUGUUGCAACUCUUCUAAUUGUGGAAAAUUCUUUGGAAUCCCUUCGUAUCUCGUAUAAUGAAUUCUAUCACUAUUAAUAUCAUAUAAAACUCCUAUCUACAAAAAUAGCUUCAUGCGUAUCUGAUAUGUCUAAACUCAUUUGCUAGCUGUUUGCAUAGUCCCACUUGAAUCUUAACUUUCGAAAGGAAACAACCAACACGUCAUUACUCAGUGGCUUCCAGCCACCAUCUAGUUGGCAAGAACUCAAUCUAAACUUCAUUUUGUAACAACAAUGUAUGAUAGAAGCAAGGUUUGCUGUGCCAACUAUCUGGCACGGCCAACACGUGCCACCAAUGCCAACCGUUUUGACAUAUAAAAUGUGAUGUGUACGGAGGUGUGCCGACGUGCCGUGUCAUGUUGCUGGCACACCGUCAUGCCCUAUGCUGGUGGCGUGGCAAUCCUUGGGUAGAAGUAUGAGAUAUAUUUGAUAAUAGAAAUUAUGCGUUGAAUCAAUUGGAUGCAAAUUAUGAAAGCGUAAACUACUUUUCAACAAAUUUAAUGUGUAUCGAUUUGAUUUUAGUACGUAUUCUUGGCCAUCAUUCUCUAUGUUUAACUUCCAUGUUUGAUUAAUAGAAUUUCUCAGUUGAACAAGGUCUUUAUUAGUGCCAUGUACACAUGAUAAUUGUUUUGAUCUUCAAAGCAUAACGGGCUUUGAAUCAAUUCCUUAUACAGUUGAAUUUUCAUCCUCUGCAUUAUCAAUAGAAACCCUAGACUCACGUAUGCUAGACCCACUGUUUAAAAAAGCGCGCCUAGGCGCAGCGCCUAGGCGCCUAGGCUCUAGGCGCACAGGUCAACGCUUAGAGCAGCUCUAGGCGGGCGCCAUGACUCAGGCGCGCCCCUAGGCAGCCUAGGCGCGCGCCUGGGACUAGGCGCAAGGCGCCCUCAAGGCGCGCCUAGGCAAUAUUUAUAGUAACGAGUUUGGAUCCAGAUUUUAUUUGUCUAACGGGUUGAAAUAUCUAAAACAAACCCAAUACCCUAAACUAACCCUAAAUAAUCAUCAAUUAUCUCUCUAUUCCCCUCUCCUUGUCCGCUCGCCCCUCUUCCUGUUCGCUCGCCCCCUCUCCCUGUCCGCUCGCCCGCUCGGCCAUCUCUCCCUCUCCUGCGCUCCCUUUCCGGUUGUCCUUGCUUCCGGCACUUCCUCCUUGCUUCUUCAACUUGCUCGCCUCUUCUUCCAAGGUUUUUUGUCUCUCCCUUGGCCUAUCUGUAGUUUCUCUUUUAGUUUUUUGUGUAUAUUUCUAUUUCUUUUUAUUAAAGCAGUGCUUUCUAUGCUUUUUUUUGAAGUAGAAAUUUUAUGUUUUAGUUUUUUAAAAAACAGCAUUUUACUUGAAAAUAAAACAGCAUUUUAACAUUUUAAAAAACAGCAUUUUACUUGAAAAAACAGCAUUUUACUUGAUUAUUUACUUAUUUCAAAAUUUUAUGAAAGUGUGCGCCUGACCUCUCUUAGGCGCGCGCCUGCGCCUUGCGCCUAGGCUCCAAGAAGCCUUUGCGCCUAGGUGCGCCUUGGGCUUUUUUAAACACUGGCUAGACCUGAACCUAGACAAAUCUAUGUUGAUAUUGAGUUGCAUAAGUAUUUAUUGCGAAUGCAAGUCCUAAAAAUUUAGAUGAAUCUUCCAAAUUUUCAUAAAAAAUAAAAAAAUAUUUUUUUUUGUAAUUUUUUAUCUUGUAAUUUUUAAAAUAUUGAAAAAAUAGGAAAAAAUUGAAAGAAUUUUCAAAAUUAAUCAAUUUUUAUCAUAAAUUUGCUUAAUUUAUUUAUCGUCUAAUUUAUUGUUAAAUUUUUAAGGAUAAAUCUUACAGCUUUUAUUACAAAUAAUUUUUAAAAAAUAAUUUAGUACCGUCAUAUAUUAGAUCUUAUAGAUAUUAAGAAGCCUAACACUGUAUUAAUUAGCAAGUGUAAUAAGCUAUUGUUGCCAACAGGAUGAGACAAAUUAAUACAUUGCCAAAAUUCAUAAAUAUUAUCUUAAAACUUUCAAAAUAACAUUAUAAGAUGUUAUUAAGAUUAAAAAACUAAAAAAAGGUUGCGCCAAAGCGUGCAACUAAGAUGAUGUGCCUGCCAAUAGACACGCAAGUGUGCCACAUGUUGGCACAGGAGCGUGCCGGACCUGCCGGUGCCAUACCGUGUCGGGCCAGUACCGACACGCCCUAGUGCCACGGUACUUUAAUCCUCGGUUGGUGGCAUUUAAUUUUGGGAAAAAUGUAUGGAGACCCUUUGAACUUUAGCUUUUUUGCAAAUAGGCUCCUGAACUUUUAUGUUCGGCAAUCAGAUCCCCUAAACUUUACCAAAUAGUUUAAUAAGCCUCUCUCCUCAACCGUAGUUAUUAAAUAAUUAUACAAUCAUUUUGAUCAUAUAUCAUACACAUGAUAAUCUUGUAAGACUUCAAAGUAUAAAAAAAAUUAUUUUUUCUCUUCCAUUUUUGAUAAGCAUAAGAAUUGAAGAAUAAGGUGAAUCUAACUUCGAUUUUUUGUAUCUUAGCAUAUGAAAAAUGUUUUUUUUUCUUUUGGUGUGUUUUGAUGCUUUAUUGGAUUAUAUGCGAAAAGACAUUAGAUAGACUGGAUUAGAGGGAUUGGUUAUCCGAAAAUAUUUGGAAUUGCACAAAAAAGAUUUUUUUUCGCAAAAAGGUCUAGAAGGUAUUGUUAAAAGAUCAUCAAUUCCUAAUGAAAUAGAUGUAGCAUUGGCUUGUUAGAAACCCAGUCUUUGACCCAGGAUAUGUGAUGUAUGUCCCAUUACAAAAUGAUCGGUCUUUUUCAAUGAAAUCAUUAUGUAAUAUAUCAACAAAACCCAAAGUCAUCUCGCAUCCCCUUUCAUUGUUGAGUGAAAAAUGGGAAAUCAUGGAAAAUUGCAAUCCUCACCACGUUCGUUGGAAUAAUUUCAUAACCCGGGUCAGCUGAUACACUUUAAAAUGGUUCUAGUUUUUGUAAUUAGAUGCAUCUCGAGUUUCUAAGAACCAUUUAAAUUUGACAGUGGUCAAAAUGGCUGUGUAAUUUAUAAUUUCAAUUGAGGAGAGGAACCUAUUAAACUAUUUGAUAAAGUUUAGGGGAUCUAAUGGUCGAAAUUGAAAGUUCAGGCGCCUGUUUGCAAAAGAAAACCUAAAGUUAGUGGGGUCUCUAUACAUUUUACCCUUUAAAUUUUGUAUCAGAUAUGAUUCAUUAUGGGAACAUUAUGGUAAACAAGAAUUUACAUAGGAAACUUUCUUUUGCUCUCUUUGACCCAUAAAAUUGGCAAAAGACAAUAAACAGAACUCCCACAUACAUUGGCAAAUUUGGUAAAAUUUGCUCCACCUGCAUGUCGAAUAAGAGUGAUUCCUAAUACAAAAUGCUUACGUCGCAAACUAGGAUAAUACUAUUAUGGAUCCUUUAGUACUUCGUUGUGUUGUAUCAAUAUCAACUAGGCGAAUUAUAAUCACAACUUUUCUAUUUUGUAUUGCUCUGUUCCAUUGCUAACCAAGUAUACAAUCCUACUUUUGGUUUCCCUUAACCUCGUUUCAUUUUCUUUUGUUGACGAAUGGUUUAUGCAUCACUUUUUGAAAUCUUGGCUCUUCUCUUCCUUUUUAUAUGUUUAACAAUUUGUUGAUGUUAUUUCCUCUUAUUUUGGAAGUUCAUUUGAAAAUGCUUCAUUCUUCAAUUUUCUAAGCUUGGAAGUGAGAAUUUUAUGAGAAUUUUGGAUAACAAUCAUAUUACAUCUUUUUUAAUGUGUUCUGCUAUGUUAUGCUUUUGGAACAGUUCUGAUAAGGAUGAGACAGAUGCCAAUGAUGUCGAAGCAUCAAUGCUAGGCUUACAGAGCUACUGGGAUGCUUCUUAUGCAGAGGAUCUAGCAAAUUUUCAUGAGCAUGGACAUGCUGGCGAAAUUUGGUACUUAUUUGUACAUUUUCAUGAGCAUUCAUAUAUAUCCAUACCUUUACUGUAGAAGUUCUGCGCCUACAUGAUCAUUUGUUUAUGUAGCUUCAAGUAUAGGAUCUUCACUCAAAACCUAUUAGAAUGAUCACUUCUUAGUAUGCUCCUUCAGAUACCUGUUGUUUUAUAUGCAUGAUGAAUAAUGUUAUGACCAUAGAGUGGUUCUUUAUCUUUAUAAAUUAAAAUAUUCUAAUAAAUACCCUUCCUACAGCCUGAAAUUUCAUCGCUACCCUUUCAAAGUUGAAAAUGUGAUCAAUGCCCAUCUAUAUUGUCACGCCCGGGCUCCAGCGGAAACCAACCCGGCACGUGCACAGACCCGCCGUUUACACAAGGUACCCCUCUGGUGCACACAAGGUGUCAACUACAAAACAUUCAAUAGAUAAAAUAAGAAAUAUAACAGUAGCAUGAUAAUCAGAGCAUAAGUAUAAAACUAAUCCAUAAAACAAAAAUUUACUAAAGGGAAAAAAAAGAAGUUAAAACAACUGUCUCCAAAAAUAUACAUCAUGUCACCACCAAAAGAUACUAGGAUCAUAGGGUAGUCUCUAUAUAUAAUGGUUAGGUACACCUCUCGAAGCUAAACAAAAGAAAGGUGUCCACGUAUGCAGGUAUCUCCCGAAAGGCUCUAGCUAGACGCGACUCCUUUACUGCGGUCCCUAGCCUCUCCCGUAGUGGAAGGCUUUGAAAACAAAAACAACAAAUAUAUAGGGGUGAGAACUAUUAAACAAUAGUUCCCAGUGGGUAAGUUGCCGAGAAAAGCGGAUUACACCACUAGGUCAACUGAGGCAACAGUAGAAAAAUAACUAAUAGUAUAGCAUGAAUAAUCUGCGAGAAUUAACAGUUCUAGUACUAUUAUGCCUCUAAUUUAUUAUGUUAUUUAACAUGCAUGGAAAUUACUUUAUUACAUGAAUGAGCAUUAAAUGACUAAUGCAUAUGUUCAAUGUCAUGCACUAUCUAGUAGUAAUGUCCAAUCAUUAAGUUUAAUUGUCAUUACCCAAAUCAACGAGAACUUACACAUGGUAUAGUCCCGGCUUGCGCUAUGCCUAAUGUCCCCGUGGUAGUCAACAUUCUCUCGCUAGGAAUGAGGCUCGUCCACGGCAAUCCACUUUGGCGUCCAAUCUCGCACCGGCGAGCAUGAUGUCGCAAAGGCCAACUCUGGAGUGCCGACUUAUAGGGAGCGACCCUCACAAGUUUGUGCGAAUGAGCACAAUGGCAAGCAAGCGUGAUCAUCAACAUAGGGAUCUCGUUCGUCAUGUCUAAAACGUAGUAUGUCAACUAGCGACCUAGAGGUCGAGUACUAUGUCAUAAUAUUGAAUUCUAGUUGUUCAACUAAGUUAAGUACAACAUGUUUCAGUUCAUAUUUUGCCACUACUAUACUAUAUGUCGUAUUUACCUUGUCUAUAACAAGUAUGUUGAUUAUCAUGCAAGUUGAUCCAUUAAUUUCACUAACCAUAUAAGGUCCAAGAGACAUCAUUUACUCAUCUCUAAUAUGCUUUCUAUUGUUGCAUAAGAGGAAAACACCAUUAUGUACUAUUUAGUAUACAUAUCCACAUUAUAACCCUUUACGAUAUAGAGUAUAAAACCCCUACAUGUAACAUGUGUAUAUCAUGCAUUCAAAAAUUCUAUUAUGUCAUAACUAGCAUGAAUAUGCAUCAGUUUAAGUCUUAAAGCAAAGUAAAAGAUAUAGAGGGAGUUCACCCAUUUCGGUGAGGUCAAACCCACCGGAUACCCUUCGAAACUCGUUCGUUUCUUCGAACAAAGUUGUCCACUAGACUUCUAGCACCCUAAGAAAAAUUCUAAAAGGGUUACAAGGUUCUAACAAACUUCCCACGAAAUUCACCAAAAAUCACACAUAAAAUAGGUGAAAAAUAUCUUUAACCAAGAAGAACUUGUCCAAAGUCCAAAUCAAAGCUACAAACCUUCAAAUCCAACUUAAAAGAGAGUUCUACACUCAUUAAUUUAACCCCAAGGGCUAAAAAUCAAGAAAUCCCAAAAUAAAUCCUAGUUUUUUCAAAACUAGCUUUUCUUCCACAAUCUUUGCAAAAUCCACAAUCAAAGGUAGUAAGAAGACUACUAAUCUCAAUAAAAGCUCCAAACUAAGCUAGGCAAAGCUUGGGUUGGAGUUAAUUCCUCAAACAAGCUUCCUUCCUCACUCCCAAGCCUCCUUCAAGGUCCAAGUAGCAAGUUCCAUGGAGAGGAAGAAGAAACAAAAGAUCAAAACGCAAUCUAAAAGGGUUUGGAAGUAGAAAAUUCAAGAGAGAGGGUGAGGAAAUACCUACCUAUUCCUCUCUCUAACUUCAACACGAAGGCUGAGUGAAUGAGGGGUGAAGAGGUAUAUACAUGCUGUGACAAUCCCCAUUAGGCCCCUCGACAACUCACGAUUUGCAUACUGCACGAAAUCACACUCUGCAGCAUUGAGUACCGGUACUCCUUAGUUCCGGUAGCAUGGGUGCAGUUCCUCAGAACCCGUACGUUGGAAAUUCUGGUUUAUAACUGCGUUCCGGUACCAGUCCAAUGCAGUACCGGUACUCGGCCCGGUACCGGUACUUACAAUCCGAUUCAGCAAAACCCGAGAGCUACUCAUUUCAACACUAUUGGGUUCCGGUACCUCAACCCAGUACCGGUACUCAACACUAAAAUCUGUAGUUUAUAGAUUUUAAUGUUGGAAACCAGUUCUCGUGCCUAAUAAGCUCCAGAAAUAGGCCGACACUCAACCAAAAACCCUCAAAACCUCCAAAAUAGUUUAAAAUACUAUUCUUACACUAGAACCUUGUAAUUUGCUAAAGUUCAGUGUGCUACAUAUAUACACAUAAUCUUUACAAAUACCCUUAUGGGUGACAAUCCGCCCAAAACUAUGUUGUACAUAUAUGGAUACGACAUGAUAUGGAUAUGGUGAUAUGACAAUUCCUAAAAACUCUAGGAUUCGAUACGAUACUUGAAUAAAAUUUUAUUUUAAAUAUAUAUUAAUUAUAUGUAAUAUUGUAAUGACAUAUUGAGGACAAUCAAAAUAUCUAGAUUAUAUUAAGAAAUAUAUACCGAUAUACAUUUACUUGUACAAUUGUUCGAGAUUUGUUCAUCAAAAAAAGAUAAUCAAUCGUAUGAAAGAAAAAAUUGAAAAAAUAUUUACCAACUAUUAUCCAGCUUGAUUAAAUAAUAACAAUAGAUAUUUGAUUGCAUAAACUAGAUAAUAGUUACUCAUCAUAUAUGUCUAUUUUGUUUGGUUCCAUUAUAUAAAAUAGUAAUAGAAGAAAAUAUGCUAGCAUUUUAAUAGAAGCAGGAAAAAAAAACUCUUGUGGCCAGAAUCAUUGCUUAAUACUGUGUGGAUAUAGAGUGAGAGAGAGCAUCUUCCACUAUCCAAGAGCAAAAAAAAUAGAAAAAAUGAUGGAUUGAACAGAGAUUGGCAUUUUCCUCAUUGUUUUCCUUAUUUCCAAUGGGUUAGGAUGUGGGCUUUUUGAAAAAUUUUGAGUUAUGAUCAUUUUAGAUGAAUAAAGAACCUAGUCAUAUCCACCUUGUAUCCCAGCCGUAUCCGAUUUUUUUUCUAUUAUUAAAAACUGUCAAAAAUUUCAAUCCCAUAUCGGACGCGUAUUGGGCACGUACUAGUAUCCGAUGUGUUCAAUACAGGAACAUCAUAAAAUUUGAAGUAUCUGCGCAUCAUAGGCCCAAAACUAAUUGAACAAAUUCUAAGUAUCUAUUUUCCAAAUAGCACUUUUAAUAAUGUCCUCAAAUUUACAACUGAUAAUUACUUUAACACUAUUAUUAUACUAUUAAUGUUUGAUUUAAGUACUGAUGAACUCUAUUUUUUAAUUAAAUAUUCAAUUUUUGAGGUUUUUAUCUGAUGUAUAAUUCUUGUUUGAAAGUUUAGUCCAUUUCCUUUAUUGCCAAAAAUAUAAGGUUCUUUCAACGACCUAUAUUUUCUUUGCAAGUCAUUUUUUUUUUUCUUAACCUAGUUCAGAAAAAUAAAAAUAAGGUAAAAAAUCAAUUUUGGGCCCUAAAGAUAACCUAUGACUUUUCGACAUAUUCUGUUUUAUGUAAUCGUGUUUUAUACUUUCGUAAAAAGCUUAUAACAAAGAUAUGAAAAAUGUGAAGAUGGAAGAAUGAAGGGGUAAACUUGUCAUUCUGCUUGUUGAAUGUUGACUUGUGGUAGACCGCCAUUUUAACAGUGGUGAAGUUAAUGUCUGUUGAAUGUAAUAGAUGGGAAGGGCAUUCAGGAUAGUUUAGUAUAUUGAAGGGGUAACUUUUAACUUUACAAGAGCAUCAACGAAAGUUCUGAAUUUUGUAGGGGUACUGAUGAAAUUGCCACUUUUAAAUUUAAUUACUUCUUCAAUUAACAUUCAUUUUCUAACAUUAAAUCAUUUUACUCUUUAGAGAAGGCUUGAGACUAUUGAUUUAUACAUAAUACAGCAGUAAGUCCAAAGGAGUUAUUUCAUUCCAGCUUCCAAAGCAAGGUCUCAUAAUUUUUCUCAAGUUCUAUUCUCCUAUUUUCUUACUCAUAUUUUCUCUUCAUUUUACUAAUAACUGUUCAAUUGAAAAUCAAAUUCUGAAUCUGCUGAAACUUUAAAACCAUUUAAUUUUUCUACUUUGGACUUUUGGAUUCUUUGAAGCAACUGUGAAGUGAAGAGACCUCAAGAAGCCAGCCAGCCAUGUCCUUAUCGAUCCGUAGAUGGUGCAAUAACUAUUUUAUAUUCUCAUAUGUACACAUCAGAUACUUGUGAUUAGCUAGUUAUUGAAGUGAAUAUGUUUAUAAGAAAAUUAAUAUAGCUCAGGCCUUUAUAUUCAUUUCUGUGGAUCUAUGAUGAUGGCUCAAGUUGGAGGUUUAUUUCCAAUUUUGGCUUCUCAACACUUGUUCUAUUUCUUCUUGCAUUUCAUACUGCAAAUUCAUUAAGUAUCCUCUGCAUAUUUCAUUAUAAAUGGUUACAUUUUUUUACUGUAAAUGAGAUUAAUAUUCUUGCUUAAUUAAACAAUAUUCUAACAAUAACUCUACUUUCGCCACAUGUAUGACAUUCCUACAGUGUAUUUGUAGACUUAUCUUUAAGUUAUGUAUAUAUACAUAGACAAGGUUGUGUGUGUAGUGAAAUUAAGAACUAAACUCAGGUUCUUUCCAUUUAGGUUUGGUAAUGAAGUCAUGGAUACUGUUGCAACUUGGACUAAAAACUUAUGUCUCAACUUGUCCCAAGGUGGGAAUGCUGCUGCCCAAAGCAAUCACAUAUCUGAAUCUGGUGAGACUAUCAAAGACUUGUCAAGCUGGAGUGUGCUUGACGUUGGAACUGGGAAUGGCUUGCUUUUGCAAGCACUAGCAAAGCAAGGGUAAUCGGAAAUUUUCAUUCUAAUUUUCCUCAUGUUGUACUUCAAAUGUAACUAAAAUGUUAAAAUCAUUUGUUAUCUUUUUCCUUUUCUUGUACUGCCAUUUAGAUAUAUUUUUUCCAUUAGGCUGAUUCAUUGUCAUAGUCAUAAAAAUUUCUAUUAUUAAUUGUUUGGCUGUUGCACAGCCAAUAAUCUGAAAGCUUCCACAUGACAUCAGCCUGUCAGAAUUAGUGUUGAAGCCUAGGACACAAAAUCAACAAAGAUAGGGGCUCACAGCUUGUUCUUACCUCGUGUCUGUUAGAUUUUGGGCAUGUUGUGUGAAAGUUGUCAGAAUUGAAUGCUGCAUGAGUUUUCUUUGGCUGCACUCAUAUUUUGUAGUUAUAUUUUUUUCCUUCUGUUUGCUUUUUCUUUUUUUAUUUUCUAAAUGAAUUUGCGAACUAUUCAACAAUGACAAGAGCAGCAUUUGCCAGUGGAUUAGAUCCUAUAGAACUUGAGGGGAAAAACAAGUGAUGCAUAGUCAAAUGAGGCUACAACUUCUCGUUUAAAACAAGUUACCCCAUGAUUUAAGAAUUAAAAGGUGAAAAGUAUUCAGCACCAUGCAGGGUGAAGAGUGCAUGUUGUGCCACCAAGGUUUAAAGUGCCGUGGCACGGCGGCGUUCUACUGUCUGCCUGGCAUGGUACGGCAUCGGUACGCUUCCGUGUUAACACAUGGAAUGCUUGUGUGCCGAUGGAUACGCACGACCUCCUACUGGCAUGUUUUGGUAUGAACUUAUUUCAGUUUUUUUGGUUCCAAUAAGUUCUUAUAAUAUUAUUUUGAAAGAUUUAAUCAAAUAAUUAUGAAUAUUUGCUAUGUAUAGCUUACUAUUCACAUCAAUUAACAUAUUUGUAAGCUUUUUUGUAUGUAAAGUACAAUUAUACCUGAUGCAGAAUAGAAAUUUUUACAUGUUAGAAUUUUUAAAAUGCAAAGACUUUUUUUUUUUUUGACCAUAUUAUAGUCUUUCUUUUAUAAAAUACAAAAAAAUUAUUUUAAAAAUUAUUUGAAAAAAUUAUUUGAAAAAAAUAUUUUUUUAAUUAUUUUUUUCAAAAAAUUAGUAGAUCUAUCAAAAAAAUUAAGCAAUAAUUAUAUGACAAAUAAAUUAAAUAAAUUUAAGUAUCAAUUGAUUUAAUUUAGCUUUUAAUUUUAUUAGUAUUUUCAAUCUUCUAGUGCAAAAAUAAAAUUUUAUGUUUUAUGUGGCUCAAAAUUUGUUUAUUGAGUUCGAUUUUGUUCCUUUAGUUCGCCAAAAAUUUUGCGGUGCGACAAAUUUUGAUAAAAUAAUUUGUAAAGAAAAAAUAGAUAUCUGUGGUGGAAGCAGAGGGCUCGGAUAAAUCUUUUGUCUGUAUAUUGAUAAACAAAAAAAUUAAAUUAUAAUUUUUUGACUUACCUAAUAAGUAUAUUUUCGAUUUGUAAUGUCUUUGGGAGAGGCAUGGAGUCAAGGAUUUAAGUGCCGGGGCAUGGGAUCGUGCCGGAAAUUUGCUGGCACGGUACGGCACGGUGCGUGCCGAGCCGUGCCGAUGCGUGCCGGUCAAAAAAAUUCUUGUGUGCCGACACAUAAUAGCAUGAAAUAUUUAUUUUCUUUAGCAACAAAAUAUUCUAACUAUUUAUUAUGUCUUUUUAUCACAUCUUUUGAACUUUAUUGAGGAAAUUACUUACUAAUUUUAAAGAAUAGAGAGUUUUGAGUUGUGCCAUCGGCACAAGGUCUGUAUCGUGCCGGUAUCUUGUUGGCACGAUACGGCACGGUGGAUACGACCCGUACCAACGGGCAAUUAAAACCUUGCAUGGAGUACCAGAAUGCUUUGGAUAUCCCAAAGAACAAAAUAAAAAGAAAAAAAAAAACAAAAGCAAAAAAAAGCAGAAAAAAAAAAUUAGCACUGCCGGCACGGCACUGUGCCGUGGCACGCUGCGCCGUGCCGCUCUAUCUCGUGUGGCAUGGCGCUGCGUUCCGCACCACAGAGGGGGGGUCCGAGAGCCCCCCUACCGUGCCACUGCCCCGUGCCGUACGGCACGGGGCGGCACUUUAAACCUUGUGUGGCACAUAAUAUGCUGGCUGCUUGCCACACGUCCAGGGCAGGGCAAACUUGGAUUGUAGCGCACAAAUUUAGUAGCAUACAUUUUGGGACCUUACAAAUCAAUGACAUUUUACUCUGUUUCCUCUUGCAUUGUGAUUUGUACGUGUCUUUCGGACAUAUCUUUUAUGAACAAUUCCUUUUUGUAGCCUUCUUAACAGGAUACUUGUUUGAUCAUCCCACCUGAUAAGUUGAAAAUGUUUCAUAUAAUCAAAAUAUUAUACUUGUGUUAGGUAUGUAUCUUUGUAAUUUUUAUAGUACUUGUAUCCUAUUGUUUUUGUCCUAUAUGUUUUAAUAAUUACUACUGAAAAUAUUCGUAAAUUGUCUUAUAUCCAUUUCCCUUCUAUGUAGUCCAGAAAUUAAAUUAGUCAGUUAUUAUUUCCAGCGCUGGAAAGUAGGACUUUAUUUUAGUGCAUUUCAAACUUCAAAGGAAGAUGUUUGAAUGAUGUCAUCGAUUUUCACUGGCUAGUUGUAUCUUUUAAAAGAUUAGCUGAGAAAACUACGAGCCAUUGGCCUUCAGGAUGAAAUUGUAUUUAUUGUCUUCCGUUGGCAUUCAAAUGAAGGAUUAGUGGGAAGUAUAAUUAGUGUAAGGUAGCAUAGAAGAUCAUCUAGUUGCCAUUCAUUCUAAUAUGCAAUAUAUUCCUCUUGUUCUUUGAGUUGCUACAAUUUACUGAGUUAGGCAUGUUUUAUUUCAUCCCCACACUCACAGGAUUUACAUUUUGCACUCAAUUUACCGAACUAGGCAUGUUUUAUUUCAUCCACACACACACAGGAUUUAUAUUUUGCACUCAGUAUAUUAGGGGUGCCUUCGUCUUUUUAGGAUCUUUAGAAUUUCUUCUUUCCCUGUUUUCACUAGUAACCUGCUCGCGGUGAACAAGCCAGCAGCUAUAUUCUCCACUAUAAAAGCAUUUCUUUUGUUUUCAGGAAACUGGUCUUGGUUGUCGUUAUUUUGGAUGUUUGCAACCAAUGCGUGUUGUAUCGACCUUUAAAGUGCCUUCACUUUACUGCAUUUUAGACUAAUCCAAACAUUUUCUAACAAAUUGGAAAUUUCAUCGUUUUCAUUUACUUUUGUUAAUAGGUUUUCUAUCUUGUCACCUCAUGGUCUUGAGAGAGAGAGAGAGAGAGAGAGAGAGAGAGAGAGAGAUUGUUAAUAGACUUUCUAUAUUGUCACCUCAUGGUCUUGGGGGAAGGAGGGAGAGGAUGGUUCAUCCCGCAAUGCAAUGAGAUUUGUCAUUUUAUUCUUGCACAUUUGGCUUUUUGUUAAUAUUGAGUUGAAUGGAUUAAUGACAGUUUUCAGUUCCAGAUUUUCAGAUUUAACUGGAACUGACUAUAGCGAAGGAGCUAUUGAACUUGCACGAAGCCUUGCUGUUCGUAAUGGAUUUUCCAAUAUAAAAUUUGUGGUAUGUAAAAUUUUCUUACUAACCAAAAUAAUGGAAAUUCUUGUUUCCUUUUUUGCUUAAUGUCCGGCAGCCUGAUAUAUCAUUUUGGAAUAAGUUCACUGCCCUUGUGCUAUAACCACUGACUUAUGUUUGACGAUACCAUAACCAACAAGCCGAGACAGAGAUAUGUGCAUCAUUAAAAAUGUUUUUUGUUUGUCAUUAGAAAAAUGAAGUCAUUUUCAAAAUUGCUGGCACAUCCUUGUUGUUUCCAUGUUUUUUGGGUCCUUGAUAUGUCAUUGAAGAAUUAAGUUCUAAUUAUGAGCAUUUUUUUUCCUUCUGAUUUUGGGGCUUUUGGUAUAUAAAUCACUAUGAUGAUUUCUUGCUCUCAUUCUGUUUCUGAUAUUCCAAAUGACUGACAUUUGCAUAUUACAACUGUACCAUGACUAUUCGUUUCUGUCAAAAGACCUUUGACAUGUUUGCUAAGUGGAAAUCUGUCCCAAGCCUAUUAUAGUAUUCCUCAACAGCAAAAUUUAGUUUCAUCUUUAUUGUUCCUCAGCAGCAAAAUUUAGUUUCAUCUUUACUGAUUCCAUACGAUGUAUUGGACAAGAUUAUUUAUCUUGUAGGUCUUUAAUUGGUUAUUCAUGGUUCUUGAAUUUGGACGAAUGUACUAGCCUUAUAUGUUGUUUACUUGUGCAAAUUGUCGGAUGCAACUGCUAGCACCGGAAAGUAAUAAAAGUUAUGUAGAUUUUGUACCAAAUGUUGAUAACCUCAAUGUUUGAGAAAGUUAUCAUGUCGAUGGACUGAAUAUGUUUUAUACAAGAUAUAAGUAUAGAACAAGAUAACAUCAUAUGUUUAAUAGUCAGCCUUGCAAUUUUGGUGUCUUUUGGGCUUCUGCUUAGGUCUUGGAGGAUAUUGCAACUAAAUAGUUUCCCUACCAAAUAUGAUGCAAGAUAAAGGGAACUAUUGGAAGUGGCAAAUCAUACCGUGAACUAGUGUAGAGGCGGAGAUGGUGAGAGAUUCUCCUUUAGUUUAAGUCUACAGACAUGAGUUUGAGAGUAACAAUCUAUCUCUUAAUGAAAAAUAGGCUCUUUGUUUGAUUGGUUCAAAAGAGUAAGUAAAUCUAACAUGUUAAGUGGUUAUUAGGAGUGGCCGCAUCGUUUGACUGGUUAGAAUGUCUGUCCAGUUGGUUGUUACUGAAAUUGCAAAGCUUGAAUUUGUUUUAAGUCCUGAUUUGUUUUUUGCAUAAAAUUAUAUGAAUCAUGAAAAUCUUUGAAAGCCGAUGGCACCAAGGACCAGAAAGAAAUUUGAAGACAAGCUGAGAGGUUUGUGGAGGAUUAUGAUUUAGACAUUUCAAAAAGAGGUAGACAGUGAUUUUCAAAAAGUGGAGGAAGAGAAAGUAUAUAGAGUCCUCCAAAAUAUCUGUUAAAAUUUCAAUCAUAUUUAUUUUUUGGAUGAAAAUUUCUUUUACGAACUCUUAUCCACAAACUUUUUGCUAGAUUACAAGUCUUAAGUAGAUGGAGAAGGCAACAAUGUCAAACUAGGCUCUCUGCAUAUACUGCUGCAUGCUGAGAUAGUCUAUUGCGAUGCCUACUGGUCUGAAGUGUUCAAAUGUCAUUUUAGCAUAUUGUAUAAACUGUGGUCCUGCUUUCUUUGGUUACUAAUUUCUUUACUUUGUAUGUGAAAUGAGAAAGGAAAUAAUCUUAAGUCUAGCUAAUACGAUUAUAUUUGAGCAAAUUAUAUCCAGUAAUUGUUAAUCCAAUUUCACUUUGAUCCCUUCAAUUGGUGUCAAUUGAUGGCUCACAAUGUGCAUUAAAUAAUUCUUCAAGUCUGUUGUCAGCUUCCUCGUAUCUAUUAUGUCAGGAGAGUCUGGUGUAAGUUUGGUCUAUGUGCCUGCCCGAUCAACAUAUAUUUAAUUGGACCAAAUAGGUGAGAAGAUACUUGCAAUGUUAGUUAAGUCUAUGUGGCUGCCCGAUCAACAUGUUAAUUAGACUGAAUGGGUGAGAAGACACUUGCAAUGUUAACCUGUGGUGCUAUGUGACCAUCCAAUUGAAAACAAGUUUCGAAUGUUCGACAGGCACCUUUCUGUCACCAAUAUGAGCCAAUUAAACACUAACUUUGGAAACCUCGUAUUCUAUGUUUUAAUGACAUCUACUUCCCCGAGCUCUCAUGGGCUGGAGCUGAUGUUGUGAAUUAGUUGAGUCACUUAACAAAGUUUAGUCAUCAAGUGAAACAAGAAAAGUACAAUUCAACGCAUAGGUAAGAUAUUUCUUGCGCAGCUUUCUGCUGAGUAAACCCUCAUGCAUCAGAAGUUCUAUAGAAUCUUAAGUUAGUGUACACUGUAACACAAGCUAAACUCUUAAUAUGAUGGUACUGUAUGUUAUUUGCUUGUUCUCCCUAUUGCAUUCAAAACUUUGCACAAUUUUAUGAAUCUGUAUGCAUGAUAAUCUGGAUGGCUGUUUAAUACCUGGCAACAGUUGUUUCUGCUUUCAGACUAUUUCAUCUAUGUUUUCUUUGGACGUCCUUUUCUUAGUUACGUGUAUAUGCAUGUUUCUACCAGGUUGAUGAUAUUCUAGAAACAAAAUUGGACAGAAAAUUCCAGAUUGUUAUGGACAAAGGGACUUUGGAUGCCAUAGGGUUACAUCCUGAUGGGCCGAUAAAAAGGUGAGGUUACUAGAAAGCUGGUGUUUCCUAGCUUAUUUGGUUUCGUUUUUUGUUCUUUUUCUGCAUGCUUGUAGAAUGUUCCUGAUGUUCGCGAUGUUCCUGCAUACUCUACCACAAAUUUGAGGUGCUUUUGAGCUUUCUUUUCUAUUCCUGAUUAUCAAUUGAGGAAUAUGACCAAUAAAAUGCUGCGAGUAUUGGUGAAUAUUUUUGUGGUGAAAAUGCUUUCCUAUAGCUGUUGUAUUAUGAAUAUCGAUUUACAUAAACUCUCCUUUUUUCUGAGGGAGAAGAUUUACAUAAGCUAUAUAAAUAGCAUCGUAUGACCACUAGUUAGUGCCAGUGCAACAAAAGAAAUAAAUGUUUUCUGGUGGAUAAAAUUUGUGUUAUAUCAGUUGCUUAUAGUUGAGCGGGAAAUGUUAGUGUAAAUGUUUCUACUUGUUCACUUUGCAUUUUAUGCAAUCCCCUUUUUCAGGAUAAUGUAUUGGGAAUCAGUAGCAAACUUGGUUUCCCCUCGUGGCGUCUUGGUGAGUAAAAUUUUUUUGCUCGCCAAACUUCAAGCUAGAUGCUCCUUGUAUUCAUUUCACAACAUUGUUUCACCCUACUGCUAUGGUAAAACAUUUACAGGUGAUAACAUCUUGUAAUAACACAAAAGAGGAGCUGGUGCAAGAGGUGGAGAACUUCAAUGAUAGAAAGUACGGUGGUAAGGAUGCAGACCAAGAAGCAAGCGGUGAGCCUUGGGUCUUCCGAUACCUUGAUUAUGUGCGUAGUUACCCCACGAUUAUGUUCGGCGGGGUUGAAGGUUCUCGUGUGUGCACUGUUGCAUUUCUGCGAAGCUGAUAUUUGUAACAUGUUAUUGCCCUUUGUUUCCGGAAUUUUAUUGUGGGGGUUCAUGUUGCAUGUGCUUAAGUGUUUAUCUUUUCUUUUCUUUUCUUUUCUUUUCUUUUCUUCUGAUUUUAAGACCCGGUUAGAAGUGUUAAACAUGUAUGUUUCUUUAUAACAGAAUUAGAAGCGUUAAACAUGUAUAUUUUCUUUAUAACAGAAUAUUAGAGACAAAAUAGGGAAGAUAUUUAUUGCAGGACGGUUAUAUGAUCUUUCUUUCCCGUGGCUGUUGUAUGGAUUAGAUGCAAGAUAAAUUAAGGGCGUGUUUGGUUCAUGAUUGGAAUAGGAAUAAGAAUGGAAAUUGGAUUGGAUGGAAUGGAAAAUGGAAUAAUAAAUUAUCUAAAAUUAUUUGGUUCAAUAUUGGAAUGGAAAUUGAAAUAAACAUCUAGAAUUUUGAGAGGGCUUUGGUUGAGGGAGAGGAGAGUUGAUGAAGAGAGGCGAAAGAGAGAUGUUUGUGACGAGGGCUUUGAAUGAUUUACUUGGAUUUUUGUAAAAUAAAUGAAUUUAUUGAAAUUAAUGAAUUUUAUUUUAGUUUUAUUGUUUAAAUUAGGUGAACCAAACAAACUCUAAAUCAACUUUCCUAGGAAGAUGGUUUUUUGAGAAAAAGGUAGCAUGCAACUCAUUUUGUUUAUUUCUUUUAGAAAUAAAAUUUAUUGGUAAUAUAAAUCUACUAGGAUUCAAACUUGCAACCUCAAAUAUUAACCAUUAAGCUCUUUGCCAUUUGUGUUAGGGACGAAUUAUUAUCCAAGGAUAACUUGGUUAGCAUCCUACUGGAAUCUAAGACAAUUCUAUAAUUCUGACUACACUCCACACCCUGCGAUCUAUUCUACUCGAAAUCAAAAUAGAAAAAAAAGAGUUUAAAAAAAAGACAAGACUAAAAUGUGAAAUAACAUAGGUAAAUAUGUAUAAAACUUAUGUAAAUUAUGAGUUUUUUGAAUUAACUAUUCAGUUUUUCAAAAUUUUGAUUUCAUUAUCCAAUAUUUCAAUUUGUUUGAAUUCAGUAAUUUUUUUAAAGGAAAACAUGCUCUAAGAUAAUUUUAUUUAAUUAAUCAAGUGCUACAGAUUGAAAAAUCUCAUCUAUAGAGUACUAGAAAAAUUUUUUUUGCUGGUGAGUUUCCGUUGGUCAAGCAAUACUCGGCUAUAGCAUUUUUCGAAAAUCUCGAAGUCCAUCCAAACAUUAAGUGUUUGAAUCUCUAUGUAGAAGUCCAAAGCUUCAUGAUUCUAGCCUUAGCUUCAUAUAUUAUUGAAUUUGAAUAAUAAUUUCUAAGGUGCAAAGCUUUGAUAAUGAAUGUUGAAUCUGACAAGAUAUGAAAAGUUCCUCGAGGAUACAUCUGCCAAAGGAAGCAUUGUGGACUACUUGUAUUGCAUUAGAUAUGCAAGCAAUGGUUCCAUGCUGAAUGGUAAUCAGGCAUCCUACACCACUUGCCAUGCUGCCUUUUCCAACUUCCAUCUACCCACACAUAGUACGAAGAGGUUGUGGGUUUUUGAAUCAGAGUUGGAUCCUGGAUGUUGAUUCUCAUCAUAUUCUAGUUGGAAUAUUAAGGUCUUCCAGCUAUGAGCCCUUGAAAUGAUAUUAGUGAUUGAGAAAUUUUCCCCCUCAAAGAUCACCUCAUUCCUUUCCUUCCACAAGCUCUAUAAUAGAUGAACAUAGAAAGCCUUAUAUGAGUCUCUAUGGCUUUGUUAGUUAGGAUAAAAAAUAUCCAAAAAGAUAGAGCCUUCUCCGGAUUGAGUUGUUGGCUUCGGUUAAACCGAAUCGGGUGCGUCCAUGAUCAGAUUCGAUCUGACAGUUAUUAUAUUGUCUAAUUGGACUAGACUUAAUCUCACUUUUAAUUUGGAAAGCUAAUUAGAGAUAUAUCUUAGCUAUAUUAGGAUAGCAAUCAAACACGGAUUCAUCCUAAUUUUCUACUUAUCUAUUAAAGUGUUAAAAUCCAUUAUAAAUUUAUAGAAUAUUUUGUCAUAAAAUAUAAACAAAAAAAAAGAAAAAAAUAAUUUGUAGAUAAUUUACAAUGAGCCAUCUUGUGUGAGAGAGAGAAACUAUAUCCUCCAUUAACUAUUGCUUCUAGAGGGUCUUCAAUGGUGGAUUAUAGAUCUAACUCGUUCAUAGCUCUAUCUACCAGACGGUCUUCAAUGGUGGAUUAUAGAUCUAACUCGUUUGUAGCUUGAUCUACCACUGAUUUGGAGCGUUAAAAGACCUUCGUAGACGAUUGGAGGAUACGUAAAUCAACCUCUACGAUCCGGAACUUAUCACGUUCUAGCAUGAGUCGCUUUCGUAAAAAUAUGAACGAAUACUUCCGUUGUAUUCUACAUUAGUAUCGGAACAUUACUUGGUUGAUUUCGUAUCCUAGAUAAAUUUUUAACAAGAUUGUAUGUGUAGAUCUAAAGUUGCCAUUGUUUAGAAUUCUUUUUCCAUGUUGUGGGUGUUAAUGGCAGGGUGAAUAUAAUAGCAUGAUAUUUACACAUCUUAUGCCACUUAUGUUGUAGAUUAUAUGAGCAAAAUUUGGUUUGAUUUGAUUUUGUAUUUUAUGUGAAAAAUAAAAUAAUAAAUCAAAACUUUAUAAAUGGCUUGUUUGCUGUGUAGUGUAUAUCUCAUUGUAGAAUUUGCAUGGUUUGGUACAGCUCUUUAUAAGCCUUCCAGUGAAAUAGUUUAUGCAUGAUUUGGGCUUGUGGAUCAAAAAAUAUUAAAUUUCAAAGUUUCCCUUUUUAUUUCAUAAAAAAGGGUUUGCUGUGACGCAGUGAGCCACGUGGGUCCCUGCGCGCGAGGCCUGCCUUGGGCUUGGCCCAUGCAGGGCCGCCAAGGUUCUCAGGUCUGUGCAAGCCCGCAAGCCCGUGCAGGCUUGCAGGCCCGCAGGGGGCCUGCCCUACGCAGGCCUGCAGGCGACCUGCCUUGUCCCACCAAAAUUGGGCCUUUGCACAGUAAAAUAUUUGUUUAUAAAAUAAAAUAAACGAAAAGAGAAGGGAGGAAAUUUUGGAGAUAUAUUUUUUUGGAGCAUAUUAGAUGUUUGAUUAUGCCUUGAUGAUACACAUUGCAUGCAUUUAAUUUUUUUGGGGUAAAUUUAUUAUGCCUCAUGUGAUGUAUGGAUGAAGCUUUUGGCAUAGUAUAAAUUUUUCUAUGCAUGCUUAGUCAAGCGAGAGUUUGUAUUAAGAUAGAGUAAAUUAUAUGUUUUACUCCGUAAGCCCAUAAUUUUAUGAAAAAUUAGGCAUAGGGUGUAGUGUGAUUAUGAGCACAGCGAAAUUUUUCUUUACACAACUAUGAUCUAAUUUCUCAGUUUGUUUAAUUAGAGAUGCGGCAAAGUUUAAUAUAUGUAUUGUGUGCUAAUUUUUAAAAUAAUUUUCAUUUUUUGUGUACUAUGUGAACUUAGUGAGAUACUAUGGUGUCAAAAUAAGUUGUUUUUGAUUUGAUCGAAGGUGAGAAAUUAGACAGUGAUAAUUAUGAUAUUUGGCACCACAAAAUUUAAUAUGUUCUUGCUGAGCAAAAGGUCUUGAAAACUUGAGUAAUAAGAUGAACUAACCCACGGAGGGUAUUAGCAAUGAGACUCGUCGAGAGAUGGAACAUAAUUGGCUUAAGAAGGAUCGUAUUGCUCGCAUUACGUUGCUGAGCAGCGUGCAGGAUGAUUUCUUCUGUGAAUAUGAGCAGUACGCAACUGCUUAUGACAUAUGGGAGGCUUUUAAAACUAAAUUUGGUGUGACUUCGGCAGAAAGGUUGGCAGCCUGAUUAUGUGGUUUGAUAGUUAUAAGAAGUGUAUAUCGAACUUCUACAAUUAUGAAGUUUUGGUGGGCAUUAGCUUAAAAAGCUAUUAAAGUAGUUCCGGUGAAGUUUGGGGAGCAUUCGAGUGUUUUCGGCGCUAACCGGACGCGAAAACGGGUUUCAAAAGCUGAAAUCUGCCUAAGUUGCAGAUUUUGUAUUAAGUACCGGUACUGAAAUCUGGGUACCGGUAAGGAAUACAAAAUGAGAAAAACAUGCUCUCGGGUUUUGAGGAAUCAAACCUGAGUACCGGUACUGAGUUUGUAAUGGGUACCAUACUAGAAAUUGAGUACCGGUACGCAGUAGAAAAUUGGAAAUUCAACAUUCGGGUUUUGAGGUACUAGAAAUCGGGUACCGAUACUAGGUGCCCGAGUACCGAUACGCCAACCUGAGUACCAGUACUCAGCCCUGUAGAAUGCUGAUUUUGAGGGAUAGGUGGGUAAUUUCAUACGGAGGCAUAUUUAAAGGGGUGCCCUUCCCCUUUCUUCCGCAGAACACACACACAUGCACACUGAGGGAGAGAUAGGAGCUCAUCUCUCUCACUCUCUUCUUUUUUCUCCAACUUGGAGAUCUUGGUGGAGAUUGAACUUGGGAAGCUCGGAGAAGCAUGAAUCGAGUUCUUGGGCGCUUGGUAGCUCGGAGUGCUUUCGACUCGAGGUGAGUUUUGGGGUUUUAAGCUAGGGUUUUGGGUCUAAACCUUCUAAAUAGAUUCCUAUCAAACUCUAGGCUAAUAUAAGCUACAAAUUGUAGAGAUUAGCAAAUAGAAUUGGAUUUUUCCAUUGAGUUUGGAAAUCUCCAGGUUGACAGAGGGAUUUGUUUGUGGAGGGUUCUAAAAAUAUUUUAACCCUUUAAAACCUUAAUUGAGGGUAUAGAAAAUCAUGUAAGGCCACUUGAUUUCAAAAAGAAAAAUCAUUUAGUGGUUCGAAAGUGGUAACGAAUGGAUCUCUUGUUUAGGGUAAAGAAAGCUUGGGAGCAAGCUUGGAGAUACAAGAGGUUGGCGUAAUUACAAGUGUUUACAAGCAAUUAUGAGGCUUUGUGAGGUGGGUUGUGCUUCACCGAAGUAACUAGGUCGCUUCCAUGUCAAAAAAGUAAAGUAUGCUAUUAUUGUUGAUGCAUGUAUGUAAUGGUAAGUUAUAAGUUGUAAAUAUGAAUGCAUAAAUCAUAUGUUGCUAGAUGAUGUUACCUACCAUUGGAUAAUGACAUAGGCAUGUGAGAACAUAUAAGAUGGAUAUAUAUGUAUGCCUAGAUGUGGAUAAUGAACAUAGGCCAAUGAAUUGUAGCAAAAAUUACAAAAAUUAGAGAACUCGAUAAGUGUGAUUACCAAGGACUAGAUGUCAUGAAAUUGUGAAUCCUAGGUGUGGACAAUUAGAAUAAAGAAAGAACAUGAUUGGUGUCACGCCCCGGGACCGAUACCAAUUUGGGCCGGCCCGAGCACGUCAAACAGACGCCGAACGGACAGAGUUUUCCCUAUCCGCCCAAGGCUCAUCACAUGUACAUUUUCAUCAAUAGAGAAAAGAAAUAGCGGAAACAUAUACAAACGGCUUACACGAGGGUAAGUAAUAGCCAUUAGUGAAAGAAAGGAAAACUAAACAUUCGCUUGGACUAUGAUUCAUUUUUGAUCAUAUACGUUGUAUUCAUCUUGUUCAUUUUCGAAUUCCUUACAUUUCAUUUCAUCAUUUCUUUCUUACAUCACAUUUACCUCAAAAUACACAUUACAUUCUUUUCUCAACAUCACUAGUCAUCAAAUACAAAAGAUGAACAUAGGGUACUCUACUACAAAAUGUAACCCGACACAACUCUGGUNUUCUUUCUUCUUCUUCUCGUUUGCCUUCUAGAGAGAGAGAGAGGGAGAGAAGAGAGUGUGAGAGGGUGAGGAAAUGAGAGAAAUAUCUCAUUUGCCCUCAUACAUAGCUAUUGGGUUGCAUAAUUGCUAAUAAACCCCUCAACUUUCACUUUAAUGCACUGCCCGAACUGGGCUGAUCGCGCAGGCAGGGACCGGUCUCUUCUUCAGGGACCGGUUCCCGAAGGUCAUCCCAGCACAGCCAGAGCUGUUGCGCGCAGUGCAACCAGUCUCUCCUUGGGGGACCGGUCUCUCGGGGACCGGUCUCUCGGACAGGGACCGAUUCCCGAGAGCUACUUUCUCAGGACUUAGCCGAUUUUUCGGCGGUCUCAUUUCAUACGCGUUCGGGAACCGGUCUCUCCCACCAGGGACCGGUCCCCAAGAGCUGAAAAUCUGCAGUUUUCCAGAAUUUGAUUCUUUAGCUCUCGAAAACCGUCCACAACGCACUUUUGAUCGUUUUAACACCUUCUGACUUUCCGAAGUGUACCAUCCUCGCACUUUGGUCAACUUGACUAAAGUUCGAUAUUUAUUUUUCGAAUUUUCGGUAUAUUACAAUUGGGUAUUAGACUUAGUGUAUAUAUAUAUGUCACGCCCCGACACCCGCCUAUUUGGUCAGAUUCGGGGACGCCAACAGACCGCCGAACGGACAGAGUUUUUCCUGUACGUCCUAGGCGUCACAAUCGAUACAAUACAACAGGUUCCAACUAGGAACAACAUUCAAUCAUAGAUUGCAUUAGGAAGUAUCAAAAACAUAAAUACUAAGCUAUUACAAGCAUUCAACUCACAUGUAUCUUAACAUAUUACAUUUUGCUUACAUUCAACUUUCAAAUUACAAUCUAGUUAUUACAACACUUAAUAUAAGUUUGUUCUUUGUCUUUUAAACCCCUAAGUUAGACCACAUCAGGGUACCACUAUCUCUGGUCUCGGGGUAGGGCGCUAUUUACGGAGCUAUGCCCUUUCCUCGCGCCGCCGCACCGCUUGCGUGUGAACUUGUAAUCCCCAAAACAACGUGGUGUAAGGAAGUGAAUUCUCGAAAUUCGAGAGUUAAACUUCGUUCAAAAUCGACCAAGUGUCGUGUUGGUGUGCUUUGGAAAAGCCAAAGAUGACAAAAUCACUAAAAGUGCAUUGGAAACGAGUCCACGAGAGCAAAUAGUGCAAAACCUGCACUGGAGCAAAAUUGUGCUUGGGGACCGGUCCCUGGUAGGGAGAGAUCGGUUCCAUCGGCUGGUGGUUCCGGGGAUCUUUGAGGCAACUGGUCCCUGGCAGGGAGAGACCGGUCCCUGAACGUGAACCAAGCGAGAAAGCCAGAAAUUUGGCUAAGUUCCGAAAAUCCUGCUCUCGGGAACCGGUCUCUCGACGCGAACCCAGCGAGAAAGCCAGAAAUUUGGCUAAGUUUCGAAAAUCCUGCUCUCGGGAACCGGUCUCUCAGUCAAGGACCGGUCUCCCGGGACCGGUUUCUCGGGAAGGAACCGAUUCCCGAAUGCGUGACUCGAGCUGAAGCUCUCGGGGACCGGUCCCAGGUCGGGGAGACCGAUCCCUCUGGGCGCAGAAUGCCCAGUGAGGGCUGUGCACAGAGAUGAAAGUUGAGGGAUUUAUUUGGAUAUUGUUACAUUAGAGGGGUAUGUAGGCCCCCUCUCUCUCUCCAACCCUCAUUUCUCCCUCACUCUCUCACACUCUCUUGCUCCCUGUCUCUCUCUAGAAGGAAAAGAGAAGGAGAAGAAGAGAAAGAGAAGAAGAAAAAGGAGGAGGAGAUCAAGCUCAAGGAGCCUUGGAGCAUCUUCAUCUUCCUCUCCUCACCAUUGGAGUAGCUCUAGAGGUAAGCUACCAAACCCUAGCUUGUGGAACUUAAGUUUUUUGGGUUUUAAGCUUCGGAAUUGGGGUCAAAUGGACCCCAAGUACCAUUGUUGGUGGAUUAAAGCUAGAGUUGAGGUUCCAAAAUGCAAAUGGCAAGAUGUGAACCCUAGGGCUCCAAAAAAGGGGUUUUUUGGUAAGGUAUGAGAUUGAUCUCAUUUAAGGCCUUGUAAACCUAAUUGCUAGGUGCCUAAACGCGGGGGCGAAGUCGGAUUUUGCAUUCGUCAAGUGGGUCAAGAGCUAUCGACAAAAUAAGGCCGAUUGAGCAUCAUUUUGAUCCAAGAAGAUCGAGACUUCGUCGUAAAGUUCGUUGAAGGGCAUUUCUAGAGCCUCCAUAAGUGUAGUAGAGAUACUAAACUUGAAUGAGUGGCAUGUCAACUAGUUAGAAGAUAUUACUACAACGACUGAACGAGUGGCAUCUAGUCUAGUAUAGUAAACAUGACAUGGUUCUUGGGAUAGUAGAGGUGUGACGCACUGGACCUUUGCAAAUUUGCAAGGUUCGAGUAAUUGGAUGUGUUUCGAGCUUUUCCACACUUGGUGGAGGGUCGUAGAAUGUUUUUCGAUUCAAAAAGUUCGGAAACUUGAGUUUUGGACGAAACCUGAGAGUUUUUACUCUCGGGGACCGGUCCCUGAAUGGAGAGACCGGUCCCCCAGUAAACAAUGUUGCGCUGUCGGCAAGGCUACCGGUCCCUAGCAGGCGAGACCGGUCCCCGAGCGCGUCCUCGCAGUAAGAGACCGGUCCUGCGCGGGGAGAGACCGGUUCCCGAACGCUGGUUUUUCGGGUUCGCAGCGAGAGACCGGUCCCUUGCAGGGAGAGAUCGGUCCCUCAGCCCGAAAUCUGCCCAGACCGGGCUUUGCAUAGAAUGCAAAGUUGAGGGGUUUUUCUGGAUUUUGUUACACUAGAUGGCUUAUAUGGCCACACCACCUUCUCUCAUUCUCAUUUCUGUCCUCACCCUCAUUUCCCCCCACCAUUGUUAGAGAGAGAAGAGGAAGGAGAAGAAGGAAGAAGAAGAAGAAGGAUAAGGUUUUUGGUGGACUUGGAGCAUUUCUCUCCUCUCCUUCUCUUUCCACCUUGUUGGUGCUUGAGGGCUUGGACUUGGAGCUUGCAAAGGAGGAGAUCUUCACCCUUGGGGCUUGGAUUGAAGCUUCUAAGGACGUUUGUUGCUCAUUCCCUCCUCUAGACCUUGAUUUGUUGGUUUUUAGGAGAUGGAACCCUAGAUUGGGAUUUUAGGGUUUAUUUUGGAUAUUUUGGACCUAGGGCUUUUGGAGCUUGAUCACUUGGAUUAGAGCCUUCCUUUGGGUUGGAUUGGAAGGGAUUUAGCUCUCUUUUGGAGCUUAGGAAGAGAUUUUGCACUAGAGGUGAGUUUUGACCCUAUUCUUGUGUUUGUUAAAGUUUGAUCUUAUAGUUGAUCGUAAUGCCCGUGUAUCUCUUUGCUCAAUACUUUUAGGGUAUUUUGAGGUUCGUGGACAACUUCGUUCGGCGAAACCAGGCACUACGCGACGGUUCGGUGGGUUUGACCUAGUCACACAAUGAGAAAUUCUCAUUUGUGAUGAAUUAAGUAUUGUUAAUUGAAAAAGUAUGUAUAUUCUUGUUAUAUGUAUUUAUUGUGAAUUUUAGAAUGCCUAAAAUGCCUAUAUUGCAUAUAGUAAAAUUUGGACCUCUAUAUAGUAGAGAGUUGCUUGAGAGAGCUUUGGUUUGCAUUUGGCAUUCUAUACGAGACUUGGUUUCAUACUUCUAUAGCGUAAAUGAGCCUUGAUUCAUGCAUUUAAACUUAGAUUUAAUUGUGACAUGAAAGAUGACAAGAUUGCCAUAUAGAGGUAUUGAAGUAGAAUGUAUACGAAUUAGAGAGCUAAUGUCAUCAAGCGGCAUCGAGCUCGGGACAUGUGUGAACCUAGUGGUUAGAGCCAUUGCGGGACUUGGUUUAUGUUGAACAUCAAAUUGCCUAAGUGUCAUCAAGAGGCACUAGGCGUAGUGAGUGUUUGGAACUUCGCUUUGUGACUUAAACUGGAUCUUCGGGAUGCUAGUGACGAUACCAUGUUAGAGACAUGAGGAUUGGAUACUUGAGACUUGGACUAUGCUUGCUUGCCAUUUGUGCUCAUUCGCACAUGCUUGUGAGGGUCGCUCCCUACAAGCCGGCACUCCGGAGUUAGCCUACGCGACUUAUGUUCGCUCGUGCGGUAUUGAGAAGCCUACGGGGUCGAGUGGGACAGACACAUUCCAAGAGUAGGGAUGUUGGGCUACCACAGGCACUUAGGCGGCACAAGCUGGACUACCUUUGGUAGGUCCUUAAUUGGAAAUGGAAAUCGACACGGGAUGAGUUUGUUAUAAUCACUACUAAAUAGAGAGUAGUAGUUGGAUUACUCGGACUUGCUUCUAGUAUAGAUUUGGACUUUGGGUAUACAUACAUACAUGUUGUAUGCUAGGAGACAUUGCUUACUUGCAUUCAUAUAAACAAUGUUGCUAUGAUAAAGGAUAAUCCUCAUAAUUUCAUUAAGCAAACCAUGACAUUAUUUAUGGCUAAGUAGAGACAUAUCCUUCAUGACAAGAUAAUUGUGCAUUACAUAAAUGCCAUGUUUAAUUGCAAGUAAUAGUUUAGCAUUUUCAUUAUGCUUUCAUAAAUGCAAUUACUCGUUAUUACUAUUGCUUUCGACUUACCCUUUCCUUUUGGGGCCUAGUGGUGCAUUGAGCUGAGGUCAGUAAUUGCCCACUGGGAACUAUAAAUUAUAGUUCUCACGCCCUCUGUUUUAUGUUUUCUUUCAGAGCCUUCCACGCCGGGAGAGGCUAGGGACCGUGGGAAGGGCGUUGCUUCGAGUUAGCCCUUCAGUGAGAGACGAGUUUAGGUGGUCUACCUCUCGAUGUAUUUCUUUUUGGAGAGGUUGAGAGCUGUACCAGUGUACUAGAGACCACCCUUCUGUGUACCUUUGAGAUAGAUUUUGUACUACUUAUAUUUACUUUUAUGGUUUAGCUAUGUUUCUUUUUACUCUGGUUUAGAUGAUAGAACUUACUUGCUCUGAUAUCGUUAGUUGCUACUCGUUUUAUUUAUUCUAUUCCUUGCUUUUAUUUUCGCUGUUGUUGUAGACGCCUUAUAUGUGCAGACAUAUGGCGGGUCUGGGCGCGCUCUCGGUAGGGCCUCUGCCGGUCCCGGGGAGUGACAAGAGGUCCCGGCAUCUAGGAUGCAUUGUAUAUUGUGCAGCAGAGGCACAUUGACCCUAGUAGAUAGGGUAUCUUCUUGAGAGGAUUGGAUCAUACUCACUAGUCUGUUUUCGCUUGUCGGUGGUCGCUCCACCGAGGUAUAAGAGUGAGUCGAGGGCUUAACCUACGGGUUAGCCAAGUAGAUUGGGUAAUAAACAUGAAAUGCAUUGUAAAUUUGCAUUAUUAUCUUGAGUAGACAUAAUGUAUGUUGUAGAUUGCAUUGCUAUGUACCUUUUCAUACUCAUGACAUGAUACUAGCAUGAUAGUAGUUGUUGCAUGCAUCAUCAUCAUUGGUGGCAUGAUAGAGUAGUUAUAGUUUAUUUCUCUAUGUAUCUAUCUAUCUUUCUAUCUGUGCCAGCUUAGACCUAGUGAAAAAAUCGGCGGAGUCGGCGGCCGAACCCACUGGAAACUAUAUUUAUAUAAUUUUCACCCCAUGUGAUUUUGGGGUACAGGUACACACAGGGGCGAGCCGAGCGAGGAUCGCAGCAAGGGCAUAACGCCCUGAGUGAGUUAGCUAGUAGCUUUCCUUUAUGCAUUAGAGUACCCUCGUGUACUAGAUACCAUAUAUAUUUGGGAUAGGCAUUGGAGAGCCAUGAUGUAUUUGGAAAAGAACAUGUAAUUACAUUUUGGAAGAUGAAAAUGUAAUGUAACCAAAUGAUGUAAAAAAGUUGAAUGGUUGUUGUUGAACCAAUACGGCGCAGACAGUUGGCACACCGAGUCCAUAUAUCGCUGGAUCGGGAGCACGGAAAACGCGCCAGGGGAUAUGAGCUGUGAUUAUUUGAAAAAUGAUAACCGUAAGCAGUUAUGGGCAGUUCCCAAUGGCAGUUCCAAUCGGCCGAACGUGGCCUUCCAAUCCGGAGAAGAUGGCCGAUCGUGCAAUAACUGAACACAAGGGGAAAAUAUAUAAAUAGGCCUGUAGUACCCUAAAAAGGGGUCUUNGGAGAGCCAUGAUGUAUUUGGAAAAGAACAUGUAAUUACAUUUUGGAAGAUGAAAAUGUAAUGUAACCAAAUGAUGUAAAAAAGUUGAAUGGUUGUAAUAGCUAGAUAUUUUUCUCUUUAUACACUUGUAUUUUACUUGUGAACGUUGACAUCGAUUCAUUCCAACAUUACACUCUCGGGGCUUAAUAGAACAAUAUAAUUAGGUUUUACUCUUUGUUCGAUUGAAUGAGAAAAAGUACUCGUUGCAAAGUUAUACUGUUAGGACAGAACUGAGUAGUCUAAUGUUGUUCCGGUUUUGGUUCUUGUGAACGUUGACAUCGAUUCGUUCUAAAUUUAUUCUCUUGGGGCAUAAUAGAACAAUAUAAUUAGCUUUUACUCUUUGUUCGAUAGAAUGAGAGAAAGUACUCGUUGCAAAUUUAUACUGUUAGGGCGCAAGUUAGUAGUCUAAUGUUGUUCCGGUUUUGGUUCUUGUGAACGUUGACAUCGAUUCAUUCCAAAUUUACACUCUCGGGGCAUAAUAGAAUAAUAUAAUUAGCUUUUACUCUUUGUUUCAGAUUGGAAAUCAUGUGCUCUUGAAAGUCUCGCCGACUCGAGGGAUUAGAAGAUUUGGAAUCCGGGGCAAGUUGAGCCCCCGAUUCAUUGGAUCAUAUGAGAUUUUGAAACGUGUAGGCCCGGUGGCAUACCGACUUGCUCUACCACCGAACCUAUCGGAUGUACACAACGUCUUUCAUGUAUCAAUCCUUCGGAAGUACAUUCAUGAUUCGGCUCAUGUGCUUAAUGCGAUGCCUUUGGAGCUGAGGGAGGAUUUGAGUUUCGAGGAGCAGCCUGUGAGGAUCUUAGCUUGUGAGGUGAAGAUGCUGCGAAACCGCGAGAUCCCCUACAUGAAGGUUCUUCGGAUCAAAUUUAAAUUUUAAUGUAAAAUAGAUGGAUAGAGCAUAUUGAUAUUCUGGCAAAAAUUUGGAUAAGUAUGAAUUUAUUUCUAUUCUAGAGAUAAAAAAAAAUUAAACAAAUUUUGAAUUAAAAUAUAGAUUCACAAUAGAUAUCUUUCGGUUGGCAAAAUUUGAAUAAGUAUAUAUAUUUUUUUAUUUUAGAGGUAAAGAUGAAUUAAAAGUUUGUUUUAUUAUGUUAUUUAUUUUAUGUAAGGAAAGAGGAAUCAAAUUUUUUCCCCUAAAAAUGGGUCUGCUGACAUAUCGAAAUUUGAAAUACGUGCUAGAUAGUAUAGAUAUUAUAUUACAGUUAGAGAUAAAAAGAAUUAAAUAAAAAUUUAUAGUAGAUAUUUUCAGAUUGGUAAAAAUUUGGAUAAGCAUAAAUUUUUUUCUGUUGUAGAAAUAAAGAGGAAAUAAAAGUUUGUUUAAUUCUAUUAUUUAUUUUACGAAAUACAUGCUUUUAUAUAUAGUAUAGAUAUAGAUAGGGGUGGCAAUCCAGCUCGCUGUUCGUGAGUCAGCUCGUGUUCGGCUCGAAAUGAGCUCGAGAUCGGCUCGCUCGUUUAGUAAAUGAGCCGAACACAAGCUAGAUUUUUCAGCUCGUUUAAUAAACGAGAACACGAGCUGGGGUCAGCUCGCUCGUGUUCGGCUCGAUAACAGCUCGAAUGCAUAUAUUUUAUAUUUAUAUACUUUAUUUAAUUUAUAUUUUAUAUAUAAAUAAAUAAUUUUAUUAAUAUAUAUUUUUUAUUAUUUAUUUGUUAGUAAAUAAACAUAUAAAUGCGAGCUAAUUAUAAAAAACUUAUUUAUAUGUCAAAGUUUCAAAUAUUAGAUCAAAGUCUAAUAGAUAAGAAUUAAUAACAUUUAUUUUUAUAUAUAUUUUCUAAUCUAAUUAUUUUAAUUUAUGGUUGUGUGGCCAGCUCGUGAGCCAACUCGUGUUUGGCUAUUAAUAAAACGAGCGGAACACGAGGCUGAAUUUUCGGCUCUCCCGGUACUUUAACGACCAGCUCUGUUCGGGUCGUUUACAUAAACGAGCGAACCACGAUGGACCCCGGCUCUCGGUUCGUGUUCGCGCAUCGUUUACACCUCUAGAUAUAGAUAGUAUAAAUAUAGAUAAUAAUAAUAAUAAUAAAAUAAUAAAUUAAGAUUCGAGUCGGGUUCAGAUCGAAUAAAAUACAAAAUUCAUAGCCCUAUCCACAUUUAUUAGAUUUUUCAGUUCGGAUUCCCAUCGAUCCUUCGAGACACCCGUACUCCCCUGCAGCUCCUCCCUCCCGAUCUCCUCCUUUCCCUUGUUCUCGAUCACCCAAGCCCUCGUCCUUACGAUCCCCAUGGACGGCGAGGGGGGCAGCGGCGGCGGAACCCUUUCGGAGAUCUACCAGAGCGCACGUCGCCUCCUCCUGCGCGCGAGGGAUGGGCUCGAGAGGCUCGAACGGCUCGAAUCCUCCUCCUUCUCCUCCUCCUCAUCGUCGCCCUCGCUCGGGGUCGGCGCCGAUUCGCCCGAGCUCGCCUUCGCCAUCAAGAGGGAUAUCGCCCAGAUCCGGUCACGCUGCGCCGAGAUGGAUCACCUCUGGCGAUCCGUCGCUGCCAAGGGCCAGCGGGAUCUCUGGAAGAGGUAACUGAUCUGGAAACCCUAGCCAUUUCAAACUUGAUUAGGUUUUGCUGCUAUGCUAUGCUAUGCUAUGCUAUUCAGUGGGUUGAUCUGGAGAUUUAUUUAUUUUUAUUUUUAAUUUAUUUUUUAAAUAAGGCAGAAUUGAAUUGAUGGGAAAUUAGGGGAUCGGGGGAAUGUUAUUAUGAUUUGAAGAAUGGUUUGCUCAUGAUUUGGUUUGAUCUCAAGAUCAGCGUUCUCACGAUUAUUAUCUAAUAAAUGUGCGUUUGCUGGUAACUCACCUCGUUCCUUCUUUCUUCGCCUAUGCUUAUUCCGUGUCGUAUAUCGAUUUUGUGUAGUUGUUGGCUCUUGAUUGUGAGGAAUGAGCCUGCGUCGAGCUGACGAAUUUGCUGGGAUCAAUUUCUCAAAUGUGGGUAAAAGAUGCAACCCGCCGAGAUAUUGCUGCUACAUAUUUUAUCCCUUUUUGUCCUUGUUAAUUUCAGUUGGUUUUCUUUCAUUAAUUCAAUUUGAAAUUUUUAUCCCAAUCAAACUAAAUUGGUGGGUAUCAGUAGUUGAAGAGAUUGUUGUCUCUGAUAUUUUUAUUAGUUAUGUUGCUUAUACAAGAGCCUAAUUUUAGACUCUCUCAUCUAAAAUAAUAGGAAUAAGAGAUUUUCUUCAUAUCUCAAAGUCAUUCUUAAAUAAAAAGAGUGAGAGAAUAUAAGAAGAAGAAUCUGUAUUUUAUAUUUCAAAAUAGGAAGUAGCAAAACUGAUAGAAGAAUCAAUUAGCAUAAAAAAUCUAGCCAACAGAAUAUGGGAUUAGAAAAAGAAUCAGCUUAAAAAUAUCCAGAGAAGAUAGAAAAAAACUUAAGUGAUGAAAAUGCACCAAUAAAAGAGGCAACAGUCAACUCAAAUCAAAGGAAAGCCUAAAUUUAAGUUCUAUAAUGUACUGAAAUAAAUUUUAAACUCGUAUUUUAGAGUUAGGAAAUCUGCAGUAAUUGGAGUAGAUGAAGAAAGUACGCUAAUCUUUAGGAGUAGCAAAAUUUGGAGAACAUCUAAAAUAAAAAGAAUAAAAGGAAUAAGAGAAUAUAAGAAGAAAAAGCAUCAACAUUUUACAUAUGAAAAAGGGAAAUAGUAGAACUAAGUAGUAGAGCUGAUAGAGGAAUUAGUCAGUAUGAAAUAUAGUCAACAAAAUAUGUAAUUAGAAAAAGAACCUUCUACAAUCUAGAGAAGAGACAAAAGACUAAGUGAUGAAGAUACACCAAUAGAAGAAGAAGCAACCAACUUAAAUCAAAGGGAACCCUUCCAAAAUUGGAAAUAACUAAUAUAUUGGUUCUUUUUUCUACAAAGGAUUUUCUUUAAAAAAUAUCUUUUCUUUCUUCAUUUUUGCCCACCUUACUUGUCACGUCCCGAGACCGCCAAUUUGGUCGGAUUGGUCCUGCACACAGACGCCAAACGAACAGAACCUCCUCUGUUCGCCUAAGGCUCAGCAACAACAACUAAACAUGUAUAAUGAAAUGCCCAGAAAAAUUUCCAGUAUAUAUGGCUUACACGAAGGUAAGCAACACAAGCAAAUGAAAGUAAACUAACUAAACCAUUCAUACAUUGUAACUUGAGUACUUUAAAUCAAAUACAAAGCUUACAUGUCACGCCCCGGAGACGGCAAGGCCCUCCCGGUAGCGCGCCCAGACCCGCCAUAUGUCUGCACAUAUAAGGCGUCUACAACAACAGCGGAAGAGAAGCGAGAGAUAAUCAACAACUAGAGAUAUCAAAGCAAGUGUAACAACUAAAUACUAACAACAAGAGAAGGAAGGUAAAGUAAUCCACUAAAAGUAAGCAUAAAGUAGUACAAUAAUCAUCUCCAAAAGGGUACAAUAAGGGGUGGUUUCUAUACAUGGGUGAAACUCUCAACCUUUCUAAAAUGAAAACAACGAGUGGUAGACCACCUAUAGACGCGUCCCUCGAAGCAGCUAACUCGAGGCAAUACCCUUUCCACGGUCCCUAGCCUCUCCCGGCGUGGAAGGCUCUGAAAUAAAACAUAAAAUAGAGAGCGUGAGAACUAUAAUUUAUAGUUCCUAGUGGGCAAUUACUGACCUCAGCUCAAUGCACCAUUAGGCUUCAAAAGAAAAGGGUAAGUACGAUAAGCAACAAUAGUAGUAAUAGAUGAUAAUAAACUGCAGAAUUGAAAGCAUGAGUGAAAUGCUAUGCCACAGGUAAACGUGAUGUAUAUCAAUGCUAUCAUGUUUGAAUAUGCCAAUGUCGGGUAAAUACGCUCAUCAGUUACCAAGUAUACUAAGAUGCGAUAAGUAAUCCUAUCAAGUAUACUACAUGUCCCAAUAUCUCAAAGCCACACUAUGAGUAUGUCCAAUAAUCCAACUGCUAUGAUCUAUUUAGCAGUGAUUCAAAUUUAAGAGGUUAUGUUCAAGUUCAAUCUUGUUUUGGAACUUACACGAGUGUAGUCCGGCUUGCGCCGCCUAAGUGUCGGUGGUAGCUCCAGCAUUUUCACUCUGGAAAUGAGCCUAUCCCUCCCGAUCCCAUAGGCUUCUCGAUACCGCACGAGCGAUCAUAAGUCGCGUAGGUCAACUCCGGAGUGCCGACUUGUAGGGAGCGACCCUCACAAGCAUGUGCGAAUGAGCACAAAUGGCAAACAAGCAAUAUCAUCGUCUCAAGUAUCCAAUCAUCAUGUCUCCAACAUGGUAAAAGUCACUUGUAACCCGAAGGUCUAGUUCUAUGUCUCAAUAUGAGGUUUAAUCGUUCAAUCAUUUCUAUGUCAAUGACCAUAGCUUUACUACGUCAAAUCCAAGCCCAAUGCCCCUUUUAUGACAUUAGCUUACUAAAUCACGCGUCAUGUACAUCUAUGUUCUUUGAUUUCAUUACAUUAUGCUAAGUCCAAAUUCAGUCCCAACACUAGUGCUGCUUUAUGACACUAGGUUUCACUUGUCCCAAUUACAUCACACGCCCAAUGCCCCUUUAUGACAUUGGCUCAAUAGUAAGCUAAUAGUGUAAGUUUCAAGUCUCUUCACGGCAUUAUGUAUGGUCCUAUGUCCAACAUGAGAGUUAUGUCUAAAUGCACAUUAUCCUUCUCAUUCUCACUAUAUAAAACAUGCUCUUGAGUCUUAUCUAGAAUGCUAAGCACAUGCAUAAGUCUCACAUGCCACUCUCUGCUACAUAGAGGUCCAAAAAUGUAUUAUAUACAAUGUAGGCAUUUUAAGCAUUCUAAAAUUCACAAUAAAUACAUUUAUCAUGGAAAUGCAUGAAUUUCUACUUUACGAAGUAUAGAACAUCGGAUAUGAGAAUUUCUCAUAUGCUAGGCUAGGUCAAACCCACCGAACUUCGCGCAACCCUUCGUUUGCUCCAACGAAGAUGUCCACUAAGCUCCUAACACCCUAGAAGCAUCAAAAAGUGAGCUACAAGAAGUAAACGAACAACUAUUAACUCAAUCAUUAACCAUCUAGGCAUAGAGGGCUAAACUCUCACCUAUAGUGUAGAAAUCCCUUCCCAAAGCUCAAAUGGAAGCUAGAUCUCUCCCAAAGCAACCUAAACCAAGGUUCUAAUCCAAAUAGAUUAGCACAAAAAGCCCUAAAUCAAAAAGCCCCAAUUUAACCCUAGAUUUUCCAUUCUAGGGUUUCAUCUCCCAAAAUCCACCAAAACUAGGUUUAGAGGGGAGGAACAAGCAACAAACCUCUUUAGAAGUUCCAAUCCAAGCUCCAAGAGUGAAGAUCUCCUCUCUUGCAAGCUCCAAAUCCAAGCCUCCAAGCAUCAACAAGGUGGGAAGAGAAGGAGAGGAAAAUGCUCCAAGUUCUCAAGCUAGAUCCUCCUCCUCUUCUUCUCCUUCUUCUUCUUCUCUUCCUUCUUCUCCGUCUCUAUCUAGGGUGUUGGGAGAAUGAGAGAAAGAGAAAUGAGAAAAGGGAGAGGGUGAAAUGGCCAUGUAGGCCAUCAAAUGUAACAAAAUCCAAAGAGGCCCCUCAAUUUCCCAAUAUUGCAUCAGCUCGGACUGGGCAGUUUUCGGACUGAGGGACCGGUCUCUCCGAUCUGGGACCGGCCUCUCGGCCUGCCCCGAAAAUCCAACGUUCGGGAAUCGGUCUCUCCCUGCAUGGGACCGGUCUCUCCCCGCAUGGACGCGCUCGGGGAUCGGUCUCAUCCGCCAAGGACCGGUUGCCUCAAGGCUGCCGCACUACUGUUCCGGGGGGACCGGUCUCUCCUAGCCAGGGACCGGUCCCUGAGAGUAAAAACUCUCAGGACUAGUCCAGAACUCAGGUUUUCGAACUUUUUAGGUCGGAAACAUUCUACGACCCUCCACCAAGUGUAGAAAAGCUUGAAACACAUCCAACCACUCGAACCUCGCAAUUUGCACAGGUCCGUGUGCUACAUUACAGGUUAUGCAUUCACACAUUUACAUUGCCAUCUCUCAAUGAAUAACUUACAUUUCCUUUCAUCAACUAUAAACAGAUGAAAUAUACAAGGUAUAGCUAUACUCAAUAGAUGUUGCUAUCUAUAGCGCGUUGUCUCUGUCACGAUCCUCAAUCACCCCGCACGAGCUAGAACCUGCAUGGUUAGUGGGGUGAGAACUACUAAAAAUUUCCAGUGGGUUCGGCUGCCGACCUCGCCGACUCACCUACUAAGUUUACUCAGGCAUAUAUAGGCAAAGAAAAGAACAGAUAGUAACCAACUAUAACAUGUAAUUACUACAAUACCUGUACAAAGCUGAAAGGAACAAUAUAUAUAACAGAUGAAAAUUAUGCAUGCAUGCUAUUAAUAACCAUUACCCAAUCAAUCUGGUUAACCAUUUGGUUAACUAUAACUUACCAACUCAAUCACUUUUGUCGGGCCCUAAGCUGCCUCCCGAUGGGACCGUCUACUGGGAAGACUUAUACGAUCAACCGAGUUGAUGACACACUCCGGAGCUCAUCGCCCAAGGAGGAGAGACCUUACCUUGAGCAUUAGACUAAUGUGAGUAUGAUCCAAUCCUCACUUAGAGGAUGCACUGACAAUGCCACACUUUGACUAGCUCUUUAUGCUAGAUUUACAUGUCCAACUCUAGAUGCUAAUCAGUUCAUCUAGUUUUAAUGCCACACAUUUUACAAGUUCAUACAUCUAUAGGGUUCUAUGUUUACUAACCAUUGUCCAACUGUACUUUGCUUUCAAGGUAUACAAAUAGACCACAUGUCAAUCUAAUCACAUAUCAAGCUCAAUCCUAUAAUGCAUGAAUUUCAACUAAACAUAUACAAUCCAUAUAUGCUCAAGAAAAGUGGCGUAAACAUAAUAGGUCAUUCGAUGACUUCGGAAAGCACCACCCACCUUUAAUUAAUGCCGGAGUGCGAGAAAUCCACUUCCCGCACUUUAUGAACCAUCACGACCCUCGCUCGCGGUAAACGAAGCUAAAAUGAGGUUUUCCUCACUAGCUUGCCGUAGGCUCAUCGAAACGCCGAUCUGAGCUUUCCAACGCGUCAGUUUUACCCUCUAUUAGGUUUUCACGCGAUCAAUUCCAACCUAGAGCCUCAAUCUUGCAAAAUUGCAUUUCUAAUUUUAGGCCUCACAUAACUGUUACUACACCACUCUACAACAACAUAUAAAGUAACUCAACUUUAACUAGUCCAAGAACCUCAAAACUAACAGUUUAGAGGAUUUACCACAACCCUCAACAAAAACCUGCAUGCUGGUUCAUCACAAUUCCCAGCAGCCUAGCUUACAUAUAACAUACGUAUAGUUUCAUUAUUAGGUUCCCUAACAACUUUAACUCAUAUACAUAUUGUUAACUCCCUGGUUUACACAGCAUCCAGGAAUUCCAAUUCAAACUCCUUUUCGAUAAAUAAUUACUCCAACUUACCAUAGAACUAGCAACUUAAAUUCUAUAUGCUAUCAACUUAGCAUAAUUUCUAGAUUUCCAUAGCAUUCAAGAUGCUUUAGCAAUCAAGAUUUAUAAUUUAAACUUCUUUAGAGUGUAACUAGCUUAAAUCCCAGCUGAGAAACAACUUCUUACCUCAAUUCCUAAACUUCCUCCGCUAGUUUCCUGCUCCAAAAGCUUUCUUCUCAGCUCCAACAGCAAGAAAUCUGCUUCGAAAUUCUUCUCUACCAAGCUUUUCCUCACAGCCACUACAAGCUGAGAAUUAGCAAUUCUAUUGCUUACAACUCUCUCUAAAGCAAUUCUAAAUGUUAGCUACCAAUAAUUCAUAGCCCAAACACCUCUCUAUGUUAAAUACCAUAACACAAAACAGGGAAUAAGAUCAAUCUAUCCCUGAUUGCAUUUCUAAUCCAUAUCCCAGAACAUCAUGUUCACAAAGCAGUUUUUUUAUGCUUCUACGAGCUUUCACAGCUAUAAAACCCCAAAUUAACCUCUUUCCAAUGUAAAGAACUAAACCCUAAUCAUAACUUGAUUAAGUUUACCUUAAUUCGAUGCUCCAACAGCUAGCUUCCCUGCUCUAAAGCCUUCUCUUCAGCUCAAAACACCAAAAUCUGCACUUCUCCAACUUCUUCUUCACCAACUUGCUUCUAGGGUUGAGAGAGAAAGAGAGGGCGAAAUAGAUAAGAAGAAGGCUGUAGGAAGGAGCCCCUGGUACGUGGGCACCUGUAAAAUACCUGGGUUAAAGAGAUAAGACUGGAAUUUUACAACUUAACCCCCUAAAUAGCCAAAAGUGCAUUGCAGUCCAGCAAAUUUCGCAUGCUGGUACCGGUACUGGCUGAGGUACUCAAUGUAAAAUUCUGCACUAGCAGCAGCCUGGCAGCAGCAGCAAUUGGAGGCCUUUUUGCGCGUCUAGUUCACUCCGAAUCCAUCUAAGUACCUCCAAAACAUGCCAAACACUAUCCCCAAGCUAUCAAUUUAGUUUGGGAAUACCACAUUUACAUUAUUGCUUCUCUUUGAGCAAUUGAAUCCAAGUUAACCUUGUCAACCAAAACUCUCUUCUAAUUUCGUUUCGCGCCCGAUUUGCAUCAAACACUCAAUUACCUCCAGAAAUCAUUCCCACACCUCCAAAAUCACUCGGGAAUGAUGCACAUCCAAUUUAAACUUCACUUUGAUCUUCCAGAUCAAAGUUAGCAUCGCAACUCAAAAUUUUCAGUAUAUUACAUUACUAAUCAAGUGUAAAAACUGAAUGGAUAAGAAGAAGUAGAGAAUAUAAUAGAUAGCAAAAGAACACCCAAUUUAAAGAUGAAAAAGAAAAAAGAAAGCAGCAACAACAUGAACGUGACCGACAACAUGAACAACAACAUUAUUUUAUUGUGUAGUAGAUGGAACAUAUCAAUAGUAUGAACAAUGCAGACAAUGUAAACAACAAUCCAGCAACAAUAGACUUAGUUGCAAUUUCCUUUUCUUCAUAAUUUUAUUAAAAGGACUAUCACCAACACAAAGAAGGGCAAAACAACAAAGAAAGACACCUAAACAUGUGACAGAAUUCAAGCCUAAACGUAGACAAAGACUAUUUCUGAAAUUCGAGAUGCAAAACCAACCUAAUAACAUACUUAGUAGGUCGGGAAAAAAAAGAGAGAACAAAUUGUAUCCAAUAAUCUUCGUCAAACGGGAGAAAGGCUAGAUCUUGUAAUAACUAGGAGGCGUUUCCGGAUCAUCACUAGUUGUUGCUGUUGUUUCUACAGUACCUGAUGUUGCCGGAUGUCCAGUGGGUUCUUCUUCCAUCGGAUCAACAUUAGGGGGAUCAAUGAAAGCGCAGCAUCAAUACUUUCCUUAAUUUCCUUCAAGGCAGUGACAAUUUAUUUAUUUUUCUUCAAUUAAAAAAUUAUAAGACUUUUUGAGAAGAUCAGAGUUCAAAUUAAACAUUUCGUACUCAUUUUGGAGUUCCAAAUGCUCAUCAUAAAUACGAUCAUGUAAGUUCUUAUAAUAUUUCUUGUUCUCAAAAUUAACAUCUCUAACUUUAAAUCCCAAUUCUUUACGAAGCCUCCUAAUAGCUGCACAUGCGGCAUCUCUUUAGCUUGAUUCGACUCAGAAAUUGAAGCACCAUAACAUGUAAUUAUCUUCAUAAAUCGGCUACUUCUGGGUACUUCCACAUCAACAUAAGAACAGAAUCAACAAUCAGCAUCUAUAGUCAUGCGGUAUCUCGGGGGAGGUAAGGAAAUUUGCAAACAGAUAUUACGAAGCAACCGGCGAAAGCUGAUGUCGACAUUUAUGGAAGAAUCCAUCUCUGCAAGAAAAUGCAAGUUGCCGAAAAUUACACGGUGACCGUAUAUUUUAGCAUAGACUUGUCUUUCAAUUUAGUUAAUAAAUACAUUAUCUAUCAAUUUAUACAUAUUUGGAGAUAUACUUACAGGCAAUAAAUUUAUAAUUAAAAAAAGCACAUGAAGAGAUGCAAUAGUUAUUUAAAUUGUAAAUAUAUUUUUGAAACAAAACACAAAUUGCUGAAAAUUACUUACAAUAACAGGGAAGCAAUGCAGAAGCAAACAAAUGUAGAACGACAAUGCAAAUCACCGUCACUUUCCUGAGGGAAAAAAAGUUAUGUUAAUUAAAAAAUAGUUAAUGUCGGCUAGGAUUACGGGUAGAUAAAAUUAAAAAAUAAAAAUAGUAUAAAAAUUUUAUAGCUUACGGGAGAAAAAGGAUUGGGUUAUCAGAUACAGGAAAAAAUGGAUGUCAUAUGUGUUAUUGUAUAGCCGAAUGGACAUGUGUUAGGGUAUAGGAAGCUCUGCUGCGAAACGCUUCACCCAUAGUGGAUUAAUCCAAAAUCGAAAACGGCGACGAAGGAAGACGAAAAGACGAUGAAAGAAGCGGCGGUGAGGGGAGAAAUCCAUCGUUUGAUUCCGGCACCACAAACAGCUAGAAUAGAAGAAGAAACGGUGAUAGAAGAAGCGGUGGCAAGGAAAAGGAUCCAUUGUGCCCAAGGAAGAGGAAAAGGGAUGGUUCGGCCGGAACGUAACAGCCUAAGGAAGAGGAAAGGUCUGACUCGGUUUGGUUCAUGCAAGGAAAGAGUGAACCAGGUUAGGUUCAAGCAAAGAAAAAAAAAAUUGAGCCGAUUCGAGCAGGUUCACCCGGUUUGGUUCAAAAAUAAGAAAGAGGGAACCUGGUUCGAUUCAAGCAAAGAAGAGGGAACCUGGUUCGGUUCAAACAAACAAAGAGAAAAACUUGAGUUGGUUUGGGCACAUUAACCUAGUUCAAUGAAAGAAAGAUAGAAAUACAUAGAGGACUUGAGCCGGUUCGGGUUGGCACCAACACUAAACAAUCCGGUUCGGUUUAAGGAAAAAAAGAUAGAAACAUGUGAAGGACUUGAGCCGGUUCGGGUUGGUGCCCACACUUAGCAAAUCCGGUCCGGUUCAAGCGAAGAAAGGACAUGCUGCCACGUGGCAAAUUUAAGGGAAAUAAUGAUAAGAAAGAAAGAUAGAAAUACAUAGAGGACUUAAGCCGGUUCGGGUUGGCACCUACACUAAGCAGGACUUAAGCCAGUUCGGGUUGGCACCUACGCUAAGCAGGACUUAAGCCGGUUCGGGUUGGCACCUACACUAAGCAAUCUGGUUCGGUUCAAGAAAAAAAGAUAGAAACAUGUGAAGGACUUGAGCCGGUUCGGGUUGGUGCCCACGCUCAACAAAUCCGGUUCGGUUCAAGCAAAGAAAGGAUAUGCUACCACUGGCAAGUUUAAGAAAAAUAAUGAUAAGGAAUAGAUUGUUCUAAUUAAAGAUGUAUGCGUUGAGAAAAGUUCACUAACAUAAUUAAGGUUCCGUGGAAGUUGAUUUCUCUUAUUUAUGAUUGUUUUUCUGGAUUAUCCCUUUAAAUAUAAUGAUUUUGUGUAGUCCUUGGUUCUUACUUGUGAGGCAUUCAUUGUGCAGAGUGAACAAAUUCGGAUGGAAUUCGAUUCUUGAAUGCAUGAAAAAAACUGUAAGCCUGGAGGCUGGAGCCAGAACAUGGCUUUUUAGAAUGGCUGAAAUUACAUGAUUAGUCAUGGUAAUUUGAUCAAAAUUUUCCACUCGUCCACAUCAACUCGUUGUACCUUUGUUGAGAACAAAGAAAAUUUGAACCCUUUUUUUUUUAUCUUAUCAUAAUUGAAAUGACUAAUAUCAAAAGAAUGACAAAUGAGAACCGAUGAUCAUUUGCUCUGAGAAAAAUUUUGUUGAUUUUUAGAAAUUUUUAGAAAUGUUCCUUGAUUUAGUAAAGCAUUUGAAAAUUUUAAGACAUAAAAUUUAGUGUUUUGAUCUUGCGUGUAUUGAUUAGUGGUAGGGGUUGUGAGAUAAUUAUUCAGUAUUACGGUGCUGUACGACUCAUGUGUGGUAAAAUAAGCCAUGUAUAAGUCUUGUUAAUGUAUAACGACUGAUGGUUCUUGCGCAUUUGAGAUGUAGUGCAUGCACUUUUGAUACGUUAUAUGAUCAAUGCACUAAGCUGCUCUAUCAUUAUCUGGGUUUUGAGUGCAGUUCAACUAAUUUUUGCUCAAAGUAGGUUUUCUUCAACCAAAUGGAGAGAAUGUUAAGGACGCUUUAGUUGUGAUUAGCAGGAAAAAACAAGGAAAAGAAAAAGAGAGACAGGUUGCCGCACACUAUUUAACUCGUUUUCUUUGCUUUGUAAUUAGAUAUGCACAAUACUGUUCGUGCUCUUUGGCAAGCAUCUAACAAAUUUUGAGGCUUUUUGCAUUUUGCUGUAAACCAAUGCCUAUAAUCUAAAACACUACGUACUGAUCCAAGUACUAGCUUAUCAAAUAAUAUGUGCUCAACUUUGUCUAUCUCCUUUUGCCUAUAGUUGGAUUAUCUUUAUUAAGGCCGUACUAACAGCAGUGACAGGUAUUCUGUAUUAUGGGAAAUUAUUUUGGGCAUGUUGACACUGUAUAUUCUAAUUGGUAGCAUCUAUAGCCUUCUGUCCUCUCCUGAAAAUCACAAAGUGCAAUCAGCCUGAAUCUACAUUAUCUGUCACUAAGUCGUGGUAUAAACUAUUUUGCAUUUUGUGUUACAUUCCUUACGCCUACUUUGUUCUCCCAUUAUCAUGUUCCACCUUUUGACGAACUCAAAAUUAAAUGUGAAAAUAACAUUCCUUCUUGGUGGACUUUCAUAUUGCUUAAACUGUACUUUGCUGGAGCUUAUGGAUUAUUUCUCUUCUUUAGCCUGUGGGACCCAUGCUUCUUAGUGCUCUCCUUAAAAUUGGUUCUAUUCUUAUCAUUUAACCGGUUUGUUGUUUCCGCUAUCGUCGCUUCGGAUUCUAUGGGCCCUGAGCGCGGAGGUUCCUUCUCCUUUCCCGACCAUUUCCUCUCUUCGCCGCCUUGGUUUCUUGCAUCUGUUGAAGUCGAAGAGUUGUUCUAUGCCAUUUCUCCUACCUGCCUUUGCGUAUGUAAUUCAGUCUCGCUUCCGCGAUCUCUGCUCCUCUAUAUAAGGUGGAGAGGGAAGGGAGACAUCCUUAGGCGUAGUCUAAAACCCUAGUGCCACCCUUCCUCGCGAUCAGUGACGGCGCCUCUUGGCUCUCUCUCCCUCUUUGUGAUCUGAUUAAGGUUCGGUUGAGCUACUUGAGGGCUCACAGUGCGAUUUGGGGCGUCUUGUGGGGAUCGGAUCGCUUUAUCCCUCAAACUUUUAGGUAAGUUUUGCAAAUUUAGCUGAAGAAUCUCACUUGAAGAACAUUUUUUUUCCUCUCUUUAUGAUCCUUUUGAGGUUUAUGUUGCUAUAAUUUUGGGUUUGGAGCUUGAAUCCUUUGGCAUCGAUCUGAUCGGUUUUUCUUUUUUUAUUUUGUGCAAACUAUAAAUUAAUUUGUCCACAAGUUUAAUACCCUAUGAAGAAUCUGACAUCAAGGAGCUGUUAAUGUGCUCUUCUAGCAUAUUCGUGGAUCAAAAGAUAGAGUUUUGGUGCUAUUAUUGAUGGUAUUAUGUCUUUUUGAUGCAAUUUAAUUGUAAAUAAGUGCAAUUUCAAAGGAUGCAUGUAUGAAUACAUUCCUAUAAACUUGCAUAGAUAUAGAUAUAAACUUCUCUACACUUCUUUAGUUAUUUAGNCCGAAUUAGUUUAUCGAAACCAUGUGCAGUCAACACAACAGAUAACCACAUAAAAACACAUAAUAAAUAAAUAAAUGAUUAACUAAAUAACUAAAUAAGUGCAAUUUCAAAGGAUGCAUGUAUGAAUACAUUCCUAUAAACUUGCAUAGAUAUAGAUAUAAACUUCUCUACACUUCUUUAGUUAUUUAGUUAAUCAUUUAUUUAUUUAUUAUGUGUUUUUAUGUGGUUAUCUGUUGUGUUGACUGCACAUGGUUUCGAUAAACUAAUUCGGUAUCAAGUAUUUACUGAUUGAAUGUUUAGUAGAGAAAACAAAUAUGAAUUUUUGAUGGGUGUCCAAAAUUUUUGUUGUGUUGAAUGUACAGAGUUUUGGGAUUUGGAAAAAUAUGUUUAAGCGUUAUUGAAGAACGGAUCUUUGUUAUUUUAUUGUUCAGCUACUGGUUUGUAUGUGUUUGAUGAAAUGCCGAUUUGAAACUUAAUUCAAUAUAAAGAAAAUGCCUAUAUUUUUCCGCAUCCUUACAUUUUGAUUUUUUUAUUUUAUAGCAUGAAGAGGUGGUGAUAAAUUAUAUAAUCAGAUUAUCUGAAAAUUAAAAUACGGAUUAUGCGGUAAAUAGUUGAAUUUCCUUUUAAUUGGGCACCUCCUGUUAUUUUCUUUGAGUUAUUUAAAGUUCCAUAUCAGGAAUUGAAUAGCAAGAAAAGGUUGGAUGCAACCAACACUAUUAUUUAAGGUAGUUUGGAUGCAGGUGCUGUGGACAUUCAUUCUUGAAUGGAAUUUAUUUAAGCAUUGGUAAGAGAGGAUAAAUUGAUCUUUUGUAGGGUGGGUGGCAUUGGAUUAAGUUGAUAUUUUAUAGGGUGGGUAGCAUGCGAUUAUUUUCUUUGCAGUCGCCAUAAUAAAAUGAGUGCUACUUAGGUUGAGCGAUAUGUUGAUUAUUAAAACAAAAUGGUGGACUUGGAGAUAGCAAGGAAUUUGAAAAUCAUCUAUCAUCAUUUCUAAACAUGUAAUUGGUUCUGAUUGGUUGGCCCAAUUUGAAACCUUGAUGAGUCCGUAUAUUUGUAUACUGGAGCUAAUUCGACUAUACGCUGAAAUAAGAAAAACUUACUAUGAUGGUGGUUCGCAUUAAGAUUGGUUGGAUGGCAUCAUUCAUGUCAAAUGCAGCACUAUGCAGUAAACUGAGGACCGUAUCACCUGAGCCGUUCUCAUAUUCAAAUGCUCAGAUUUGUUGAAGCCAUCGGAACUAAUUAGAUGCUUGAAAUUAUUAAUGAACUACCAAUUUUUAUCUAUGGUUGAAUUGAAUGUGUGGAAAUAGUGAGCGAUGAUAUUAUAGGCUGAUUCGAAUUUGAUCAGGACAUUAGGGAAUUAGAAUUGCUAUUUGUUUGCUGGUGUUAAUAGAGUGUAGACGAUUCAGUAAGUACUUACACUACAUUAGUACUUUGUUAAAAACAGCUUCACUUUCUUUUUUCACACCGCCGUAGUAUAUACAAAUCAAAGAAGAUUUUGCUAACAAAAAGUGUUAUUUUAGAGUAAUUACUUUGUGGUUUUCCAUUCUACUGUUUUAGUAUAAGCUUUGAUCACAAGAAAAAAGAAAAGAAUUUUAUGCUCCAAUGCGAUUUUCCAGUAUAUGUUGCUUUUGAAUUUUUUUAGUUUUCUCUCCCCUUUUUUUGUGUACUUUGAAACUUUUUCAAUGUGUGGAGGUCCUGGCAUUAUUUUCUACCCUAUCUAUUUCUUUGUGCUGGAGUAUUCUUUUAGUUGUUGGUUAUUUGACUAUUACUUCACUGUUUGAGAAUUUCUUGCCUUUCUCCAUAAUUUGAUUGAUACUUUUUUGUGGCUGGGUAUUAAACGAUCAUAAUUUGCCUAUUUCUAAAAGAAAUUUUUUUCGUCGCGCCUUAAGCUCCCUUCUUAUAACUAUCGCUUCAUAUAUUUAACUAAACCUCACUGUCUAUUACUUCAUUUUCUUACUACCUAAGAGUUUUUUUCAGUUAUUUUGAAAGAUUGAAUAAUAAGGUUCUCACACGAUGUUGGUGAUGCCAAUGUGUGCAUUCUUGAUUUUUCUUUGAUUUGCUCUUUAAGUUUCAUAUGGAUGGAUACUUUUUUCUAUGCCUUUUUGAUAUUAUUUUAUUUAUUAUUGAUCUUCUGUUGUUAAAUUUUGAUUUAAAAAAUAUUUAUUUUCUUCAUCAAUGAUGCAAAUCAGUAUUUGACCGUAUACUCUAUUGUUUGUAUUUUCUUUUUUUUCCUGAAAUUCAUGUUCCUCAUUUGAUAGUUACAGGAUUGCUUUUUAUAUAUUUGAUGAAUUGUUAUUGCAAGCUUUCUUCUCUAGACUAUCGUCAAUAAUACAUGAUGAUAAAAAAAAAAAUUGCUUCAACAUUAAUAUCUAUCCGCUGCAUCGUGCUGGUACUAAACUAGUAUGUACUUAUUGCCGUAGUCUUUACCAUCUAAGCUUCCUUAUCCCUAAAUACGUAAUGCAGGGCUAGAGGCUUUUUAGAAGCUCUGACCAGAAACAGCAAAGAUUUGAUAAUUCUUUACAUAUUAUGACUAAUCCUUGACAUAUUAUAUGUCAUUACAGAAAACUGGAACAGCUAGCAGAAGAGGUUGACUCGCUGAAGGAGAGUCUUGACAAGCAUUUAAUGCGCCAACAAAAGCGAAUGGUCGAAGCUAAAGAAAGGGCAGAGUUACUGGAAAGAGCAGUAAGAAUUCCUUGAUUUGGAAUAUAAAAAAGAAGUUUUAAUAUCAGUUAUUUUUUUCCACCUGCAUAGUUGUUGGUCCUCUAUGAAAUAAGGAUAAUUUGGCUUGCUGUUUUAAUGGAAUAUUAGAGGUUAUAUGUAUGAUUGAUUGCAAUGAAUGGAUUCAACAUGGUUGUUGCAGAAUGGGGACUCCUCUCACGUUCUGAGGAUAUUUGAUGAGGAAGCACAAGCAAUGCAAUCAGCUCGAAACUCCUCCAUAAUGCUUGAGGAAGCUUAUGCCACUGGAGUGGCUAUUCUAUCGAAGUAUGCCGACCAGAGGGACCGCUUGAAGGUAAUUACUGAUCACCUACUUGUAUGAGACAUUCUCAAAAUCAGAGAUCAGCAUGAAUUUAAUCGACUUGAGCUUAUCUGAGACCAAAUAUAAUCAAUUUGCAAGUUAGGUCCCAUGUGGAAAAAAUAGGGCCUGUUUGAAUGCAUUGAUAUCUUGUUUAAUGUGCUUCUUUCAUUUCCUUUAGCUGGCAUGUCGUAAUUGGUUGAUGCGGUGUUGUACUAAUGUCUACCGCAGUAUAAUAUAACUUACCUUUAAAUGAUUAAUAUGAUAAAUCACAUAACAGGUGGUACUUGCUAUGUGGAAAAGAUGGAAGAAUCAAAUAUUUCAUGAUAGUUAAGAAUGUAACUCGAAAGUGGUGAUCACAAAAGAAAAACAAAAAAUCACCAUACUACACCAGAUCUCAAUUGGAUGACAUGUUGUGGCAUCCAAAUAGACCCAAGUGUCGAAAUAAGUUUGAACGUCGAGUUCUCCUUGGACUACUAGAUGUUCUUUUCUUUACUGAUAACUGAUUUCUGUGUCUGCAGAGAGCACAAAGGAAAGCGUUGGACAUCCUUAAUACGGUGGGUCUGUCUAAUUCUGUCUUAAAGCUUAUUGAGAGGCGUCAUCGUGUAGACAAAUGGAUUGCUUAUGCCGGUAUGAUCAUUACGAUUGUGGUGGUAUAUGCAUUUUGGAGGUGGACACAUUGACUGUAAUUAUUAGUGUGAUAUCUGAGAGAACCAGCAAACAAUUGUUACUGAGGAUGGUACUCGGAAUAUUCAUUUGGACUUUCCAUUGGCCGAUUGUUGAAGUUGUAUCUUCGCAAAACUAGUCUUUAUAUGUAGGUUUUUAUCAUUUUUUUUUUGAAAAGGGUGACAUUGUAUAUGUUUGUGACCUUUUUCUUUGGGUUUUCUAGUGCAAUAGUCUUCUCCUAAAAUUUUAUUUUAAAAAUAGAUCUGUUUAAUUUUUAUUUAUAAAUAUGGUUAAAAGCGGUGAACUAUUCACCACAUUCUUUUUUUUUCUCACUUCUCAUUAUAUUUCUAUGAUAGUAAAAGCGGUGAAUGGUUCACCACUUUUAUUCUUUUUCUACUCCCAAUGAGGAGUUAUGAAUGCGGUGAAUCAUUCACCGCAUUUAGAGAUCUAUUUUUAUAAUUAAUUUUUAAAAAAAAUUUAUUUUUAUAAUUAUAAAAAUCAAUAGGAUUAUUUAUAAAAUUUUUUUUUUCCUUUUCCUUUUUCCCUUCCCUAGAGUAGGAAUUGGAUUGUAGACUUGCAACAUGCUAUUUGGGACUUACUAUUUAUUUGCACGGCAUGUGCAAGUUGGUUGAAGAUGUUGGGAAUCACCGUUGUAGCAAAGCAAAAGCGAAACGCAAAAGUCUAGACCUUACACCAUUAAGAAAGACAAGCAUGUAAGCAGCAGAGCGGGGAAGACAGCAGAUUUGUUGUUCCAAAUGUUUAAUCUUGUUUUUAUUUCAGUCAAGUUUCCAUCGAAUAUUGGACAUCAAUUAGUCUCGCACGGACCUGUAACAAUUGUAAAUAAUAAUUUUUUAAAAAAGCAGUGUCGACAACAAUUGUUGGAGAAGAAAAAAAUAGAAGUUACAUAGGUUGAUUCAGUAGAUAUAUACAGGUUGCUUCAGUAGAAAAAAAAGCAGUGUCGACAACAAGUCAUAAUUCUCAUCCGCUUUUAUGUUAUCUUUUCAUACAGGUGAUGUAUUCGAUGAUGAAGAGCAAAUAAUGGGGCAAAUCAACACUAACGUAGAAGUUAAAUAUCCCUAAAUUUUGUUAAUAACGUGUUUGAGGUGAAAAAAAAAAAUUAAAAAUGAUGAAUAGAAUGUUGAACUUGUAGAAUAUUAUUUUUGAUGUGUGUAUUAAGUAAACCUUAUAUAAAUAGUAUAAUAAUAAAAUGUUGUAUUGUUAUGUAAGCUUUAUUUUACUCAAAAAAGGAAGCAGAAUACUAUAGGAAUGUUGUCAAGAUAUUGUAUUUCGUUUGUCAUGUAAUAUUAUAUAAAUUAUAACUAUUACAUGCUGCUUCUAAUUCUGACACUUUACAUGUACGAAAAAAAUUUUGUCCAUGAAUUGGAUCUGUUACUCACCUAGUUGGGGCUUCAGCACGUCUAACGACAAGAAGAAGCAACGUGAAGCUGAAAAUAAUGUUGUCCCCACUUUUGAAAUGGUCGGCCCUUGAACAAUCAAUUGGACCAGCUAGAAACACUGAACAAGAUUGUUCUGGAAGUGGCAUUCUAGUGGUAUUACUCGCUUGAAGACGAAUCCAUCAAAAUUAAAGACUACAUGGAAGAAGCUUUUCUAGCUGAGUUCACUACAGUUGACGAUAAAAUCAAAAUAGCUACCCUAGUCGCUACCAAAAAGGACAAAGGCAAAUCAAUAUCAGACUAUUAUACAAAGGUAACAAAAUUUUAGUCUCAAAUGUCAAUGUUUUGCCGUAGAACCGUUAUUUAAUAAGUGAACUACGUGCAGUGAGUGGAUUAAUUUUGCUUACAAUGGAGUGCUGUGUCCGCGCACUAUAAUAAAUAGAUUGUAACAAUUUAUACUACAGGAGGAAUCAAACAGCAGAAUCCACCAUUCAAUGGUCACCUGCUUCAACAUAGAAAUUCGAUGAAAAGAGACAUUUGCAAACAGAAUACAAAAGACACAACAUAAAAGCUGGUCCCAAAAGGUAGAACUAUAGAAGCUACAGGGCCAAAAUUACACUACCCAGUACAGAGGAGCACCCCCAGUUCAAUUUGCAGCAGCCAUCACAAAAUAAGACGCCAUAAAGUAUAGAGUUUAUUCAAACUGGAGUCCUUAUAGCAGCAUUCAACAAACACCAACACCAAAAAGAAAACAACCGACUCAACAGCGCAAGAUCGAAACAGAACACAACUAAAGCUUGUAGACUGCUAACAUAGCAGGACACUAUAACCUAAUACACUGCCCAGAGCAAGACAUAGAGACAUAGUAACAGUAGUAAAAGACUUAAUACACUCCCAAGAGCAAGACAUAGCAGUAGUAUUAAUAGGAAUAGUAGUAGUAGAAGUUGACAAAUAUAUGCAAUCAUAUCACUCUUCCUCCUCAGACUCUGCCGUCUGUAGCCACUCAACAAAGGGCUUCACAUUCUUCAGCACCUGAGAGCUCUUGCCGCCAGCUGUCCCUUCCUCAUACCACUGUGCUAUGCUUUCUUCCUCCAGAACAUCCGCAUCAUAAAGUGCUUUGAGAACGAGUGCCACCUCCUUCAGGGCUUCUGCGCGGCACUUGCCACAAAAUACUUCGAUAGCUUGGAGCAAAAGCAGCUGAGAUGCCUCAUCCUGCACAAAAGCAGCAAUGUACUUCCUUUUCUUGCCCACCUCCUUUGCAAAUCCUUUGCCAACACCUCCAAAAAGAGCCUCAAAAAGGGCUGUCAUUACGUCCCGAGAAGGCUGACCUGCUGUACCCAGAAAACUCUGAAGCUGGUUUGGGGUAGAACCCUUGUUUAUAUGAUCCUUGAUCUCCCGAAGCAGUGAAUCAUAAGCACUGAUAUUGGCUUUGUCACCAUUUUGGGUAGCACAAGAUUUUUCUUCAUCUUUGAUCUUUCCAUUAGUGAGCCCCUCUUUCUUUGCCUUCUCUUGCUUUUUGUUAUCCUGCUCAGGCUCAGUGGCGGAGAGCAUCACCAUCUCCGAAGUCACAGCAUUAAGCUGUUCUUGAAUCCGCUGCUUUGCUGCCUCCAGUGAGGUGUCGGUUUGCCACUGGACAUCAUCAUCAUCAUGGUCAUCAUUAUCACCAGCAGCAUUAUCACCAUCUUGACUCUCAACAGGCGAAGCCGAACGAUCCUCAUCAGAACCACCACCAUUAGCUUUCUUCUUCGAAACACCAGCUUUUGCACCAGAGGCUUCCUUGGAAGAAGCACCACCUUUCUUCUUCACAUCCUUUUUCAGCUUCUUCUGCUCCUCAUCAGCAGCCUCCCCUUCCUUGAGCCGUUCCUUCUCAGCCCUCCUCAUUGCCUUCUUAUUAUCUUUUCCUCCCUUCUUUUGCUCAGGUGGGUUCUUAAGAAUGAAGGUUGUGAGCUUAUCCCUCAUAUCAACAUCAGACACAUACCCACAGGCAGCACAUUUCAGGGUAAUCAUCUGAGUCUUAGUGAUCACAAUUUCAGUCUCAGGGUUGCCACAUCCGUAGCACUGCACGUACUUCUUGAUGAAGUUCUCGAGAAGGCCAGCCAGCUUGGCAGUGUCAUGGGCUCCAUUCACUAGGGAAGUGCCAUUCUUCUCAUCGAACUUCGACUGCGCACCAAGCUCACAGCCAAAGUACUUGGUGGUGUAAGAGGCUGGCCUGGCUAGUGCUUUUGCAAUGUCCACCAUGUUCACAAUGUUGGUCUUGAUACCGUUUCCUCGGCCUUCAAUCUUCGUUACCAUCUUGGGCAUCUUGUACCUAUAAAAGGCAUCAUCGCUGUUCGAAGCACCAAUAUUUUGCAAAGCCAUAUUUGCUUCCUUCUUAGAGAAUGAGAAACUUGACACUAUAUAGGCAGCAAAAGUUAGCAGUGCUGUUUCAUUCGAGGAGGCCACGCAGCUGUGAGAUGUUGAUUACAGUAGCAACUACCAAACUUUUGCAGGAAUGCCAAAUGGACUCGUGAUGCAUGCAGCCAAAGAGACUCUCGUAGGAGAGUCGGAACCUUUUUCUUGAUGUAGGAGAAUACUCUCCAAGCAAUCCAAUUGAUCCAAAGUAAAGAGAGGCUUGCUCAGACAUAAAAGAAACUUCAAUGUUCACGGCUUCCACUUUGGCUAUGUGCUUGUAACAGAACAGUCUGGAGAUGCCAACUUCCUGAAUAAGAAUUAGACACAUUAAAUUAAUAUUAAUCGAUAUCCACAAGAUUGCGUAUGCAUGAAGAGUGACAAAAUGGGAAAAUAAAAAUUAUUCUGUCUGAGGUAUCAUUCCACUUAAUCAUUCUUCAAACCUCAAAUAAAAACAAAUGCAAAUAUGAGAAAAGCCACUAGCCCACUAGCAAUUCAAUUUAGUCCGGGAAAAUGUCGAAGUAUUAUGAAUCUUUAUUCCAUCAUUUCAUUACCAGAUUAGGUAUUUAUAAAUCCAAUAAAACAGUUCGACCACAUAAUAGUAAUUAUGUUAUAUGUAGUGGUUAAAUGUCUUCUGAAACAAAUUAAUUCAUUGUAUAAAUAACAAAGGAAAGGGUUAUUCUAAUGAUAUAUAAUUAUGUUCUAUGUCAUUAUAAAAAGUGCGGUUUCUAGCUGUUAGGUAGCCACUAUUAAUGAAAAUGCUUAGUUUGCUUCGAUAAUUGAGAUGACGAACUCUAAGCCUUUCAACUUUUCCUAGUAAACUUUGUCUUCUUUAAGCUUUGCACCAUCAAAACUGUUUAGCAUUUUAUGAACAUGUUUUUCUUCAUUAUUGCAGUGAACAAGUGAAGGACAGAUUUCUACUUCACUUUUUCUUUUCAUCCAAGGUCCUUUUGUGUUGAUUUACAAAUCGAUAACUUCAUGCGCGUAAUUUAAAAGCGUAUAAACCUUAGCCAAUCAAUCAGCCUUCCCUGAGACCCAAGUAGAUUAGUAUGUAAAUAUAUAACUACUGACAUCAUAAGACAAAUCUACAAACAAGAUAAUACUUGAUGUUAUAAGAAGAGAGUCUUCCGACUGCAUGAACAAUCCACGAUAAUCAAAUUGCAAGUCCAACACAAGAAUUCAAAGUGCAGUUCAUGCGUUAGACUUAACCAUACGCCCGACCUCCAACCCAUAAAUAAUAAGUAGCAAUCACAUUAUCAGGUUUGAACUUAACACAGCCUAAGACACAAUUCUAGUGUCGAGCUUAAUUAGAGACAUGGGCUUGGCACAUGCAAAGUUUUACCUUGGAAGAAAUUCACAUGUAAUAUCUAUUUGGGAAAGGGAAGUGGAAGAGAUGAUCAACCUAAGAACAAUUGAGCACCCAUAAUAUCUCUAUAAGAAGACAGGAUAAAACCCUAGCUCAGAAAAAAUUGCAUAAAAUCACAUAUUAAAAUAACACAUAUCAUAACUACAAGAUCCGAUGAGAUCGUUUCCGAAUCAAAACACGAGGAGAGGCAAAAAAAAAAGAAAAAAAAAAUCAAAUCAAAUCAAAUCAAAACCAGAUCGAACAAGAUCGGAAGAACUCGUAACGGUGAAAAUCGAUCAACCUAUCGAUCGAUCGAUCGCUCGCUCGCUCGCUAGCUACAAGAAGAGAAAAAUUUGAACGUGUAUUCCAUUUGGGAAAGGGAAGAGGAAGAGAUGAUCACCGCGAUUGGGUUGCUUCGCCGCAGAGAGCUCCUCAGAUUUAACCUUUCCUCUUUCUUCGAUGUGGAGGAAACGAAGAGAGAGAGGGGGGCGGCGGGGUAGUAUUUAUAGCAAGGAGAAGGGGAUCGGAAGGUAACCCUUGUGUCUCAUGGUUCAGAUUUUAGGGCACCACUUACAUUAGUUUGCCCGCAAUUUGCCUUUGAAUUACCUUUUUGCCCCUCCAAAGGCGGUAGCAGCAGCCGCUGCUCAUAGGGGUGUAAACGAGCCGAACACGCCCAGUAAAAUAUCGACUCGAAAAAUUCAGCUCGUGUUCGGUUCGUUAAUAAACGAGCUGAACAUAAGCUGGCUCACGAGCUGACCAACGACCAAUAAGUUAAUAAGGAUUAGAUUGAAUAUGCAUAAAAAUAUAAAUUUAUAAAAUCUUAUCUAUUAAACUUUGAUCUAAUAAUUGAAACUUUACAUAUAAAUAAGUUUUUUUAUAAUUAAACUUUUAUUUAUAUUUUUAUUUUACUAAAAAUUAAAUAAUAAAAUUAUAUCUUAUAUAUAAUAUUUAUUUAUAUAUAAAAAUAUAAAUUAAAUUAAUUAUAUAAAUAUAAAAUAUAUGUAUUCGAGCUGUUAUCGUGCCAAACACGAGCGAGCUUAUCCCAGCUCGUAUUCGGCUCGUUUAUUAAACGAGNCUUGUUUAUUAAAUGAGUUGAAAAAUUCAGCUUAUGUUCGGCUCGUUUACUAAACGAACGAUUCGAUCUCAAGCUCAUUUUGAGUCGAACACGAGCUGGCUCACGAACAACGAGCUAGAUUGCCACCCCUAGACACAGGGGGUGUUUGGCCUAAAUUUUAAAAAGUGUUUUUGAGUUGAAAAGUGAUUUUCGGCUCAAUAGAGCGUUCGACAUCUUCAUUUUUAAAAUCUAAUUCUGCUUCUAAGAAUCAGAAAACUGAUUUGAAGGCCGCAGAAUCAAAAGUGCCGGAAGGUCAAGGAAGUUGGUAACCUGAUGACAGGGGAGCCGGCGACUGAAGCCUCGGUGAACGGCGGCCGUAACUAUAACGGUCCUAAGGUAGCGAAAUUCCUUGUCGGGUAAGUUCCGACCCGCACGAAAAGCAUAACGAUCUGGGCAUUGUCUCGGAGAGAGGCUCGGUGAAAUAGACAUGUCUGUGAAGAUGCGGACUACCUGCACCUGGACAGAAAGACCCUAUGAAGCUUUACUGUUCCCUAGGAUUGGCUUUGGGCCUUUCCUGCGCAGCUUAGGUGGAAGGCGAAGAAGGCCCCUCCGGAGUCAUACUUCCUUCACCUAAACUAGAACUUGAUUUAGCGGCUCUUUCCAAAAGGCGUGAAUGUAAAUAAAAAACAUCUCCUGGAUAAGCUUCACGACCGGGAGGUCUUCUUAAUAGAAGAGACAUUUGGCGAUAAGCUUGUACUUGUUUGGAGAGAUCAUCAUAAGCCCAUGCUAAAGUUUCAAACAAUUCUUGUCAAUAUCCACACCAUUAAAUUAAGAGCUGCUUCUUAAAAUCUAAUUAUGAUUUUAGAAUCAAACGUCAAAUUUUUAUUUUAAUUUAAAUUCAAUGUUUAAAUUUAAAUUUAACUUUAAAUUUUAAUUUUCAAAUUUAUUUUUAAAUUUUUAAAUUUUAAACUUUAAAUUUUAAAAAAUAGAUUUCAAACUUUAAAUAUUAAAUUUUAAUUUUAAAUAUCAAAUCUAAAAUUUUAAAUUUCAAAUUUCAAAUUUUAGAUUAAAUUUAAAUUUUAACAUUUUAGAUUUUAAAAUUUAAAUUUUAAAAUUUAAAAAUUUUAAAAUUUAAAUUACAAGUUUUAAUCUUCAAAUUAUAAAUUUCAAAUUUUUAAAAUUUAAAAUAAAUAUUUUUAAAUUUUAAAUUUAAAUAUUAAAAUUUUAAAUAUUAAAAUUUUAAAUUUUAUAUUUUAAAUUUAAUAAUUAUGUUAUAUUUUAAAUUUCAUAAUUAUUUUAAAUUUAAAUUUUCAAUUUUUAAUUUUUAAAUUUCAAAUUUUAAAUUUUAAAUUUUAAAUUUAAAUUUAUAUUUUUAAAUAUUAAAAUUUUAUAUUUUUAAUUUCAUAAUUAUNAAAUUAAAUUUAUAUUUAUAUUUUUAAAAUUUUAAAUUUUAAAUUUUAAAUUUUUUAAAUUAAAAUAUCUAAUUUUAAAUUUUGUAUAAUUUUAAAAUUUUAAAAUUUUAAUUUUAAUUCAAAUUUAAAUUUAGAUUUUAAAUUAUUUUAAAAUAAAAUUUAAUAAAAAUAUUAAUUUAUACAAACAUCAAAAAAAUUUUGCCAAAUAGAUUUUCAAAAUCACUUCAAAAAAAUCGCUUUUGUCUAAACUCAGCAAAACGCUCUACAGCAUUUAGCCAAAAUAACUUCUCCAAACUAUGGGCCUCUUUGGCCUAACUUCUGGAGAAGUGAUUUAUGUAAAAGUGAUUUUGGUUUGGAGAAAGAUUUGGAGAAUUGAUUUUGGUGAAAAGCUGUAGAGCGUUUGGUUGAAUUUAGAAAAAAAUGAUUGUUCUGAACUGAUUUUCUAAAGCUGUUUGGCAAAAAAUUUUUGAUGUUUGCAUAUAUUAAUAUUUUUACUAAAUUUUAUUUUAAAAUAAUUUAAAAUUUCAAUUUAAAUUAAAAUUUUAAAUUUAAUUAAAAGUAUAAUUUUUAAGUUUCAAACUUGUACAAAAAUAAAUUUGAAAUUUCAAAAUUUUAAAUUUAAAAUCUAAAUUUUAAAAUCUAAAUUUAAAUUUUCAAAUUUAAAAUUUAAAAUAUAAAAUUUAAAAUUUAAAAUAUAAAAUUUAAAAUUUAAAAUUUAAAAUUUAAAAUUUAAAAUUUAAAAUUUAAAAUUUAAAAUUUAAAAUUUAAAAUUUAAAAUUUAAAAUUUAAAAUUUAAAAUUUUUAAAUUUAAAAUUUAAAAUUUAAAAUUUAAAAUUUAAAAUUUAAAAUUUAAAAUUUAAAAUUUAAAAUUUUGAAAUUUAAAAUUUAAAUUUUAAAAUUUCAAAUUUUGAGAUUUGAAACUUAAAUUUUAAAUUUUAAAUGUAAAUUUUAAAUUUUAAAUUUGAAAAGUUGAGAUUUAAAAAUUCAAAUAUGAAUUUAAAAUUUCAAAAUUUAAAUUUAAUGUUAAAUUUAUACUUUGAAUCUAAAAUAAAAAUAAAAGUUAGAAGUUCGAGUUCAAAAUCAGAAUCAGUUUUGGAGAAGCAGCUUUUUUUUGCUUCUGAUUCUGGAGCCUUCAAAAUCAGUUUUCUGAUUCUAAAAAGCAGAAUCAGAUUUUCAGAAUGUUAUUCUCAAACACUCUACUGAGCUCAAAAGUAAUUUUGGGCUUAGAAUCACUUUUGAAUAGCUAGGCCAAACACCCCCUAAAAUUACUUUUUCAGAAAUCACUUUUUUAGAAGCUAGGCCAAACGGGCCCACUAUUCACUUCAACCUGAAUCCGCCAAACCGAAUCGGACUCGUUUACAAAUUUAAAAUUAAAAUUUUUUGAAUAAAUUAAUUUAACUAAUUUUUUUGAUAAUUAAGUAUAGUACUUAAGUAUCCACAUGUUCCGGUGGGUCGAUUUGUAAGAGAAGACGAAGAAGGAAGCAACAACGAUGAUAAAAAAAAAAAAAAAACAGUAAACGCAUAAUAAAAAGUAUUAUAAAAAAAUAAAAAAUAAAAAAUAAAAGAUGAAUACAAAUCAAAAGUGUCAUCAGUUACAAGUAUAAAUUAUUUUAGAGAUAAAGUUCAUAGGAGAAAUAAAGAUAUGAAAAAGAUAUUAUAUGAAUAUGACCUAAAACCGUUGCCUUUUUAUCAAUAAUUUUAGAAAAAUAAAUAAUUUGUUAAACACCAUAAGAAAUAAAAUCUUGUAGUGUUAAUUAGGUGCAUGAUGGUCGAACAAGCAUCCACUGCAACUAACAUUAGAUUCAUACUCAAGUUCCAAAGUACAACCAUCUGUAAAUAAUGGCGAAAGCACCGUAAGAAAUCAACAUGACAAAGAAAGGUUAGAAAAAGUAACUAAAGAAAAAAAAUGAUCAAUUAGUAGUAAUAACAACACCAACAGUAGUGAACAAACUAAAUAAAAAAAGAUGGAAAGGAGUUAGCACAAAAAGGUGUAAUAGAAAGUAGAGUCUCUCUACAAAACUGUCGACAUAGUAGCAAGAAUCAGACUGCAGAGAAUAAUACAUCAGCAGCUUGGACAAUAGGUAAGUUCUAUGUAGUCAAAAUUUAGCCAAGUGUGCUGCAACAAUUGCAUGAAGAAUGACCAGAACUACAAAAGUAUGAAAGAAGUUAAGAAGAAACUACAACUAUAACAAAAAGAAGAAAAAGAAGAAAAAGGAGCAAGAGUAGCAGAAACAAUAGUAAAGCACUAAAUAGAAAUAAAAUACCAAACAAUAGCGUAGGCAUACCAACAUAAAUUCGAUAUGCAGUAGAAACAAACGAGGAAGAAAAGUGAAUAUAAAAGCAGAAAAAGCUAUAGCAAUUUUAUUGAAAAUUAGAUUAUAAAAUUUUUGAGUAUUGUAAUGCCAUACUUAUAAGAUAAACAGUAAAGUUAUUUGUAAUAUUAUCAAUUAUGAUGAAUGAAAUCAAAAUGACCAAUAUCAAACUUCGAGAUUUGAUUGAACGAAAAAAAGGUUAGUACAUAAACACUACUAGUUGAAAUUUGCAGAAAGUAAGAAAUUUUGCAAUGCUAACAGAAAGCACAUAUUAAUGCCCAAGAAUAUAUGCUUCAAGCUACAUAGGGAACCAAUAGCAAUAGAUGCAUAAGAAGAACAAAAAAACUAGGUGCAGCACAAGAAGAAGCAACAACAGCCUUAGUGUUAGAAGUAGUAGUAGCCCCGGUAUUAGCAGUCAUAGCAACAAUUUAGUCAGCGAUGAAUGGAGAAGCUAUGGAAAAGAAAGAACAAUAAUUACACAAAUUUACCGACCGUCCCUAGAGCAAGUGGCAAAGGGCUUGGUGGUUGGUAUCCGAGACCCAAGUUCGAAUCCUAGUUGAUUCACAUUUUCAGCUAAGUUUAUUUCUAAAUAAAAUAAACGAAGCAGGUAGCAUGCUACCUAUCUCUCAAAAAAAAAAAAAAAAAAACACAAAUUUCUGAUUUCUGUUUAUUGAUUUUAGUUGUUUGUAAUAUUAAAGUUUACAAAAGUUUAACAAAUCGAGUAGAAAAAAAAGUGGUUAAAAUUAAAUCGGAAGGUGGAUUGUGUCAUUAUCUCUUCCACACACAUUUUACUUCGCAAUUUCUGUGGAAUAACAGUUGUAAGAGCUGCCAUUUGGCCAUUAGAUUUGUAUUACUAUUUAAACUUCUUUGGCCUUUUUAUUCAAACAGAAAAUUUGUUGUAUACUAUAAAGAUUAGAUCUCCCAGUAUUGCGUAAGUGCAUCAUAGGUAAGGAAGCAUCUAUUGCAGCUGUCGAGCCUGGAGAUUCAAAUCAACAACAGAAAUGACUUUUGGCAGAAACUAAAAUAUUUUGUAAGGUAAAUUUUACUAUAUAUUCAUUCAUAGUCUUUUAUAAGGCGGGUUUAUGGGUUUGUUGGUUUAUAUGGUGAUUUUAGUAGAUUGUGAACCCAAUCCCUUACCAAAUUGAACUUUGAAANGAAUUAACUAACUAUGCUCAUCGCUUGAACCUGAAUUAUUUUCCGAUCGAUACGGUUCAAUUUUAAAAAGUAAAAUAAAAAAAAAAUCAAAUAAGCUGAAUUAAAAAAUUAAAUUAUUAGCUAUUAUUAUUUUUGAAUAGAGUAAUAAAAUAAAAUGUACCAUACUUAUAAGUUCUAAUUUAAUUUUUAAAAAAAUUAUAUUAUUAAAAUCAAAUAAACUAAAGCAAACCAAAAUUAUUUGGUUUAGCAUCCAAUUCAGCUUUAUUCAAUUAUUAAAAAAAAAACCUAAAAAUUGAAACGUAUUUAGACAGCAACUAGUUAGGAAAAUUUUCUUUAUAAGCGUUUAGGAUUCAAACAACUCUAUUGUACAUCUUUGAGAUUUGAAAAGUCUAAAAAUGAAUAAUAGAAUAAAUUUAUUGCAACUAGUUUUGGUUCACGCUUCGCUACGGAUCGAUAGUAUUUGUAAUACUCGUAUCCAAUUAAAAUUUAAAUAUGCAGGUAUGAUUGUAGUUUUGUGAUAAACCUGUCAUUAAUAUUUUUUUGAUUUAUUUGUACCGUCGGAUUAAGCGGAUUUGAUUGGAUUUGAUUUUCAGAUUAAUUAUACUCUAAUACUAGUUAGAGUAUGAUUUAGAUUUAGCCCUAAUUAAUCACCUAUAAAUAGGUAAUUUAGGGAGAGUGUACGACCAAAAUAAUAAUAAUAAUAAAUAUUGUGGCCGGAUUCUUUGUCCAAGCGUGGCCGCCAGCGGGAGCAAGAUCCGACGAUCGUGGAGGAGAGAUAAAAAGAGCGAGAGCGAGGCGAGUCUCCAAUAAUUAGUUCUCUAGUUUUUUUUUCUCUCUCUUUUCUUUCUUCUUCUACCUCACCAUCUUAUCCUCUCUUCUCGUUGUACCGCCACCACCGUCGCCGGAGUGGUCGCCGGCCACCUGUAGUGGAUUCAGGUGAACCCUGUAUGGGGUGACCAUGGUUGGUCAUAAGAGGUGUCACGCCCCGCGACCAACCACCAAUUUGGACCGGGUAGCGGCGCCGCUAACAGACCGCCGAACGGACCGGGGUUUCCCCUGUACGCGGACAGAGUCUCCCCUGUACGUUCUAGGCGUCACAAUCCAAACAAUACAACGAGUGUUCCAACUAGGAACGGAUAACAAUCCAGAUUGCAAAGGAAGUAUCAAAUACAUAAAACUAACAGCUAUUACAAGCAUUCAUUCACAUUCACUUAGUACACCUCAGUUCAGUUUACAUUUUUACUUCCAAUUACAAUCACAUUAUUACGUCAUUUAAUUUACAAGUUUGAUACGUCUUGGUUCUUGCCUUCUAGUCCCCUAAGCUAGACUGCCUCAAGGNNNNNNNNNNNNNNNNNNNNNNNNNNNNNNNNNNNNNNNNNNNNNNNNNNNNNNNNNNNNNNNNNNNNNNNNNNNNNNNNNNNNNNNNNNNNNNNNNNNNGGUCUGGCAUUGGGAUUUUGGCGAGAUUUAGCUGCAGUUUAUUAUGAUCUUAAUGAUUGUAUUGGUCAGCUAACUAAUUGCCUAGGUCUCUAAACGCGGUCGGCGAAGACAGGUUUGCGUGGCACAGAGGGCGGGGGUUGCGGUUAUCGCGAGUCGGGUAUCGAGGUCGCUUCGCCGAGGAGUGUGAAGCCGCGUGCAAAGAUCGCAACAUCGAGUUAUCUAUUGGUUCGGCCGCUCGCAUAGGUGGGGUAGGAUGUCCAUCGCGAAGCUGGGCUCCUUCUUAGUCUUAGUACCACACUGUCGCAUAUCUGGACUCUUGUAUUUUUGCUCUAUAGGAACUUAUCAUGUGUUGCCUUAUCUUCUGCGCAUCCUUCGUCGAUGGCUAUCGAGCGUAAUUGGAUAUUUGUAUCAUUGGAUUGAUAAGGAUUUGGUCCUGAUUUGUGAUUAUAUGUAAAGGAAAUCGAUGAACUCAUAGAGUGAGGGGCAUCUAGUCAAUUAGUCAACCAUGACGGUGGCAUCUAGUGUAUCACACACACCAGCGAACAAACGCGACAAUCAUAGUUAAAUAGGAGGGUAAUGUGACAGCCUUAUGCGGACUGAUAUGAUAGACUGUGACUCUAGGAGACAGGGUAAUCCUCGAGCUUAGAGAGAUUUGUGAUCAUGUCACGAGUCUGAUUAAUUUGUGAGUGGGCAAGCCCACACAGGUAGGUGCGGUCCGGAUGUUGGGUCACGCGGGAUUAGGCCUAAUAUGGGCCCGCCAGCGGUCUCGCGAGUCCGGUAUGUGUCGAGGCGUUGAUGGUGCCCUGUAGCGUCGGAUCGGGGCUAGGUGAGACUGGGCGAGCUCGGGUAAGCGAUCAGAGGAUUAAUUGAACAGGUAAACAUGAUGGUUAUGGAACGAAGUGAAAGGGCUUCACCUUUGGACUUGAUGACAAGUUAAGUUGCGUUACCCAGAUUACACUUGGUCAUGCAUGCAUAGAUUAUGUUGAUGUAGAAUAGCUGUCAUUGUCGUUCGUUAGGCCCCCCCCCGCCGCGCACCACCUAUAUAUCUAUCUAUCUGUCUAUCCAUCUAUUGGUAUAUCUACUUGUGCCCGCUUGGACCUAGUGGGGAGAUCGGCGGAGUCGGCGGCCGAACCCACUGGGAACUAAGGAAGUUAGUUCUCACCCCCAUUUUUACCACAGGUUCCAGUUCGGGUGUCCCCGGUGAGCGUGAGGAUCGCGGUAAGGGCCCGGCGUUUUAGUAGCAUUAGCUACCUUCCUUUUUGCACUAGCCGUCACCCUUUUAUAUUUGAGAGUAGAUGAUGUAUAGGGUGAGGUUCGAGUGAUUGUAUUUAUAUUUUGGAAGAAUGUAAAAGAUGUAAUUGAAUGUAUUGAGUCAAAUGAAUGUAAUAGAUAGCUCUUCUCUCUUAUGUACUUGUAUAUGUUUCUAUACUUGUAUCUUGCUCUCGUCUUAUUAGCACUUGUUGUGCUCUUGUGAUUGUGUACUUAUGAGUUGAUUCCUGGGUAAACUCUUGUACAUGAUCGUUUGCUUAGCCUUGGGCGGACAGGGGAGACUCUGUCCGUUCGGCGUCUGUUCGACGCGCCCGGGCCCGAACCAAAUUGGUAGCGGUCGCGGGGCGUGACAGAAACCGAUACCAAUUUGGUCCAGUUCGGGCGCGUCGAACAGACGCCGAACGGACAGCACCUCCCCUGUCCGCCCAAGGCCAACAGCGAGAUCAUGUAAAACAAGUUCCUAGGAAAUCACUUGAAUACAUACAUGAUCACAUAACAACUAUGAGGGGAGCAGAAUCAGUGCUAAACAACUAAGAGCAAGAUACAAGUAUAGAACAUACGAGUAAUAAUAAAGAGAGAAGAGGCUAUCUAUUACAUUCAUUCAGCCUUUAUAAUACAACUUGAUUAUGCAUUAAGCUUCUAAACAUAAUAUAAAGCUUACAUCUUCUAAAAUAUAAACAUUAGCUUACAUUCAUCCCAAAAUAGCUCACAACCUAUACAUCAUCUACUCUCAAUGUAUAUAAAGGUAACUCUAGUGCAGAAAUAGGAAAGUAAACUAAUGCAACUAGGGCGCUAGGCCCUUACCGCGAUCCUCACCGCGUGAACUCGCGCUCGGCCCUGUAGUAAAAUGGGGGUGAGAACUAACUUCCUUAGUUCCCAGUGGGUUCGGCCGCCGACUCCGCCGAUCUCCCCACUAGGUCCAAGUGGGCACCAGUAGAUAAUUGAUAGAUAGAUAGAUAAGGAAAGCGGUAAAUGACAGAAGUAAAGGUACUCUACUAUGCCCAAUCAUAAAUAUAUGAAUGCAUGUACAAUGAAAUAGGUAAGCAACUAACCCAUUACCAUGUCCAAAGGUAAAGUCAUUUACUCGUUCAUCAAUCUUAUUUACUUGUUUCUUAAUCUCGUGGCUUCCCUGAAGGAGCCUACAGCUCACUAGCCAUCUCGAAGGUAGGGAGGGUCAACUCGCACUACGAACCGAGACCGUCUGCCGGGGCCUAAAAUAGGCAAUCCCUUGGGACCCAAACUAGGCAAUCCCACGUGACCAACUCCGGAGCGCACUACUUGUGUGGGGCUUCCAUCACAAGAUUUAAAACAGACCGUGAGCAUGAUCCAAUCCUCGUCUCGAGAAUACCCUAUCCUUUAGGGGUACAAUCAUCAUAUAGUCCAUAGGUUUCACAUACACUAUGACUCAUAUGUGUCAUUUGUUCUUUUGCUUACUAGCAACUAAAUGCCACUUGUUCAUUUGUUUGCUAUCGACUAGAUGCCACUCGUUCUUUGUUUAACAUUAGACCAACCGUCGAGCCCAUCUCUUUCUCUGCACUAUAGGAUUCACAAGUCUCGACCCAAUCCUUAUCGAUCCACUACUAUGUCAAGUAUCCAAUACAUGCUACGAUAUCAUCAAAGAAAGCAUAAGGAAAGGCAGUGCACAAUCAUCCUAUAAUGCAAUAAUACAAGAUGCAAGAAUCGACAUGUACUAAGACAUAGAAGGGAGCCCGAUUGCUUCGGGAUGGACACCACCCACCUUUUAUAGCGUUCCGAUUGCUCGUCGUCACUCGCAAUCGGCCUCCCGCGGCGCACGCCGCUUGGCUCGACCCAAUCCGCGCGCGCGACCACCAAACGACCUCCGAUCCGCGAUCCGAAAAUUAAAGGUCUUUGGUUUCCUAUUACGAUGCUUCAAAUCCGUUUCCAGGAUUUUACAACGUCGCCUCGGCCCUCCAGGCAGAAACGAAGCCUAAACGUCCGUUUCUUUAAUAACUUUGCACCGGCUAGACGAAUCGCCGAACCGUCGCUUCCAACGCGUUCAGUGACCUAUCAAUUAGGUUUCCAGAGGGUUAAAUGAGAUCAAACCCUCAUAUUUUCAAAAAUUGCAUUUCAAGCCCUAGGUUUAUAACUAGGUAAGAAUUAAUUAAAUUGAUCCUAGAUUCUAGCAAUAAUCAUCUAUUUAGCAUGCUAGAAUAGCUCUAAAUCCAUUCUUGAAGCUUAAAACCCAAACUACAAAGAGAUACCAUUAAAGGGUUUUGAAGCUUACCUUCAAACCAUGCUCCAAUGGAGAGGAAGAAGAUGGAGAAGAUGGAAAUCCACCUUAGAGCUUCAAUCUCCACCAAAAUCAUCUCUUUUUGGGAGAGAUUUAGAGAGAGAAAGGAGAGCUUUCUCCUUUCCCUUCCAUGCGUGUAUGGGUGUGUGUGUGUGUGUCGGUUUGGGGCUGCUACGGCUGAGGAAGAAAGGGAUUUGAUCCCUUUUUACGAGUUAGCCCCUCAACUAUGCAAUCCUUCAAUUUAGUCCCUAAAUCUGAUAAGUUUCGUUGGAGCCCUUCUGGAUGUCCGAUUGAGCUCAAAUUUGACAGGCAUGCUCAGUUUAACGUACUGAGCAAGAAUAUAUCUUAAGUUUUCAGUUUCGACCCCGUUUGGUCACCGAAAACUGUGCCGAACUGCAAUCUUUAUCAGAUAGCCUUCGGAUUUUAUUUCUCACUCUACGGGUGUCAGAAAAAUAUGAAACCUUAAAUCUAGCCUCAUAAAAAUAUUCCUGACUUAUUCUCUAAUUUUCAUAAUUUUCUGAGACUGCAUUUUCUGCUAAUUUUUCUGUCCCGUUUCCAACAGAAAAUUUCAGAUCUUCUGUUUUCAUCCCGAUUUCAGCACAAGUCACUUCUGACUUAUGUUUUACUUCUCUAAAUCCAAUAAAAUAGUAUCUCAUACUAUUUUUAUUUAUUUAUUUAUUUUUUAUUUUUAUAUUUAAAUCCGGUAUGUUACAUUACACCGCAACCUUCCCGGAACCAUUCAAAUGGCUCUCCAACCAAAUGGACACCGUAACCUCAUGAUUUUCGAAGUCCGAUACCCUACAUCCUCCCCUCCUUAAAAAGAGUUUCGUCCUCGAAACGAACUCAAUAUUGCAAAACUUAUUUAGAACUUUAAAUUCUAAACUCAUACCUUGACUUAAUCCUCGAACAAGUGAGCAUGAUUCGCCUUCAUCUCCUCCUCAAGCUCCCAGGUGGCUUCGCGAUCGUCAUGAUUGCUCCACCGAACUCGGACAUAAGGAAUUUUCCGAUUCCUUAACUUGCGCACUUCACGAGCAGUAAUCGCCACCGGAAACUCCUCAUAACUUAGGUCUUCCUGAAGCUCCGGUGGUUCGUAUAACAUUGCAUGCUCGGGAUCAGGUAUGUACUUGCGCAAAUUGGAGACGUGGAACACGUUGUGCACAUCCGCUAGUUUUGGAGGCAACGCGAGCCGAUAAGCCACCAUUCCAAUCCGUUCCAAGAUCUCAUAGGGGCCAAUAUAUCGGGGACUUAAUUUUCCCCGAACUCCAAAUCGCUUAACGCCCCUCAUAGGCGAAACCUUCAAGAAAACGCGGUCGCCCACCGCGAAUUCCAAAUCCCGUCGGCGCCUAUCCGCGUAGCUCUGUUGUCGAGAUUGCGCAGAGAGUAACCGCUUCCGAGCAAGGCGGACCUUUUCUUCCGCCUCCCGCAACACAUCGGGGCCAAAUUCCGUGCGCUCGCCCACGUCACUCCAAUAAAUAGGAGAGCGGCACUUCCGCCCAUAAAGAGCUUCGAACGGUGCCAUCUCCACGCUAGCGUGAUAACUGUUGUUGUAGGCGAAUUCGGCCAUUGGCAAAUACUUACACCAACCUCCUUUGUAAUCGAUGACACACGCUCGCAACAUAUCCUCCAGAGUCUGAAUAGUCCUCUCGAUUUGUCCGUCUGUCUGGGGAUGGAAUGCAGUGCUAAAAUCGAGCCAUGUGCCAAGGGCCUCCUGUAGGCUUUUCCAGAAAUGUGAAGUGAACUUGGGGUCUCUAUCCGACACAAUCGAUUUCGGCACCCCGUGCAACCUCACUACCUCGUCAAGAUAUACCCCACGUGUGACGCUCUAGAUGUGACUGGUGUUUUCAGACUUUAUAGAUAAAUGGGUCUUCCUCAAUUUGUACGCCGUCUCCGCCACCGAUCUCGAUAAUUUCCUAAUGCUACAGCUGUAAGAGAUGGUGGGACCGUUUCGUUUACACCAACGCCUACGCAAAUCGUCCUUCAGCCGCUUCUUGGAGCGAAAACUACAAUGGGCCGUUUGUGGGGAUCCCGACCUCUACCUCGCUGACCUGGAGCUUCACCAGCGAGGGCUCCAGGGCCGAGUCGACUACCGCGAGCAAUAAGUUGGCUGGAAUAACCUCUCCUAGUCUUUAAACGUUGGACGUCUAGGCUCAGAGGUUUUCCACGCCGCGUUGUAGCUCCUUCCUGCUCUACCGNUAAAGUCACACCUGCGGCCACCGCGCGAGGCCAAAGCUUUGGCCACCACGCACGGGCUCUUACUUCUCGAAGCGCUCAACUAGAACGUCCUUCGGGUGGCCAGAGGUAUGCGCCUAGUGGGCCCGCCGUGGUUCUACAUAGUACUCAAUUCUCGUGAGAUAACCACCGGCCCCUACUAUCGACUAUAACCCGCGAAGCACCGCUUCACAAACUGAACAGUCGUUCACUUUCGCCUCGCGGCCAAAGGUCGCCCUUUCGAAGUUUCAGAUGGAUAAGGACAGACCUUUACCCUCCUAUAUAGAUACCUAAAGUAGCAACCGAAUGGAGCGAGCUGUCCCCCUGUGCUGCGUUAGACCCACUAACACCUAGCGAACUGCUUCAGUCGCGUGAAAAAUGGCUAGGUGUGGUGGACCCGCCCUCUAUUCAACCGCGUNGGUAGUGCCUCCACAACUUCAGCGCAAAGAUCACCGCCGCCAACUCCAAGUCAUGGAUGGGGUAGUUCUUCUCGUGGUCCUUCAGCUGACGGGAUGCAUAAGCUAUCACCCUCCCGCCUUGCAUCAGAACACACCCCAAGCCCAGAUAGGAUGCAUCGCUAUAGACCACAAAGUUCUCGCCCUGCACUGGUAAGGCGAGUAUCGGAGCCGACGUCAAUCUUUUCUUCAAUUCGUUGAAGCUUUGAUCACACUCGUCGCUCCAAAUGAACUUGACGCCCUUCUGAGUCAAACCGGUAAGUGGAGUUACAAUUUUCGAAAAGCCCUCCACAAACCGUCGAUAAUAGCCCGCUUAGCCCACAAAGCUUCGGACCUCCGUGACGUUUGUCGGGCGUGGCCAAUUCUCGACCGCUUCGACUUUCCUCGGGUCAACCGAAACACCGCCCUCGAAAAUCACAUGCCCCAAGAAGGCAACCUCUCGAUGCCAGAAAUCGCAUUUCUUUAGCUUUGCGAAUAGCUUCUCCUCCCGAAGGAUUUGAAGCACUAUCCGCAAAUGCUCCGCGUGUUCCUCAUCGUUUCGCGAAUAGAUCAAGAUGUCGUCUAUGAAAACCACGACAAAUCGGUCCAAGCACGUUUUAAACACACGGUUCAUUAGGUCCAUGAACGCUGCCGGGGCAUUUGUGAGCCCGAAAGGCAUAACCGUGUACUCAUAGUGUCCAUAACGUGUACGAAAUGCGGUCUUCUGAAUAUCCUCCGACUUAAUCUUUAACUGAUGGUAGCCGGAUUGUAGAUCUAUCUUCGAGUACACUCGUGACCCCUGUAACUGAUCAAAUAAAUCAUCGAUUCGGGGCAACGGGUACUUAUUCUUUAUCGUGACCCUAUUCAACUCUCGAUAGUCCACGCAGAGUCGAAAUGAGCCAUUCUUCUUGCGCACGAACAACACCGGCGCUCCCCACGGCGAUACGCUCGGCCGGAUAAACCCUUUGUCGAGAAGAUCUUGUAACUGGUCCCUCAAUUCCCUUAACUCUGCCGGCGCCAUACGAUAUGGGGCUUUCGAGAUUGGCGUCGUCUUCCGAAUCAAGUCUAUAACGAACUCGAUCUCCCGAUCCGGCGGCAUCCCCGGUAACUCCGUGGGAAAUACAUCCGGAAAUUCCCGCACCACCGAUAAAUCCUCUAAUUUCGGCACCACCCGGUCCACCUCCACGACGGUUGCCAAAAAUGCUACGCAGCCGCCGUUGACCAACUUCCUAGCUCUCGUCGCCGAUACUGUCGCGACGAAGCAAGAACUCCGACAAGCUCGAUAAACGACCUCCUUCUGUCCUGGCUCCCGAAAGGUGAUCGAUUUAUUCUUACAAUCGAUCGUGGCAUAAUACUUUGAGAGCCAGUCCAUGCCCAAAAUGACGUCAUACGCCUCCAGUUUAGUGAGUUCCAACAUCCGGAUGGGCAUCAUCCAGUCACCUACUUGUACUAGGCAUGACGAGCACUCCGUGUAGGUAUUAAACGACGAUUCAGGACCCUCGACUCGCCACUUGCCACUUGCUUCUAUGGGUAUGUCAUGCAUGCGUGGCACCCGUAUCGAACAUAGCUCUGGAGCGAACUCCAUUGAUUAGAACCAUACCUGCUACAACAUCAGGCUCCUCGGCUUGGGCGGGCCCCUCAGCAUGGGCUUGAGCGGCGAAUACCCGUCCGCUCGGCGCUGAUCGAGUCACCUCCGGCUGGUGCGGCGCCAGUGCGCGUCCCGCCGACACAGGAACAUACGGGGCCCCUCCUUGAUAAGGCGAGGGCGCUGGAGUCGAUGCGACUGACGGAGUAGACGAGGCCCUUGCCGGACAGUCGCGGCUGACGUACCCUUCUUGUCCAUAAUUAAAGCACCGCCCUUGUCGUUGUCUACACUGCGGUGCCCGAUGGCCUCGAUCUCCAUAGAUAGGGCAACGCUGCGGCCCACGGCCCCAUGACUGCGACGGCGGAUACUUCGGGGGCCUCCUUGAACUCGAUUGUCCCCCCGAACUGCCGCCCGAUUGCUUCUUCCCCUUGUCUGGGGAUCCGGUCAACAACUCACGCUCCUCCCGCACAUGGGCAUCUCCAUGCUCUGCCCACAGCGCCUUAUUGAAAACCUCAGCGAAAGUUGUGAGCUGGAACAAUUGCACUGCCCGAUAUAUCCAUGGCCGAAGUCCUCGCAAGAACCAUUCGGCCCGAUCCGCGUCAUCCUUGACCACGUCUGGGACACAGUCUAUAAUGUGGGAGAACUCCUGCUCAUAGUCCGCCACGGAGCGAUCCCCCUGUCUCAAUUUGCGAAACUUUUCCUUUAGCUUCCACUUCUCGGUGUCGGGGAAGUAAUUUCCAAACACUUCCCUCUUCAACUCAUCCUAGAGCAUUGGUGGAAGGUCAGAGGGUCGAUCUCGCUUCAACCGCUUCCACCACACCUUCGCCGCCUUGUCAAGGCAAUGGGUGGCGAAAGGCACUUUAUCCUUCUCCGAGGUGUAUAGGUCCUCGAAGAGGGUCUCCAUAGAGUCAAUCCAAGACUCCACCACCGAUGGCUCCACUUUCCCCCCUUCAAAAGUUGGUGGCUUAAACUUCAUAAACUUCAUUAGAGCCGUCAACGCACGCUCCCGCUCCACUUCGUCGGCCGUCGUAUCAAGUAUCGCCGAACCUGAAGCUGUCGGAGGCGCAUUUGCCGGCGGGGGAACUGCUGCCAUCGGAACUGCCGCUAUGCCCUCACCCUCGGUCGCUACCAGCGCGCGUGCCGAAGGUGCGGGCGGAUCGUGAUCUCCAGCCGCUGUCGCGGCCACCGCUGCUGCCGCUUGCCGCUCCACAAAUCCCUGGAGCUGCUCGAAUCGAGCCUCCUGGCGCUGCAUCGCGCCCAACAUUGCAGCGACCUGCUCCCGCAGCUCCUGCACUUCCUCCGAUCUUGUCUGCUCGGGCUCCGCAGAAGGCGGUACCGGAGCAGACCUAUGCACGUAACGCCUCGGGGACAUUUGCUCCUGAAAAGCAACGACUCGGUUAGUUAUCUUAAUCCGAUAACUUUUUCAACGCUCACGAAAUUAAACGACUCGACAGUGAAAUCGGGCGGAAGCUCACAAGUGUUCCAGUUCUGGACUCUUAGCGUCGCGUCGUCGGCCGCCGACACAACCACGACGAGCCGAGAAACUAGUAUCACUUGGAUCCGUCUCUAUUCACAGCUAGAGACAUGACAUAAGUUCUGGACUCUUAGCGUCGCGUCGUCGGCCGCCGACACAACCACUACGAGCCGAGAAACUAGUAUCACUUGGAUCCGUCUCUAUUCACAGCUAGAGACAUGACAUAAGUUCUGGACUCUUAGCGUCGCGUCGUCGGCCGCCGACACAACCACUACGAGCCGAGAAACUAGUAUCACUUGGAUCCGUCUCUAUUCACAGCUAGAGACAUGACAUCAACUUUGACCCAAUCGAUCAACUUCCGCCAUCGCCAUGAGUUCACGUUCACUCACGUCCCUAUAACCUUAGGGUUUACCGACCUAGUGUCUCCUAGGUCAUCCUAGACUCUCUCUUUACUUGCUCUGGUGCUCUGAUACCACUUUGUGACGCCCCAGCUUCCCAGGGGGUCACCCAUCCUAGGACUACUCCCGUCCUAGCACGCUUAACUCUCUUAACCUCUUGGGCCUUGCCACCACCCAAAAUGCUUAAGCCGGGUUAAAAGUUUAGCCCUAUUAUAUCUUAUAUAUAGGACUACCCGGGGUCUCACACCUCAAGUGAAAAACCCUCUCUUAAUCUUCAAAUGGGAAGUAGAGGUUUUCCAAUCUAACUUAUAUAAAGGUUCUAAACCAUUCCAAUAAGAUCAAGAAGCCUCAAAUUAAGAAUCCCAAAAUCUAACCCUAAAAUCCAAAAUCUAGGGUUUAAACAAGCAAAAUGCCCCAAAACUAAGAUCUAGAGGAAGGAACCUUGCCACUUACCUCUAGGAUGCUCCAAUCCAAGCUCAAAAUCUUCUAGGGUUGAAGAUUGAUCCACCACAAAGUUCCAAAAGCAAGCUCCAAGCCUCCAAAGGUGAGAAAUGAGGAAGAAGAUGGUGCUCCAAAGCCUCCAAGCAAGCUCCUCUCCUCUCCUUCUCCUUCUUCUCCUUCCCUUUCUCUCUCUAGAAGUGUAAGGAGAGUGUGAGGGAGAGAAAAUGAGAGUGAGAGGGGGUAGAGAGGCUGCCAAAAGCCUCUAAGGUAACAAAAUCCACUUAGGCCUCUCAAAAAUCCACUCUGUGCACUGCCCGGUCUGGGCCGCUCACGCGCUGAGGGACCGGUCUCUCCCUGCCAAGGACCGGUCUCUAGGCUCGUCCAGCAAAACCAGCGUUCGGGAACCGGUCUCUCACAGCCAGGGACCGGUUGCCUCAAGCCCUGUCGCAGCACUGUGCUGAGGGGACCGGUCUGUCAUAUCAGGGACCGGUCCCCGAGAGUGAAAACUCUCAGGACUUGCCAAAACUCUAGAGAUCGAACUUUUAGGCCGGUAUACAUCGACGGCCCUCCACCAAGUGUGGAAAAGUUCGAAAUACAUAUCGAACACUCGAACCUCGCAAUUUGCAAAGGUCCAGUGUGCUACAUUCAUCCCUCCUAAAAAGGAGUUUCGUCCGCGAAACUCGAAUACUAACAUACCUCAAAACUCCGUCUGAAAAAGAUGGGGAUAGUGCUCCCGCAGCGCACUCUCUAGCUCCCACGUGGCCUCCCGCUCCCCAUGGUUGCUCCAAAGAACCUUCACGGACGGAAUAUCCCGGUUUCACAGUUUCCGCACCUCGCGGGCCAAAAUCUUCGCUGGGUCGAAGACAUACUUCCGAAGGACCGAUACAUGAAAGACGUUGUGCACGCCGGAUAGGUUCGGUAGUAGAGAAAGUCGAUAUGCUACCGGACCCACACGUUCCAAGAUCUCAUACGGUCCAAUGAAACAGGGGCUCAACUUACCCCGAAUCCCAAAUCUCUUAAUCCCUCUAGUCGGCGAAACUUUCAAGAAAACAUGGUCUCCAACUUGGAACUCCAAGUCUCGCCGUCGUCGAUCGGCGUAGCUCCUCUGUCUACUCUGCGCCGUCAAAAGUCGCUCCCGAGCAAUUCAAACCUUGUUCUCAGCUUCCUGGAGCACGUCGGGGCCUAAUGCGAAUCUCUCACCGACUUCACUCCAAUGAAGUGGCGAUAUACACUUCCGUCCGUAAAGUGCUUCGAAGGGCGCCAUCUUGAUGCUUGCUUGAUAACUAUUGUUAUAAGCAAACUCUGCCAUCGGUAGAUGCUGCAACCAUCCUCCCUGGAAGUCAAUCACACAUGCUUGGAGCAUAUCCUCUAAAGUCUGAAUAGUGCGCUACGACUGUCCAUCACUCUGCGGGUGGAAUGCUGUACUGAAAUCCAGACGAGUGCCUAAGGCGUCCUGCAGACUCCUCCAAAAGCACGACACAAAUCAGGUGUCUCGAUCCGAUACAAUCGAUGUAGGCACUCCAUGAAGUCGCACAAUCUCAUCGAGGUACACUUGUGCGAGCUUCUCCCCAGUCCAAGUUGUAUGAAUAGGUAUGAAGUGUGCCGACUUCGUCAACCUAUCCACGAUCACCCAAAUAGCAUCUUGCACGGCCUGCGAGCGGGGCAAUCCUGUCACGAAAUCCAUGGUGAUCUUCUCCCACUUCCAAACGGGAACAGGCAAACUAUGAAGUUUUCCCGCGGGAACGCGAUGCUCAGCCUUUACUUGUUGGCAAGUUAGACAACGAGCUACAAACUCGCCAACGUCCUUUUUCAUCCUGGGCCACCAAUAAAGCAACUUUAAAUCCUUAUACAUCUUGGUGCCACCCGGAUAUAUAGCGUAGGGCGCUCGGUGCGCUUCUUGAAGAAUAUCCUCUUUAAUUCCCGAAUCCGUCGGUACACAAAUCCGUCCACAGAAAUGCAUCAAUCCUUGAUCAUCCACAAGGAGUCGCCGGUGCAACCAUUAACCAUUUUACCUUUAAUCCUUUGCAACUCUACAUCGGAAGCUUGCUUUUCUUUAAUUUUAUCCAAUAAUGUAGGUUGCACCACCAACGUCAUCAACCUCAAAGGCGUGUCAGGAGUCACCACCUCCAACUCAAACCGCUUCGUCUGCUCGAUCAACUGCGGUGGAGUAACUAAAUGCAUUGCUAAGUUUUCCGUCGAUUUCCUACUUAGCGCAUCUGCCACCACAUUAGCCUUGCCCGGGUGGUAAAGAAUCGUUAGAUCAUAAUCCUUGAGUAGCUCCAACCAUCUGCGCUGUCUCAAGUUCAACUCCUUCUGAGUAAAGAGGUACUUUAAGCUCUUGUGAUCCGUGUACAUUUCACACCGCUCGCCAUAAAGAUAGUGGCGCCAUAGCUUCAAUGCGAACACUACGGCCGCCAACUCCAAAUCAUGCGUCGGGUAGUUCUUUUAAUAUUCCUUUAGUUGGCGAGAAGCAUACGCGAUCACCUUGCCAUCCUGCAUCAAUACACAGCCCAAUCCAUUAAGUAACGCAUCACUAUAUACCAUAUACCCUGCUCAAGCUACUGGUAGGGUUAAGAUCGGGGCGGUCGUCAAUCUCUGCUUCAACUCUUGGAAGCUUCGCUCGCACGCAUUAUUCCAAAUAAACUUGAGUCCUUUAUGCGUGAGCCUCGUGAAGGGAGUGGACAACUUAGCAAAUCCCUCAACAAAUCUCCGGUAGUAACUGGCCAAUCCAAGGAAGCUCCGUAUCUCCGUGACGCUCGUCGAUCUCGGCCAACCCUUGAUAGCUUCAAUCUUCUUGGGAUCCAACGCAAUAUCUAAUCCUGAAAUCAAGUGUCCAAGGAAAGCUACCUCUCGAAGCCAAAAUUCACAUUUCUUCAUCUUGGCGUAAAGCUCCUUUUCCCGAAGUACUUAGAGUACAAUUCUCAAAUGCCCCUCGUGAUCUGCAUCACUUAGAGAGUAGACCAAAAUGUCGUCGAUGAACACCACAACGAACCUGUCUAGAUAAGACUUGAAAACACGGUUCAUUAAAUCCAUAAAAGCUGCCGUGGCAUUAGUCAGCCCAAACGGCAUAACUGUGAACUCAUAGUGUCCAUACCGUGUUCUGAAAGCGUCUUCGAUACAUCCUCGGGUUUGAUCUUCGGUUGGUGGUAUCCAGACUGCAAGUCAAUCUUGGAAUACACACACGAUCCCUGAAGCUGAUCAAACAAGUCGUCAAUUCUCGGCAACGGAUACUUGUUCUUGAUCGUGACUUUGUUGAGUUCACGAUAGUCCACACAUAGGCGAAGUGAUCCGUCCUUUUUCUUGACGGAUAUAACUGGCGCUCCCCACGGCGAGACGCUUGGUCGAAUGAAGCCCUUGUCCAACAGAUCCUGUAGCUGUGCCCUCAGCUCCUUCAGUUCCGCCGGUGCCAUCCUAUAGGGUGCCUUCGAGAUUGGGGUAGUCCCAGGGACAAGAUCCACCACAAAAUCAAUCUCCCUAUCAGGAGGCAUGCCCGGAAGCUCAGCUGGAAACACAUCCUGGAACUCCCGCACCACCGGAAUAUCCUCGAUCCUAGGGGUGUCAUCCUCGCCCCUCAUCACAACACUAGCCAAGUAGGCUACACAUUCUCGGCUGAUCAGCUGCCUAGCUCGAGACGAGCUGAUCGACAUCGCGAAAAGCGAACUCCAGCAUCCUUUAAACACAACCUCAGUCUGCCCCGGUUCUCUAAAGGUAACCGUGCGAUUCUUGCAAUCUAUCGUGGCAUAAUAUUUGCUCAACCAAUCCAUGCCCAAGACCACAUCAAAAUCCCCCAGCUUGCGCAAAGCUAGCAAAUCUACAGACAUGAUCCAAUCUCCUACCCGAAUAGGGCAACUGGGGCAAUACUCUCUAAUAUCCAGAACGUGGUCGGGUACAACAACAUGUCCCGUGUGCAACAAAGGAACCAAUGGAAUGCCAUGCAACUCGGCAAACAGCCGAUCUAUAAAUGAAUGCGAUGUACCGGUAUCAAAUAAAGUACGAACUCUAAUGCCAUCAAGUAAAAUGAUACCUGCAACCACAUCCUCGGCUGCUGCCGCCUCCUCGGUCUGAGCGGCAUACAAGCGUCCACUCGGGGCCUGCCGAAACCCCUCGCUCUGCCGCUGGACGGUUGGCCGCCCAGGCUGGUACUGUGUCGACGGAGUCCCCUGACUGGCGGCUGGUAGAGCCGGUGCCGAUGCAGUCGACGGUGCGGGUGAAGAACCUCUCGGGCACUCAGUCCGCACGUGGCCCUCCUGACCACAUUGGAAGCACCUGCCCGCCCGCUGUGGACACUACGGUGGGUGAUGAGGACCACCACAGAUCACACACGGGGAGGGCCGGCGUCGAUCAUAGCCUCCUCGCUGAGCUGUUGAGCCGCGUCCACGUUGCUGGCUCUUCGGAUGCUUCGGCGACCUCCUAGAGUGCGUCUGGCUCGCACCCUCAGCCGCAGGCCUCUUGGCCUUGCCCUUGUCCAUGGCCUCACGCCGCUCCUGUACCUCUGCCGCGCCGCUCUCCACAAUGGCGCGCGAUCCACCACCUCCCGGUAGGUUUGCAGGUUAGAGGAUUGCACAAACCGGAAGAUCGACGGUCGCAACCCUCGCUCGAAGAUGCGGGCCUUGUCCUCGUCGUCCCGCACGAUGAAAGGCACGCAGUGUAGAAGCCGAGAAAACUCCCUCUCGUACUCGGCUACGGUGCGGUCUCCCUGGCGCAAGCUGUGCAGAUCCUGCUCCAUCUUCCUCUUGACGCUGGUCGGGAAGUAAUGCGCCAAAAUAAGCUCCUUCAACUUCUUCUAUGUGAUAGCUGCUAAAUCAGUGCUUGGGUUCUCCUGGAGAUCCAACCACCAGCGAGUGGUGAGUAGCGAGCCAAACUCGAUCCCUCUCCUCCACGAAGGUGUCGCGGAAGAGCUUCUCCAUAUGUAUCAACCACUUCUCCACGAUCCAGUGGUCGACCUUUUUGCCGUCGAAAACUCGGGGACUACACCUCCUGAACUCAUUGAGGCGCUCCAUCAGUCUGUCUCGCUCUGCCCCCUCGACCAAGGUAGGGAAUGCAGCUCCCACCGGGGGCCUUUAAACAGGUGGUGCCACCAAAACCUCCUCCUUGGGUGCGGCCACAGGUGCCGCACACGAAGAACUGGGCGCGGGGGAUGGCGCUCUCGGUGCAACGUCCACAACGGGUGCUGGCGGUGUAGGGCCCUGCGUCUCCCUAGAAGCUGCUGCCUGUUGCAGGAGUAGAUCCUCCAGGAGCUUCAUCCGCGCCUCCUGUCGGUGCGCCGCCUCAGUCUGCUGUCGGGAUGCCUCCGCCUGCUGAGUGACUAAAUCGGUGAGGGCCGCAAGCUGGCCCCUCAACUCACGGAUCUCGCCAGAUCUGGAUGUAGCGGAGGUCUUGACCUCCUCAAAGUUCGCCACAUUGUCCGCCUCGGCAUAUUGGGAGCGAGUAAUCGGCAUCAUCACUACAAAACAUCAUAAAAGCACAAGUUAGCAAAAACCGAUGCUAUCGCAUCCCCGCUCAAAGAUAAUACCCAAAUCAGGCAAAAAUAAGGAAGUGUGCUUCACUACUAACUCCCGACGUUACGUUGUCGGCCGCCAACGUAACCCUCUGUGAAGUUAGAAGCUAUACACUUCAAUUCAACUCUAACUUUUUAGAGUUAUCAAGAUACCCAAUCAAGGUACUUUCGCUCACAAAUCAAAUAGACCUCGUCUCUCACGAGCCUAUUUCCUAUAGUCCAACCGGCCUAAGGUUUGCUAGGUCCCCUGAGACUCAACCCUAGGCUCUGAUACCAAAUUAAUCUGUCACGCCCCGGGACCCAGCGGAAGCCCGCCCGGCACGUGCCCAGACCCGCCAUACGUCUAAAACAUAUAAGGCGUCUAAAACAACGAUAAUUAAAGCAAGAAUAAAAGAUAUCUAGGAGUAUCAGAGCAUGAUAUAAGACUAAGUUCUACAAUAGAGAAAGGAACAUAAAGCAGGAAUUCACUAAUAAAAGCAUAAGGUAAUACAAAGGAGAUCCCAAAUACAAGUGCUCAAAGUAGUGUAACGCACUGGACCUUUGCAAAUUGCGAGGUUCGAGUGUUUGGAUGUAUUUCGAGCUUGCCCACACUUGGUGGAGGGUUGUAAAAUGUUUUCCGACCUGAAAAGUUCGAAAACUGGAAUUCUGGACAAGUCCUGAGAGUUUUUGCUCUCGGGGACCGGUCCCUGGAAGGAGAGACCGGUCCCCCAGUGAGCAGUGUUGAGGCAGCCUGAGGCAACCGGUCCCUGGCAGGCGAGACCGGUCCCCGAGCGCGUCUUCGCAGUGAGAGACCGGUCCCGCGCAGGGAGAGACCGGUUCCCGAACGCUGGUUUUUCGGGUUCGCAGCGAGAGACCGGUCCCUGCUGGGGAGAGACCGGUCCCUCUGGGCGAAAACUGCCCAGUUCGGGCUGAUGUAAAUUUGAGUUUUUGAGGGGCCUCUCCGGAUUUUGUUACACUAGAUGGGCUUAUUAGCCAUUUCCUCCUCUUCCCUCUCUCAUUCUCUCAUUCUCACCCUCUCCCUACACUUUCUAGAGAGAGAAGAAGAAGAAGAAGGAGGAGAAGAAGAAGAGGAGCUAGCUUGAGGGAGCUUGGAGCUCAACCCCUUUCUCUCUUUUCCACCUUUGCAAGGCUUGGAGCUUGCUUGUAGAGCUUGGUGGUGGACCAAUCUUCAACCCUAGAAGAUUUGGAGCUUGUUUGGAGGCAUCUUGGGAGGUUAGUACUUGGAUUCUACCCUUUGAUCCUUGAUUUGGUAGAUUUUACCAUAUGAAACCCUAGUUUUGGGUAUUAGGGUUGAUUUUUGGGGCUUUUUGAUCUAGGGCUUUUGGGGCUAAAUUGAUUGGUUUAGAACCUUCCUUGGGCUUGGAUUGGAAGGGUUCUAGCUCUCUUUUGGAGCUUUAGAAGAGAUUUCUUCUCUUGAGGUGAAUUUUGGCCCUAUUUGCUUCUAGAUUGAUGUUUGAUCUCAUGGUUGGUCGUAAUACUCUCGUAUCUCUUCGCUGAUCACUUUUAGGGUAUCUUGAGGCUCGUGGACAACUCCGUUCGACGAAUCGAAGGAGCACGCGACGGUUCGGUGGGUUUGGCCUAGCAUACAAUAUGAGAAAUGCUCAUAUUUGGUGUUAAAUGUUUCGUAAAGUUGAAAUUCUUGCAUUUUCAUGUUAAAUGUAUUUAUUAUGAAUUUUAGAAUGCUUAACAUGCAUAGGUUAUGUGUAGUAAAUUUUGGGACCUCUAUAUAGUAGAGAGCAUGCAUGUGUGGCCUAGCAUUCUAGUUGAGACUUGAAAUUAUAAUCCCUAUUAUGAAAACGAACCUUGCUUUCAUGCAUUCAAACUAUAUACCAGAUGUGACAUUAGGGAUUUUUGGAAGCCUAGAGAGGCUUAGGGACUUAGAUGAUAUGUGAGAUUGGGCCAAUGUCAUGAAGAGGCAUUGGGGCCCGGGGCAUAGUGAGCAUUAAUGUUAAUGUCUUAAUUGGAACAUGAUUAGUUGUGGAGCUUAAGUGUCAUAAAGAGGCACUAAGCAAGUGUGUGUUGGGACUUCACAUUAUGACUUUGAACUAGAUCUUCGGGAUGCUAGUGACUAUACCAUGUUAGAGACAUGAGGAUUGGGUACUUGAGACAGUGACCUUGCUUGUUUGCCAUUUGUGCUCAUUCGCACAUGCUUGUGAGGGUCGCUCCCCACAAGCCGGCACUCCGGAGUUGGCCUAUGCGACUUUUGUUCGCUCGUGCGGUAUUGAGACGCCUACGGGGUCGAGUGGGACAGACACAUUCCAUGUGUAGGAAUGUCGGGCUACCACAGGCACUUAGGCGGCACAAGCCGGACUACCUUGGGUAGAUCCUUAAUUGGAAAUGUAAAUCGACACGGUUUGAGAAUGAAUGAUCACUACUAGAUAGGCUUAGUAGUUGGAUUACAUUUACAUGCUUUUAGCAUAGUGUGAGACAUGUAGUAUACUUGGUUGCCAUGAUAGGACUCCUAUAUCAUGUAUUGACAAAGGUUAACAACAUUAAACUAGUGCCAUUGGACUUAAUUGCAAUGAUAGAAUAGAUAUACAUUUUGGUUGACAUCAUGCUUACUUGAGACACAGUAGACUAGCAUUUCAAAUAUGCUUUCUUUCAGCAGUGUAUUUACAUGCUCCUUAUUGCUUAUUAUUAUUAUUAUCGUUGCUUACCCUUAUUUUUAGGGCCUAGUGGAGCAUGAGCUGAGGUCAGUAAUUGCCCACUGGGAACUAUAAAUUAUAGUUCUCACGCCCUCUUUUUCUCGAUGUUUUUCAGAGCCUUCCACUCAGGGUGAGGCCAGGGAUCGCGGGAAGGGAGUUGCUUCGAGCUAGCUUCCUUCGAGAACGAGUUGCUAGGUGGUCUACCUCUCGAUUUUUAUUUCUUUUUGCGAGAGGUUGAGAGUUUUACCAGUGUACUAGAGACCACCACUUUUGUAUUUUGGAGAUAGAUUUUGUACUACUUGUUUUCUUUCAUGUAUUAGUUAUGUUCUAUUACUAUUGGUGUAGAUGUUAUAACUUUACUCGCUCUGAUAUCAUUAGUUGCUAGUUAUUUCACUUCUUUUAUUUGUUCCAUCUCUUGCUUUUACUUCCGCUUUUCUUGUAGACGCCUUAUAUGUGUAGACAUAUGGCGGGUCUGGGCACGCUACUGGGAGGGCCUCCGCCGGUCCCGGGGCGUGACAAGUAGAUACAUAGGUGGUCUCUAUACGUGGAUACAAAAUCUCUCGCUUUCUCUCAACUACAAAAAGAAAGAGUAAACCACAUAGGCAAAGAACCGCUCCUCGCUAGCUAGCUAUGCGAUCCCCUUGCCGCGAUCCCGUGCCUCCGCCGGUGCAGAAGGCUCUGAAAGAAACCACGAAAAAGAGGGCGUGAGAACUCUUAAAAAUAGUUCCCAGUGGGCAAUUACUGACUUCAGUUAAUGCACCACAAGGCCAAAGCUACAAGGGAAGUGGUCAGCGACAAUAAAAACAGUAAAGCGAAAUGUAAGUAAAAGUGUAACUUACUAUAACAUGAAGUCUCUACUUAGCAUGAUUUGCAUAAGUAAUAAAGCAACUAUAUCAUGGAUGUACAUGGAUAGGUAUGACAUGCAUAAUCAUAGAAAUGCAACCAACUCGAUGUCCUCAAUGCAAAAAUAGUAAAGAUGUCAUUGUUUACUAUUCUAAUCCAAGUCCACGUUUCACUUUAAUAGUUUUAAAGUUCAUAUGGCAUACACUGUCACUAUGUUCCAAUCAUAUAAGACCCAUCCGAAGGUUGUUUGGCCUGCGCCGUGCCUAAUGGCCCCGUGGUAGUCAACAUCCCCACUCUAGGAAUGAGCCUCCCCCACGGCAAUCCACUUCGGCGCCCAAUCCCGCACGGGCGAGCAUAUGUCGCGAUGGCUAUCUCCGGAGUGCCGGCUUGUAGGGAGCGACCCUCACAAGCAUAUGCGAAUGAGCACAAAUGGCAAGCAAGCAAUGAUCCGUCUCAAGUCUCAUGUCUAAAACAUGGAAUAUAUCGAAUGUCCCCAUGGUCUAUCUCUAUGUCGUCAUGUCUCUAAUAUGGAAUAUAGCAGAUAUGUGUUGGCCUAUCAAUGUGUCACUAUGUUGUAAUUUCAUAGUUUACUAGUUUCAAGUGCCCCUUAAGGACACUUUGUUCUCUAUGUCAAGCAUGGUAACUAUGUUCCAAGGUUCAUGUUCCAAGUCGUAUUCUUCCUAAGAGAUAUGUUCUCAACUUGCACAAACAAACACUUUAUCAUAUGCAUGCUGCCUACACAUUUAGCUCUACUAUAUAGAGUACAAUUUUUAUGAUACAUAGCACAUGCAUUUUAAGUGUUCUAGAAUUCAUAUAAAUUCUACUUAGUAUAGAAAUGCAUUCAAAAGUACUUUACAACAAGUAUUAAGAGCAUAGGGGCCAUUUUGCCCAAUUUCCACGAAGCCAAACCCACCAAAAUCGUCUUCUUCGUUUCGCCGAACGAAGGUAUCCACAAGCUUCCUAAUACCCUAGAAACAUCAAAAGUAGGGUCACUCGAACGAAACGAAGAGCCAUUGGCUCAAUCAUUAAGCUUCUCAAGCUAGGGUUGGGAAAAACUCAUCUCAAGUGAAAAACCCUCUUAAUCUUCAAAUGGGAGGUAGAGGUUUUCCAAUCUAACCUAUAUAAAGGUUCCAAACCAUUCCAAUGAGAUCAAGAAGCCUCAAAUCAAGAAUCCCCAAAUCUAACCCUAAAAUCCAAAAUCUAGGGUUUAAACAAGCAAAAAGCCCCAAAACUAAGAUCUAGAGGAAGGAACCUUGCCACUUACCUCUAGGAUGCUCCAAUCCAAGCUCAAAAUCUUCUAGGGUUGAAGAUUGAUCCACCACAAAGCUCCAAAAGCAAGCUCCAAGCCUCCAAAGGUGGGAAAUGAGGAAGAAGAUGGUGCUCCAAGGCCUCCAAGCAAGCUCCUCUCCUCUCCUUCUCCUUCUCCUUCUUCUCCUUCCCUUUCUCUCUCUAGAAGUGUAAGGAGAGUGUGAGGGAGAAAAAAUGAGAGUGAGAGGGGGUAGAGAGGCUGCCAAAAGCCUCUAAGGUAACAAAAUCCACUUAGGCCUCUUAAAAAUCCACUCUGUGCACUGCCUGGUCUGGGCCGCUCACGCGCUGAGGGACCGGUCUCUCCCUGCCAAGGACCGGUCUCUCGGCCCGUCCCGCAAAACCAGCGUUCGGGAACCGGUCUCUCACAGCCAGGGACCGGUUGUCUCAAGCCCUGUCGCAGCACUGUGCUGAGGGGACCAGUCUCUCAUAUCAGGGACCGGUCCCCGAGAGUGAAAACUCUCAGGACUUGCCAAAACUCUAGAGAUCGAACUUUUAGGCCGGUAUACAUCGACGGCCCUCCACUAAGUGUGGAAAAGUUCGGAAUACAUAUCGAACACUCGAACCUCGCAAUUUGCAAAGGUCCAGUGUGCUACAGGUAGAUAUUCGUUGUUCAUCGUAUGAGCAUAGCUUAGGAAGGAUCAAUGAAAGAACGUUCGUGAAGUCAUCAGUGCAGCUUCGAACUCUGUCCCAGCGUGCUUCUUCCCCUUCUGCUGCUCCACCUCCUGCUGCUGCUACUUCUUCACGUCCUUCUAUGGACAUUUUCGAGGAAGAUGUCUCAGUUUCCUCUGUGUAUCGUGAGCAACAACGUUUGUCUGAAGAGCUUCAGAAACUAUCUGCGGAACAAGCUGCAAUACGGAAUGAUGUAAGCAAAAUGAAGCGGUUAAUGCAGGCGAUUUUUGACAAGUUAGGAUAUUACCGAGCAGAUUUACCUCCAGGGGAUGAUUCAGAUUAGAUGUUACGGGGUUCCUCCUUUGGUCAUUUUGGCGCUUUCUGACAAAAAGGGGUAGAUGACAUGUGAAUGAUAUGAUGGCUCAUGAUGAUGAUGAUGGCUGAUGAGAUGAUGAUGUCUAAUGAGAUCUGAUGAGGAUACUGUUUUUUUUUUUUUGAUUAGUUGUGUAAAUUUAGGCUAGAUGUUUGUUUAGGUGCUUAACUAUGAACUAUGACUUGUUGUUUUGAUUGCUUUGACGUUUGAUCUUUUAUGAUAAUUGCUUGAAUCUUGAUUGUGUUUUUUUUAAGAAUGUUUUUGCAGGAAUAUUCAAGACUUCAAGAUUCCGGGUCUAAGUCAUAGAGUCUGUAUUAAGGUUGAAAAAUGUAAUUUUUCUUUUAUUGGAUCGAUCGUGCAGGAGAUUGUCGUUUGGUGAUUGCGAUGAUCUUCUUUUUAUUGUUUCUGAGUUGUGUAUGAACUUUGUAGUAUAUUUUGUCACGAAAUCACCAAAGGGGGAGAUUGUUAAGGAUGUUAUAGGUUGGCGGAUUUCGUAAUGUUGAAUGGAGUCUUGAAGAGUUGAUCGCGGAAGUUUGAAGAAAAGAUCCAAAUUGAAGAACAAAGACUCAUUCGGAAAGCUCGGCAUCUAAGGUAUGAAGAAUGGAUGAUUUAUGGUGAAGUUAUUUAAUUAUAAUAAGUUCAGAAGGCUUAGAUUGCUUUAAAAAUUAUUUUACUGAACUUGUAUGUGUUCUGGGACCGGUCCCUGUGUUGAAGAGACCGGUUCCCCUAAGGUUCUCACUGCGUGAACAUUGAUGCAACCGGUCGCCUGAGAUGAGAGACCGGUUCCCGAACAUUGGAAAUUCUGUCGCGCAGCAAGGGAUCGGUCUCUGGCUUGAGAGACCGGUUCUCGAACGUUGUGUUUUUGAUCACGCAGCAAGGGACUGGUUCCUCACUUGAGAGACCGGUCUCUCACAGACCGGUCUCCUCGAGAGGACCGGUCCCUGAGGACGACACAUGUUUUUAAAAAGGACUUUUUGCAAUCCUAGUCUACUUUUAAGUCUUCUAAACAUAUAAAUAAGCCAUGGGGGUCAUCUUAAAGUUUAAGGCUUUGAAUUCUUACUAAUUCUAAACCCUAGAAACUUGUUUUUCCGUUCUGAUGAUUCUACUCACAUAACAAGUUUCGAAAAAUCAACAAUCGACUUGGUUCUUUGAUUUUACUUGAGAUCUUAUUCGAGAAUCAAGUUGAUGUUUGAUUAGAAGACGGACCCUCAUAGCUUAUGGGAUUCUAAAGCUUAAUCACCACAAAUCUUCGAUUCUACAAGCUUCGGAAGGAGAUUCGGCGUGUGGAUCUCGCGUGUAGCCGAGGAUUCGGUGGACGCUUUGAGGAGUUGAGGCAUUGACGCUGCGUAGAGUUUCGGCGAGGUCGAUUGGAGGAUUCCUAUCGAUCGAGGACCGGCGAAGAUCAUCAUCAACAAGAAAUCGGUAAAUUGAGUCGUGUGUUUUUGUCAAAAUCACUUGUACUCAAGCUUUCUUAGUGGAUUUUCUUUGCGUGAUCGGUCCCGUGGGUUUUUCACUCCGGCUUGGAGUUUUUCCACGUUAAAUUCUCGGUGUGCUGUUUUAUUUUUCGCUAUUUCAUUUUAUUUGCAUCGAGAUUUUUGAGUUUGCCGUUUUUACACCUAUUCACCCCCCUCUAGGUGUUACUUAUCUUUUAGAUCCUCGGGAUCCAUAUCUUAUACCGGUCACUCGGGGAGAGACCGGUUCCCGAACGCGUGCGCCCGAGGGGGGCUCUCGGGGACCGGUCCCAAGUUGUGGAGACCGGUCCCUCCGCGCGAAUUCUGCCCAGUAAGGGCUGUGCAAGGAUGGAAAAGUGGAGGGGUUUAAGUGCAAAAUGGCCAUCAUAUGAGGGGUGUAUAUAGGAAAUUACCCUCUCUUUCUCUCAUUCUCAUCCCCUCACUCCCUCUCAUCACUCUCCCUCUCUCUCGCUAGAAAGAGAAGAAGCACAAGAAGAACAAGAAGGAGAUGAAGGAAAAGGAGAAGAAGAAAAGGAAGAAGAAGAAAAGGAAGAAGAAGAAGAAGGAGAAGGAGAUCAAGGAGAAGGCUUUAAACAACUCCCUCUCCCUCUCCUCUUUCCAUUGGUGUAGCUCAAGAGGUAAGCUACAAACCCUAGCUUGUAGAACUUAGGGUUUUGGGUUUUGAGCUUUGGAAAUGGGGUCAAAUGGACCCCUAGCACCAUUGUUGGUGGAUCAAAGCUAAAGUUAGGGUUCCAAAUAACAAAUGGCAAGAUGGGAACCCUAGGGCACCCAAAAUGGGGUUUUUGGUGAAGUAUGAGAUUGAUCUUAUUUGAGACCUCGUAAACCUAAUUGGUAGGUCACAAAACGCUGGGGCGUAGUCGAUUUCGCGAUUCGACUAGUGAAUUGGGAGCUAUCAGCGAAAUACGGCCGAUUUAGCCUUGUCUUGGACCGAGAAGGACGAGAUCUUGUCGUAAGGUGCGCCGAGGAGCGUUUCUAAAGCCUCUACAUCGAUAAAAGGUGGGGGGUGCUAUCCCGAAGCUUUCAAACUCCUUUCUAUGUCUUAGAUUGCAUUUAAUCUCAUUUCUUACAUGUUGCAUUGUAGGAUUGCAUAGUAGCUCCAUUCCUUAUACUUUCUAAUUGAUAACCUAGUGCAUUUGGAAUGCUUGAUAACUUAGAUAGGUGAGGAUUGGGUCGGAAUGUGGAUCCUAUGAUGCGAAAGAAAAUAGAUGAACCCGAUGGAGGUUGGUGACAUAGAAAGUAGUGUUUAAUGUCAAAGAACAAACGAGUGGCAUCCAAAUGUUAAAGAAUAACGAGUGGCAUUAAUGUAGUGUAAAUGACACUAGAGGUUUGAGAACCUAUGGAUAGAUGGAUCCUUUAGAAAAUGCCUUGUGGAUAAAGAACUUAGUAAACCUAAGUACCCUCACAUGGAGAGGUUGUCGAUGAGUUAUUGAGACAUUGACUCUAGUUGUAGAGCAUCCUCACUUGGAGAGGAUUUGAUUGGGUUAUUGACUCUAGUUGUAGAGCAUCCUCACUUGGAGAGGAUUCGAUUGGGUUGUUGACCCAAGUUGUAGGGUAUCCUCACUUGGAGAGGACAGAUCUAGCUCACAGUCUGCUUUUGGGGUGGUAUAGCCAUCCAUAUACCCACAUGGAGGGGAUUGUCGUCGAGUACUCCGGAGUGUUGUGCGACUAGGACCACUUGGAGGUCCGGACCACAUGGAGGUCCGCAGACGGUCCCGGGCUUGGGUGCACUUGGAGCUCCCUCCCCACUUUGGAAUUGAAAGGUGAGUUAUUGGCGAACCCUAGGGCUUCGCUACAGAUUGGGUAAAAGAACAGUGAACAAUGUCAUUGAACAUUAUCAUUCGAACAUAGAUCGAAUUUGUUAGAAUGAUAGUAAACCUUUACUAUAUGAUGCAUGCAUUCAUUACACAUGAUUAUGGGCAUAGUAGCAUAGUUUUCCUACUAUCACAUUUAUGGCAUUUAGAUAUCUAUCUAUCUAUCUAUCUAUUGUUGCUUGUGCCCACUUGGACCUAGUGGGGAGAUCGGCAGAGUCGGCGGCCGAGCCCACUGGGAACUAUGGAAGAUAGUUCUCACCCCACUCUAUUUCCAGUGGUAGGUACAGGGUUGCCGAGAGAGGACCGCGGCAAGGGCAUUGCGGCCGACCAGUGAGACCAUGGUAGUAUAAUAGCUUCCCUUUUUGCAUUAGUACACCUAUGUAUUGAGAGAGAUUCAUUGUAGGUGAGGAUUUGGAGAGCUAUGUAUUUUGGAUGAAAGAUGUAAUCAUUUAAAGAAAAUGAUGUAAAUGAAAAGGAUGAACUAUUGUUAUAGUUAGCAAGGUACUCUCUUUACUUCAUAUGUUAUUCCUGUGGAUUACUUGCUCUCGUAGUUGUUGGCACAAUUUGUGCCCCGUUGAAUGUGUAUGUUUAGAAUUUAAAUUCUUGGGAAAUUCUUGUACACAUUCUUGUUGUGAGCCUUGGGCGGACAGGGGAGGUGCUGUCUGUUCGGCGGACCGCUCGCCGCGCCCGAAUCGUGCCAAAUUGGUAGUGAUCUCGGGGCGGGGCGUGACAUGAGUAGUCUAAUGUUGUUCCGGUUUUUGUUCUUGUGAACAUUGACAUCGAUUCGUUCCAAAUUUACACUCUCGGGGCAUAAUAGAACAAUAUAAUUAGGUUUUACGCUUUAUUAGAUAGAAUGAGAAAAAGUACCCGUUGCAAAGUUAUACUGUUAGGGUGCAACUGAGUAGUCUAAUGUUAUUCUGAUUUUUAUUCUUGUGAACGUUGACAUCGAUUCGUUCCAAAUUUACAAUCUCGGGGCAUAAUAGAACAAUAUAAUUAGGUUUUACUCUUUGUUCGAUAGAAUGCGAAAAAGUACUCGUUGUAAAGAUAUACUGUUAGGGCGCAACUGAGUAUUCUAAUGUUGAUCUGGUUUUGGUUCUUAUGAAUGUAGACAUCAAUUCAUUCCAAAUUUGCACUCUCGGGGCAUAAUAGAACAAUAUAAUUAGGUUUUACACUUUGUUCGAUAGAAUGAGAAAAAGUACUCGUUGUAAAGUUAUACUGUUAGGGCGCAACGAAGUAUUCUAAUGUUGUUCCGGUUUUGGUUCUUGUGAACGUUGACAUCGAUUCACUCAAAAUUUACACUCUCGGGGCAUAAUAGAACAAUAUAAUUAGGUUUUACUUUUUGUUCGAUCGAAUGAGAAAAAGCACUCGUUGUAAAGUUAUACNGUUUUUGUUCUUGUGAGCGUUGACAUCGAUUCGUUCCAAAUUUACACUCUCUAGGCAUAAUAGAACAAUAUAAUUAGGUUUUACGCUUUCUUCAAAAAAAUGAGAAAAAUUACUCGUUGCAAAGUUAUACAGUUAGGGCGCAACUGAGUAGUCUAAUGUUAUUCCGGUUUUUGUUCUUAUGAGCGUUGACAUCGAUUCGUUCCAAAUUUACAAUCUCUGGGCAUAAUAGAACAAUAUAAUUAGAUUUUACGCUUUCUUCGAUAAAAUGAGAAAAAGCACUCGUUGCAAAGUUAUUCUGUUAUGGCGCAACUGAGUUGUUUAAUGUUGUUCCGGUUUUUGUUCUUGUGAGCGUUGAUAUCGAUUCGUUCCAAAUUUACACUCUCUGGGCAUCAUAGAACAAUAUAAUUAGGUUUUACGAUUUUUUUUAUAAAAUGAGAAAAAUUACUCGUUGCAAAGUUAUACUGUUAUGGCGCAACUGAAGUGCCUAAUGUUGUUCCAGUUUUUGUUCUUGUGAGCGUUGACAUCGAUUCGUUCCAAAUUUACACUCUCUAGGCAUAAUAGAACAAUAUAAUUAGGCUUUACGCUUUCUUCGAUAAAAUGAGAAAAAGUACUCGUUGCAAAGUUAUACUGUUAGGGCGCAACAGAUUUGUCUAAUGUUGUUCCGGUUUUUGUUCUUAUGAGCGUUGACAUCGAUUCGUUCCAAAUUUACACUCUCUGGGCAUAAUAGAACAAUGUAAUUGGAUUUCACGCUUUUUUCGAUAAAAUGAGAAAAAGCACUUGUUGCAAAGUUAUUCUGUUAUGGCGCAACUGAG